UUUUAAAAUCAAAACUCUAAAAUAAAAAAAAAUUAUCUAUUUAGAAAUCAAAGUUUCGGAUACGUUUAGUUACAGGAAUAAAAUGUUAAUUUUGCUUGAAUUCUCUUUUGAACGUUUGUGAAAAAGAAAAUGAGAUUGUAUUCUUGAGAUGUUGGUUCCAAUUACUCUAUAAUCUUUUGCUUGUGGGUUUUGCUUUUAAGUUAAAUUUUUUGGGAUAAUUUUGGCAUUAGAUUUUUUUAAAACUAAUUAUGGGUUUUGAUUAUUACUUGAAAUUAUAUUUUGAUUUUGAUUGUUGAUUAAAAUUAUAUUUGGGUUUUAAUUGUUCAUUGAAUUAUAUCAUUUUAGUAUUUUUUUAAUGAAAAAUUCAAAAUUCAAGUAAAAAAUAUUAAAAUAUUUUUAAAACUAAAAGAAAUUUCACGUUAUUUUUAUUUGUUAAACUUAUUGGCGCUUAUGUUUCACAACCAUAUUUUCAUAUAAAAAAAUUAUUUAUUAUUAUAAAUUGAUAACGUUUAAUUUUUAUUUAUAUAAAAUAAAAUAACUAAAUAAACGUUUACUCUUAAGCAUUUAAUCUCAAAUAUUAAUAAUUAUUAUAUAUUUUUGGGCCGAAUUAAUCCAUUCCAACUGGCCCAAAAGUUAAAUCCAAAAACCCAAAAUCUCCAUCGGUUACUUCUGUCCCCAUUGUCGUGUCUUUCUCUCUCUUUGUAUGGAGAAACCCCCAAUCGAAUCAUGCAAGGUGAAAGAUUCAAUUUUUGUACUCUUAAUCUUCUCCAUCUCUCUUAGGUAAGUUACUGUAGCUUUUUCCUUUUUUUUUUUUUUCAUUUAUGUACUUUCUAUUUUUAAUUUAGCAAGUUAUGCUUGUUUUGUAUCUGUUGCUUCACCUAAUUAAAAAUUUCGUCAUUUUCUGUUUCUGGGUUUAGCUUUGAUUGAGUGGUAAAUUAUUGUGCUUUUUCACUUGCUUGGUUUUCUUCGUAUGCUUUGUUCGCUCGUUUCUUUUAUUGGUUUCAAUGUAAUUGGUUUGGUUAUUAUUAUUGGGGUUUUGGGUACUGUUCUUUUUGUGAUUGUGGAGUUGGACUAUUGUUAAUUACUAAGUCAUUGAAAAGCAUCUUUUUAUGGAUGUUUUCAUUGAUUUUAUGAAGUGGGUUUUUUUACAUUUUCAGAAGUUUCAUUGUAUUCCUAUCCAUUUCAAAGUUGAUUGAUUCUAUGAAGUGGUUUUUUUUUUUUAAUAUUUUCAUAAUUUUCAUUGUAUUCCUAUCAAUUUCAAGGUUUGUAGCAAAGCUUUCUCAACUUCCUGCAUUGGCAAAUGUAGUAUUUAGAUGAAAACUAAAGUGUCUUUCCAGAAUUUCCUUUUCCUCUGCUACUUGAAUAGUCUUUAUUCUUUCCUAAAAAAUUAUGAAGUAUAAGGUUUAAUUUUGUUCUCUCCCCUAGAGUUUUUACUAGUUUCAUGAUCAUUGUACCAUCUAAACUAUUUCACCAAUUUACGCUUAUGGGUAUCAACCUCUCUUUGUGCUUUUGUCAUUGUCAUAGUCAUUAAUUCUUUCAAAGAAUAGAACGAUUUUCUUUUAUAAAUAUUUGCUGUUUAUAGAGUUGUUCUUCUAAUAGUUUAUAGGGGCCUAAUUGGUGCAUGGUUGAUUUUUGUUGUGCUCAAAAGUUAUGGAAGAUAAAUAGGUUUAUCUGAUGAAAGGGUGCUUCUAGUCAUUAGCUUGUUAAUGCAUUUGUGAUUUGACUGUCUUGCCAAACAAGAUAAUAGCGUAUAUUCAUUUUCUAUUAUUUGCACCUUAUAGUUAUUGAUUCAAGGGCACUGGAAUGGAACAAGAAGCAGGAGAAUCCUCAAUUCAAUUGGGGAGCUCAGAAGGUUCUAACUCAAGCAGCUCAGAUCCUGUAACACGGGUAAGGAAGCUGCUGUUUCACCGUAUGCUGGUGGGAAUCAAAGACGGCAGGUUUUUCUUGGGCACUUUCCACUGCAUUGACAAGCAAGGAAAUAUCAUUCUCCAAGAUUCAAUUGAGUAUCGUAGCACCCGACGUUCCUCUCCAUCCCCAAUGGAGCAACGAUGCCUUGGUCUAAUUCUCAUCCCUUCCUCUUGUCGAAUCUCUUGUCAUGUGGAUUGCUCCGUCCAGGAACAAUUGUCACUGCUGAAGGUUUAAGAAUUGAGACUCUGUUUCCAUAAAAUCUCUGUUUGAAAGAAAUUCAACAACAGUUUUUCCUGAUUUGUAAUCAUCCUAUAGUUUUUUUUUCCUGGAGUAAAUGUAAUUGCCUUGCUUUGAGUAAUGGAAGGGAUUAUGAUUGCUGCACUAUAGUGCUUUCAUGGUUACUGCUUGAGUAUUAAUAUUAAUUAUCAUUACUAUUUCUUUCUCAGCAUUUCGUGUGCACGCAUAACCUUUAAAUUUGGAAUUUGGGUUAUGGCUAAACUCAGAUAAAACUGAUUAUGCAAAUUCUCUUUUCCGACGCGAAAGCCAAAAUAUGAGGCUCAUCUCAUAUGUUGACAAUGAAGAAGGAACUAUUGCUCAUGUCAUAAAAAUUUCUUAUGAUAAGCUUUUAAACUCGUAAAGCCCACAUUUGAACUUCAGCGAUUGGGGCAAAACCCACUCCGAAAAAUCCCCCACUCUGGGCUGAACACAGAAUACUGUUGCCGAAAACUAGAACCUUUCCCAGUUUCCACACAGUGCACACCAUUUCUUUUCCGGAGGAAAAGCUUCAAUAAAUGCAGGAAUCCAGCAUUGAAUCUAAUAGUAGCAUAAGAGGGUUGAAGGCAAUGCUUCUGCUGAAAUCUGAAUAUAUAAUUAAAACCCAAACAAAGAUUUAAGUCGGAGAGCCUGGGGUUUUUUUUGGUGUGAGUGUGUAUAUUUCUAUCAUCAUAUACACGAAAAAGAAAAAACUUAAACAAAAUCUGAAAGUGGAAAUAGGGAUGUAUCUUUAAAGUACAUUGAGAAAAUACUUCCAAAAUUUGGAGUAUAUACUUGACUUCUUCUUUUACCUUGAACAUUUUCUCUGAUCCAAAACUUUUAUCCUCCAUUAAUUCUAAAGAUUUUUUGUUUCUUAGAUGUUCCAUAAUCCAUCCAUUCUAUAUCAAGAAAAGAAAAACAUGUAGGGUGGCGUGCAGCCAAUCCUAAAGAGUAAAGACAUAGAGGUUAGAGCGACCAGAGCCAGAGCCACAGUGAGAGAGAGACAGAGAGUCGUUGAGAGAGGCAACUGUAGCUCUGCAAAAGCAAUGCUUGUUGUGUCGACUUCAGGGAUAAUACUGAGGAAGAGCCAUGUCAAAUCAUGCUUAAACCUAAAACCCUGUUUUUUUUUUUUUUUUUUUGCUUUUCCUUGAUUAUCUAUAUUGACCCAUCUUGACAAUUUGUUCCUCUUAUGGUAACUCUGUCUCUCUUCUCUCAUAUGCCCCGUUUUUAGAUGCAAAAAAAAAAAAAAAAUCAACACUAUCCUUAUCUCACUCUCCCAUUCCUGGAAUGCAAAUGCCAGACAGAGACAACUUAGGGUUUCCCAACAGCAGGCUUUCACUCACUGACACAAAGGGUGAAGAAAUAAACUGGUAGAUAUUCCUUUACUUUUCUUCUUUUUCCUAUCAAUAUUUGCUCAACAACUGAUUAUAGGAAGAGAAAGCAGACUGCGAUCUCUUGGUUCUAAAUCUACAUUUGGUAUUUCUGAAUGCUUAUAUUAGUGGGUUUUGGUUCUGUUUGUUUCUUGCUCCUCUCAUGGCAUCUCUUUCUCUUUUCCUUGUUGGGUUCCUUGUUUUAUCUUGUGAGGCGAUUGCAGUGCAUAGAAACUUGGAUGAGAGUAGUGAAAUUGUGAUGGAAGAAGGGGAGCUUUUGGGGCUUUUUGAUGUUAUAGGAUCACUUCUAGAUGAACCUGGUUGGGCUGAAGUGCAUCCAGAGCCAUGCACCGACACUCCAUGGCCUGGUAUUGAAUGUGAAAUUGGUCAAGACCCUCCAAUCUUUCAUGUUACGACUAUUCACAUUGGCCCUGACGUUGCUACCCCACCUUGCCAACCUUCUGCUAAAAUAUCAGAUUCCUUGCUCAAACUACCUUACCUGCGAACUCUCUCGAUUUUCAACUGCUUUGUAACUUCACCAGUUACACUUUCUGCUUCUUUAUUUGGAGCAUUGUCUUCCUUGGAGCAUCUAUCACUACAGUCAAAUCCAUCUCUCUCUGGAGAGAUUCCUUCAAGCUUGGGGAAUAUUUCUAGGCUAAGGGUCCUGAGCUUGUCACAGAACAAUCUACAAGGAAAUAUCCCUGGUGAGCUUGGUGGAUUAGUCAACUUGGAGCAACUUGACCUGAGUUACAACAAUCUAAGUGGUGAAAUUCCUGAAGAUAUUGGAGGACUGAAAAGUUUAACCAUUUUGGACUUGAGCUGGAAUGGCCUUGAAGGGCGGGUACCAUUUGCUUUGGGUCAGCUUCAACUUCUUCAAAAAGUUGAUUUGUGCUCAAACAGGAUUCAUGGGAGGAUAACUCCAGAUUUGGGAAAGCUAAACAGGUUGGUUUUGAUUGACUUGAGCCAUAACUUCAUCAAUGGGCCAAUCCCUGAGACUCUCUCAGGUUUGGAGCAGCUGCGGUAUUUAAUAUUUGAUUACAAUCCCAUAAAUUCGCUGAUUCCUUUAUUUGUGGGGUCCCUCAAGAGGCUUACAUCAAUCAGCUUCUCAGGAUGUGGGUUAAUAGGCCCAAUACCCAACUCCUUAUCUUCAUUAAAGAAUCUCACUGCUCUUUCUCUCGACAACAACAGUCUCACAGGGACAAUUCCUUCAAUUUUAGGGUCACUUCCAGAUCUAGACCACCUUAACUUGAGUCACAACAAGCUAAGUGGGGAACUACUACUCUCAGAAGAGUUCAUCAAGAGACUUGGGAAAAGGCUGGAUGUUAGAGGAAAUAUUGGGCUAUGCACAAGCUACCAGCUAUCCAGGAAGAACAUCUCUAGGUAUCUACAAACCCCAGCUUGCUUGGGAACGGAAGGAAUAGUUAAUAACGUAACUUGUCCUGAAGAACACCCGGACGAUUUCAAAGGAAGGAAGCCAUAUUGGAACCAUGGCCAGAUCAGUUCACAUGCUCCUUCCCAAGAUCCACAGUUCAUUUCAACAUGUUUUGUUCUUUUUCACAUGCUUUGCUUUUUGUAAACAUUUCUACUAAUAUCCUGUCAACAUUUAUUUUGUCUAAUGAAAAUUAAACUAAGCCAAAGUUGAAUAUGAAAAUGAAAAAACUAUUAUAUAUAACUAUAUAUGAUGUUUGCUAUGGGCAUUGAUGGGUCAUUUUCUAGCUGGAAAGAUGCAGAGCCUACGGCUACCAUGUUGGUGAAAAUAUGCAGAGGGGCAUUGACAUAGUAGUUGAGGUGAGUUUACAUGAUAAGGGGCCAAAAAGUUUUGCAUCUGGCUCUAUCUAUCUUGGUAUCCAGUGACAAAGCUCCAUCUCUGCUUGCUGGGGUUCAUUUCCAGCAGCCUUUUAGAAAGAGAAGCAAAUGUGUGUCGUAUCUGCUGUUGAAUUGAACUGCAUUUUAGCCUUUUGACAGUGAAAAAAGAUAUGGAUCUCUGUACUUGAUCUUUAAGAGAAUGAGAGAUGGAGGGUAAUGUCUAUGGUUUAUUUAAACAUCCCUGGCAAAGGCUAAAUUGGUAACAUUGUUUGAUCUUAUCUUCUUCUGGAUAUAAAUAGAAGAAAAAUCACUUUUUUCUCUGUGAACUUUCUAACACUAAUCACUCCUGGAAUCUUGAUGUUUUGGCUGUUAAUCUCCGACAUUAACUCAUUCAAUCAAUCCAGGAAUCUUGAUUCAUCAUAAAAAGAAGUUAAUGUUUGCUCAUGUCAUUGUGGUAGCGGUCAAAAUUUUGGACCACAAAAAAGAGUUUUAGAAUUUGAGAAAAGCUUGAUGAUAAAGAGAGAGCUCCACCAAUAAGAACAUCAAUGCGUGGCUUUGAACACUCACGAAUCCGACUAUUCAUGAUUAAUAUUGCAUCACUAUGCAUACAGGACAGAGAUGAUAUGAAAAUCAAACAUUUACAACGUUUUUCUCUACCUAAUAAUCUCUAUUUUUUGACUUCAUCAAUAAGUUAUAUCUUGUACAUUUCAUGUGCAGUAACGUUUUCUUGACUCCCUUAAUUAUCUUCUAGAUUUUAUGUGUAGUAAGAUUAUUUAGUCUUGGGACAACGGUAAUUAUUUCUAAAGUAACUUGUUUAGCAUGAAAACACAAGAAAAACAUGUGCAGAAUUGAACAUAUGCAACACAAAUGCAUACAUGAAAGCUUAACUGUUUAGUUUCAAUAAUUAAGAUUUAAAUUCUGACAGUUUCAAGUAACAAAAAAAAAAAAAAAAACUUUAAUUGUUAGAGCAUUUGAUUUUCAUAUAUCAACUAAACAUAAAAAAAGAAUAUACUUAUUAUUAUAAUUAGGCGCGUUAUAAAAGAAGAACAUACCGAUAAUCAUAAAAAAAGAAUAAAUUAAUAAUCAUAAUUAAACGCGUUAAAUCGAAUGGAUUUGUAUAAAAAUAUCUUCUUGUUUCUUCAAUUAGAAAUAAGACAACAUAGACCGGCCUAAAAAUAUGUCACAAUCAAUUAUAAAUCUGUAAAUCUAGAGUGUCACAUUCGCCAUUUGGUUUGCUUUUCUUUUUUGUUUUCCCACGGGUUGGCAUAAAAAUUUUGGACCUUCUGAAUGAUGUGAUUCAAGCCCCUUUCUUCACAUUAUCUCCAAGUUCUCAACAUCACAUCUUCCGAGCAGUUUCCUAUGGCAUUUUCCAUGACCAAGACAAAGAAGGUGAAGUCCAGAUCACGCACGGCUGGUGAGAAAACAUUUUUUUGGAACAUAGUUUCCUUGUAAUUUACCAUCUACACGUUUUUAUUUUUUGCAUUAUUUUCCAACCCAAUCUGAUAUACAAAUUCAUGUUUGGGUAUGAACUUUAAUCGAGCACUCAUAUUUUAAUGAAAUUGGAACUUUUGCAACCAAUUAGGGUUAAAAUAGGAAGGACAGAUUCUAAAUAUUCAAAGUUCAAGCAUUAUUAGUCAAUAAUAUAAGGAUUUUGUAACUUGAAUUUGAUUUGUUUCCAUUAUUCUAGAUUUCUAGUCAUAAUAAGACUAAGCUUAUAAUUCUUGUUUUUGACUGUAUUAAAUUUUAGACCAACCCAAUUCUAAUGUUUUGAGUCCAAGAAACAACUUCACUUUUUUCCAAGUUGAAAUUAGCAUAAUGUUUUGAAUAUAUCAUCAUAUAAUUUAUAGAAUUUAUAUAGUUUAUUAUUUAUAUGAUAUAUAUAUAUAUAAAUAGUAGAAAAUUAAGUUAUAGAAUUUCUUAGAAAAAUAAUACGGUUUAACCAAAAAAAACUACCAAAUUGUCAAAAUCAAAAGGUUCAACAUUAAUUCUAGUUGAAGCAAGAUGAAAGAUCUGUCCAUAAUAUAUCAAAAAAACAAUACAACAAUCAAAUAAUUAAACUAGAAUGGGCACCAAAAAAUCAAUUAACAAAUGUAAAAUUGAUGGUUCUUCGAGCUACUAGCAUAUUUCAUACAUAAAUUUACAAAAAAAAAAAAAAAGAAAGAAAAAAAGAAAAAAGCUUCCCAUGUCCAUAUGUAUAUAGCCAUGGGCAACCUCCUUAAUUUCCUGGAAUGAUAGAUGGUAGUAAUUGGUAGCCAAAAAGAUAGAUCAGUUCCUUCCAUUAAUCCACUAAUGCUGGUAAGGAGAGGCAGCUUGGAUUCUAUUCUUGCGUUUUUGGAGGAACCUUUGAAGAGAUUUCUUCAUGGAAAGUCCAGCACUUGGGCUAUAUAGCUGAGGUGAUAGCGUUGGUGAAGCCGGUGCUGAUCCUGUUGGAGUUUUUAUUCUUUCAUCCAUGUUUUCUCGGUUUGCUAGCAUUAGAAUGGCUCUUGCCUAAGGUUCCAUGUACACAAUUUCAUUAACCAAACAAACAAACCCAUGAUAUUUGUAUAUCAUCAAUCUAAAAAAUUUUAAACAUUUUGAAAAAUAAGACUUUAAUGAACGUAAAUGAAUUGCCAACAAUCCUAUGAUUUAUUUGAUAAAAUAUUAAAAUUUUAAUUUCAGUAAUUAGAAUAAUAUAGAAUAUCAUAUAUAUCUCCUUUCAUGGUAAAAAUUUGUUUUCUUAAUAAUUAAGGUUAUAAGAAUUGAAUUUUGAUUACUAGAACUAAAAAUUCAAAAUUUUAUGGAUAAACCAUGCGAUUGUUUGACAAUAGUUUUGGUUAUUGAUAAGUUGUCAAAAAUAUCUUAUUAACCACGAAAGUAGAAAAAAUUGCAUAUCAAACUCAAACUGCAUGAAAUUGUGGUGCUUAAAAUUGGAGGACAAAUCUUGCUUGUGCUUUAUAUUUGAAUUUUGCAUUGAACUCCCGUAACUUCGGUGAAGCAAGCAUGCUGAUUUUGUAUACUUGUUAACAUUUCCAAAAUUACAACACCAAAAAAUUAAGCAACCAUUUCAUUUAUGCCAAGACCAACAGAAAACUCAGCCAAAUUUACGUAAAUAGAAAAAAUAAUUUAUUUAUUUCAUGCGACCAUCUUUAAAAAAUUAAUAUUCAAGAAAAUUGAAUAUAAAUUCAAACACCUGCAAUUUUUACGUAUACCCGGAUCAUGAUCUCUUAUAUAUAUAUAUAUAUAUAUAUAUAUAUAUAUAUAUAUUUCUUCAGUCAAUUAUAUUAAUGCAUGAAUAAUUUUCUAAAGUUUCAACUAACAAAAGAAAAGAGGGGAAAAAAACCAAAAGAAAAGAAAGGGAAUUGAAACCAAAUUGUUACAUACCUGGAGCUCUGUAACAUCACAAACACAAACUCUUCCAUUGUAGAAAAUUGUCAGCUGUUGCUGUUGGUUUUGUGGGCUUUCAUUGCUCUCUUCCACCCUUCAUUCGCACAAAACAAACAAUCAAAAUCAAACACUCUGUAAUAUAGAAACAAGACAAUAAAAACAAAAACAAAAAGUUUUGAAAAGAAGAGAAGUGCUUACAUGUCGUGACGGUCGCCGGGAAAAGAACCAGAAGGAAGGAGGCGAAGUUCCAAGUUGCAGUUUCGUCUCAUGUUAUACCCUUGUUUGAAUCUAAUUGGAUGAGAAAAUAAGGGUGGUUUUGGAGGAGAAGAAGAAGAAGAAGAAGAAGAAGAAAGUGGGGUUUCAAAGAGAAGAAGACAUUGAUAAUUUGGAGGGGAAAAGUUGAAGAAAGGGUUAUCUUAUAUAUAGAAGUGUGUGUGAAUGUGUUAUGGUGGGCAUCAACGUUUUUGAAAGCUAUGUUAAACACGUAACGCACAAAAACGAGACACACACAAAUUAAAAAAAUAAUAAUAAUAACAAAAAAAAAAGCAAUCCAAGCCUUUUUUUUUUUUUUUUUAAAUUUAAGCACGUGGAACAUGCAUUUUUACCUCCAAAAUUCAUGAUUUUCCACAGCUGUCUGCUUCCAUAUCCGUUGUACAAAAUCAAUGUGCUUUGAAGUCGGCAUAACUUUUUUUUUAAUAUAUAAAAAUCAAUAACUUCUCUCUUUUUCUUUUUCUUUUCAUUUUUUUUAUUAUUCUAAUUAGUGACUAAUUUUAGUGAAAGGGAUUUAUGGUUUGAAUGAAGGGAUUGUUUUCGUUUGGUAUUUUGAUUGUGGUAGUCUUUUCAAAUUAGUUGCUUAUAACAUAAUCAAAGUUAAUUGAUAGGUUAAUCUUUUCUUUGGUAGUUAGUUUUUAUUAGAUAGACAGAUGGAAUAAAAAAAGUUAUAUAUAUGGAUAUAUAUAUAUAUAUAUAUAUAUAUUUCUUAUUAUCAAAAACUUCUUUACAAAUGAAUUUUUUUAAUAAAAGAAGUCAUAAUUUAAAAAUAAAAAAAUUAUUGAUGUUGAUUUAUAAAUUUUAAAUUUAUUAAAUGUUAUUUUAAAAUGUUGUGAACCAACUUGAUGAAAUUGAAAUAUUUAUAAUGUAUCAUCUUAUAUAAAUAAUUAUAAUUUAUGGUAAGAUACAUAAAAUUUAUUGGAAAAUAUGUGCUAGGUUAUUGUGUCAAUAAGAUUGAUAAUAAUUUUAAUUAAUUACUAUUGAUAUAUAUAUUAUGAUUAAGCAUAGGGUAGAGUCCAAUUCAAAAUUAAUUUCCAUGUAAUACUUGGAGAGACCCAACAAAAAUGUUAGAUAAUAAAAAAAAAUAAAAUUUAAUAGAUGUGAGAUUAAAUUUCUUAAUAUAUAGUCAAACUGAUCAAAUAUAUAUUUUUUAUAAUAACUAUUUUUUCCUUAAAAGCAAAUAAAAACUUUAAUAUACCAUAUAUGGAAUGACAUCAUUCACAACUUUUUCUCUUUUAGACAUAGAAUGUGAAAUUCAAUUGUCCAAAAAGGAAUAUGUGUGUGUGUGUGUGUGUGUGUGUGUGUGUGUGUGUGUGUGUGUGUGUGUGUGUGUGUGUGUGUGUGUGUGUGUGUGUGUGUGUGUGUGUGUGUGUGUGUAGGCAAUAUCAAUUUACAUCAAUAUAAAAUUUUUUAGUUUUAUAUUUUUUUUAAUCAUUAAUUUUAAUAGAUCCAAUGAUCGAAAGAGACAAGUCAAAAAAAUGAUUUAAUUUUAUAUGUUAAAUAUAUUAAAAUUAAUAAUUAAAAAUUAAAAAUUUAAAAAAUUUACAUUGAUGUAAGUUGAUCAUUCUUCACAUAUAUAUAUUUAUUUAAAUAUAUGAUGUGGUUUGCAUUUUUUUUUUUUUGGUCUAAUUUACUAUCUUCACUUUCAUUCCAGACGAAUGUUGAAAUUCAAAGGAUUUGGUUCAAAUGAUAAAGUUGAAGUGAGAUUUGAGUAUACAUUUUAGAUUUAAACCAUACUAAUCUUUAUGAACAAAAAAAUAGAAGAAAAUUUAUUUUAAUUUUUUAAAUAUCAUUAAAGUGCAUAAAGGAAUAUGACAUUAUGACAAAUUAUUCAAUUUCCAAAAUUUUUCCCAAUAAAAGUUUAUACAUAAUAUUUAUUUUUUUUAAUGUAGAAUAUCUUAUAACAUUAAUUGAAGUUUGGUUACUGAGGCCUCAAUAAUUGGCAGAAUCUCACCUUUCUCAAUUUAAUUAUAUUUUUUUAAAUGCAUAUAAAUUACCUAUAACAUCCAAAACUAUGAAUUAGGUUAGCCCCACUUACCCUUUAUCCAUUUGUUGUAACUUUGACACAAAGAAUAUCAUGAUUUUGGACUAUAACUUUAACCAAACAAUCAAUGUUAAAAUUUUUUAUUCAUAGGAAACUUUAACUUUAAGAAGAAGGAAGACAUUUCGUGCGUUAAAAUUUAAACUUCAAACCUGUAACACCCGACAUAAUUAAUUGAGCCAACGCCCAAAAUCAAUAAAUUUGUCAAUAUAAAAUCAAGUAUGCUAUUCGAUUGUUAUUGACUAUGAGCUAAUAAUUAAGUAUUUAACGAGUGUUUUAAGAGCAUUUUUUAAAGUUAUUAUAUUAAAUAAUUUAUUAUUCAAUAGAUUAAAAAGUCAUAACAUUAAUUGUCAAUUACCAUAUUUAAUAUAAUUUAUUUUAAAUAAUUUUAAAGAAUGCUCUUAGUAAAAUCUAAUAAUUAAUUAGAUAUUGUAUUUUCUUUUAAUCAAACUAGGGAUGAAAUUUGAUUAUGCCUUUUCUUUUUACAUGAGAAAUUAAUGAUUACAAAUAACACAUUUAAUACAUAGAGUUUGUAAGGUAAAGAUCAUAAAUUUUUCAACGGAAAAUAAACUAAAAAACAAUGAUAAAAGUUUCACCUAUCAUCAUUGAUGAUCAAGAGUUAAAAAAAAAAAAAAAAAAGCUAUACACAACUCUUACCCUAGUAUAUACGAACAUAGAUUAAUUCAUGAAUACGGUAUAUUAUUAAUUAUAUUGUCAAACAGCUUAAUGAAAAGUAUUUAUAUUUUUAAAAUUUUUUUCUAAAUUUAUAUUAUUAAUUUUAUGAAUUUUUAUAAUUUUUAAUUAAUCACAUCGUCAUUCAUAAAAUAUAUAAAAAAAAGAUCGGAUAAUUAGAUAUGUAUGAUAUUCUUUACCUAACUUUCUCGUUUUCUUUUUCGAUCAUUAUCUUUUUUUUUUUCCCUUAUUUCAUUUUUUUAUAUAUUUUUUAUUGACUUAAGCAUCGAAUAAAUUUUCGAAAUAUUACUUUCGAUAACCUCCUAACCUUUUUCUUUGUGAUAAAUUUGACAUUCUCUUCAUCUAAACUUCUAACGAGCCCUUCGACUACUAGACCAAGAAUUACGUCUACAAAUAUAGCUACCACUUUCCAAACAAAGAUAAUUUUCCGUUAAUAUAUUUUCUAGAAAGCACAUUAAAAUUUCCAUUACCUAAUUUUUCACAUGUUAGAAAGAAAAGAAAGGGGAAGUUGGAAUUACAAAUAUUUUCACGUGGCCAAAAACAAAACCAUUUGACUUGUGGUGAUUGAUGUGGAAAAAAAUGGUGGGUUUUUGGCUUUUGGAUGUUUGAAGAUUUCCAAUUAAACAUGGGUGACCUAUAACUCUCAAAUUUUCAUUUAUAGCACGUGAUUAAUGUUGUUGUUGUUGUUGUUUUUUUAUCACGUGAUUCUUUUGGGUUUUUGAUCUAAAAGUUGGUGGUGGUUUUGUGAUAAGGUCCUAAAGAGAGGCAAGCAAAGCAAGUGUUUGCACUUUGUAGUUCACGUAAUAUGAUUACACAACUCUUUUUAACAUCCGGACAAUUGGCAACAACAUGGUAUCCAACAUCAAAAGUACUCUCAUUCUUGGUUAACCUAUUCUUUGAAAAAAAAUUUUUUUUCCCAUAUUACUUGGAUAUUUUUAUUAAAAAAAUGGAAAUAUUUCAUCAAAUUUAACUCUUUGAUUUAAAUAAAAAAAAUGAAGCUUUUUUUUCUUUAUUGAUCACAUAAAACCUAUCUUUUUAUUUAAAUAUAUAAAAUACGUUAAACAUCUAAUUUAAAAUUAAUUGAUAAUAAAUGAAAAGAUCAAACUUAAAUAUAAAAAUUUUAAAUUUAAUAAAUAUAAGAUAAUAUCACUUAAACAUAACUGAAACAACAAUAUAAUACGUGAAGAAACUCAUAAAAAUAUUAGGAAAAAAUCUUGUAUUCUAUUGUGUCAUCGGUUUGAAAUACUUUAAUAGUAAGAAAGAAGUUAAACUUAACAAGAUCUUACUAUUUUUGAAGUUUUUUAUAAAAAAUAUAUAUUUAUACAUUGAAUUAUCGAUGUAUAUACAUCUAAAGUUAGACAAUGUUCAAUUUCACAUUUUUAUUUGUGUGUAAAAUCAAAUAAAGUAGGUGUGGAUGAACACCCAACCUCAAUUGCUAAAACUAGAAAUCUUUCAAAAAAAAAAGAUGACAACUUGAUUGUGAAAAGAUCAUAAACCAAAAAAGAAAAGAAAUGCAAGAUUGCAUGCAAAUUGUGGACAUGCUAGAAGUAGAAAAUUUGGGAAGAUAGUAAAAUUUAAAAAAAAAAAAAAAAAGGAAAGGAAAACCCACGAGUCUUUCACGUGUUGUUGUAGGGCGUGAGGAGCACGACGCAAUCACAUGGGAGAAAAUGCUUUUGUAAAUGCCUGAUGAUUACCAAUCAAAACAAGUUUACAGACGCUCGAUUCAUUGUCAGCCAAAUCAUCGAAGUUGUUAGGUGAGAUCAUUAUGAUGAUUCUGACCACAUAAAAUUACCACCCCUUCUUUAACCAAACUGUCAAAUCUACGGCUCCAAUGGCUUCUCAUCCUUCAUUGCCAAAAUCAUCGGACGAAUAAGGUUUAGUCCCAUCUUUGUAUUUUAAAAAAGAUUUUAAUAAAAAUAUAUUAUUUUUAACAAAACAUAUGUAGUUAUGAACCAAGUGAUUGGGGAUUUUUGUGUAUUGGACUUUGAGCUUUCACUAGAGAAUAUAAGGAUUGAUGUCAGAGUUGUUUCUAUAUAUAAAGAAUUUUAUUUAUUAAGAUGUUAUAUUAUUAAAUAUAUAUAUAUUUUUUUGUAUUUGAAAAAUAUAUUAUUUAUACUAAUAUAUUCAACUUAAAAGACCUCUAAAAAUAAUAUAAGUCACUUGUGUGUUUAAACUUUUAGUAGAUUAAAAAAAUUAUUAAUUCUAGAAGAUUAAUAAGACUAUAAAAUCUAUUAAAAUAUCAAUAGUUGAUUCAUGAUUUCUCCAUGCCCAUGAUCAUUUUGUCAAUUUUAACAUGGAUAAUAAUAGCAUUUUACUAUUAGUUAGUCCUAUAUUUUUCUUCUAAGUGUCAUAUUAAAAAAAGGUAAAUUUAAGAUAGUACAUAAACUUCUAAAUUUUACGAAUUCGAUAAAAUUUAGAUGCAUAAAAUUAAAAUAUUUUAUUUCACAAGAUAAAACAAUAACAUAAAAUUAAUUUAUUAUAAGAGAUCGAAAAAUUUUAAAAAAAUCAUGUGUAAUUAUCACGAUAUUAAAUUUUUAAUUUUGCCGGUUAAAAUGACAAACAUGCUUUGUUAAUUACUUAUAAAGUUUGUUAGAACCAUGAUUUUGAAACCAAUUGAUCCCAUAUUCCGUACAUUAAUAUUAAAUUAGUUUUUCGGUACAAAGUUUAUACAUAGCCCAUUUGAUUCUAAUCAAUUUUGAGUUAGUCAAAUUGUUUCUUAGUGCUUUAACAAAAAAAAAAAAACCUCAAAUUUUCUCAGUAUGUGACGUAGGAUGGAAUAGAUCAUCAAUUACUAAUAUUAUAUUUAAAAUCACAUUCUUAAUAAUAAAAUAAAUAAGUGUACAAGUUUUCUUUUUGUUUUUCCUUAAAAAAAGUUCACUUUUCACCCGUAUAUUCUUUAAUCUAUCUAUCCCUUUCUUUUGUGAUGAUAGGCAAUUAGGCAUGCUUUUUUUAAAAAAUAAAAAAAAACACUAUUUUUAUUUUUUAUAAUAAAUAAGAGGCAUCUUUAGUUCAUUUAAGCUCUUUUAAUUAUUUUUAUUAAUUAUAAAUAAUUUUCAUAAAAAAUUGAAAUUUAAAAAAAAGUCAAAAGAUUCGGAAAGGAGUUCCAUGAAGCCGACGAGGAAGUCCGAGCACAUAGUUUUAAAGCCGGCUUAAUGGUAGCCGUAGAUCUGAUUAUCUAAAACAAGAUUAGUCAUAAAAAUUAUAAAUAAAUUUAAUAAAAUAAAAAAUAUAUUUUAUAUUGAUAUAAAUUAUAAUAUAUAAUUUUUAUAUAAAAUAUAAUAAAAAUAUAUAAAUUAUUAAUAUUUUAUAUGAUAUGAAUAUAUAAAACAUUUAAUUUAAUUAGAAUCAGGUUGAAACACCCAACCGUAAUCACUCGUCACCACAUAAUUCUUUGCAAAAGGGAGCACCCCGCUUUUUCAGGAAGGAAAGUGGCAUCGUCAUGCGGCUGGAAAAGGAUGACUGCUUAUGGGUGCUCGUUAGACAAUGGAAAGUUUGGGGAGGCUCUUACUAUUUGCAGUACAACAUAUCAUCUGGGGUCAUGAACUGCAAGGAAUGGUCACAUCUUAAUGAAGCUCCUUACUUGCAAAUAAACGGGAAAGUGAUUAGGCAGAAGGGUUGCAGUUAGUUAAGUUCAGUGUUCAAAGUAUUUUCAUUGGGGAAAUUGUCAGCAAAAAUAAUUGCAGAAAAAAGCUGCAGUAGGACAAAGUAUAUCAUAUCAUGAAAAGUAUUAAUUCAUAUUAACCUGAGCCAAACAAGACAGAUCUUGUAAGCAGGUUUGGUUUUGAUAAUAAUAUUACCCACUGCAGCUUUCACAAGAGAGCUUCACCCCAAAAAUAGAUUCAGGAAAUGCAUGCAAGUUUAUGUCAUAACAAUGCCAAAUGCAAACAUGUAUUAAUUCAUAUUAAAUCCAAAGCUCUAAAUGGCUACUAAAGUUCCCGAGAAACAGGAGAAAACUAUAGACAAUGAUGAGAAAUGUUUUAACCUGAGAACCAAAAAUGGCUUCAAAAUGGGUAGUGCCUUUCUGUGUGAUGGCAUCAUGAAUAAUUUGUCAUCUAUACUUCUCUAAAUAUAGAACGGAACUGGCUGAGAUUCUGUCAACAACAUGGUAACACUUCUAACCAUUCCACAUUUCUCUUUUUAAUUUUUUUUUUUUAUGUAAGUUAAAGAAUUCAUAUAUCUUUCUUCCUACUCAUUUUCAGCUUUCAUUCAAGGGAUUAUGGCUAAUAAAUUUCAUAAAUGUUUGCACAUUUCGGACAGUUCUUGCCAUCCAGAUAGAUCUGUCUAUAUCAAUAAUAGAAAAUUCAAGUAAUAAACUUUGCGGCCAUCGGGGGAAAAAUCACUCUAAGAAAGAGGCAAAACAUGCAAGAACCCUUACGAAAAAUUGCAAAAAGAAAGACAAAGUUAAUCGAAUUACAGAGUUGACAAUAGCAAAUAUCACAUAGGCAAUUUAGGAGCAAGAUUUUACCACCUCCUACAAAUUCCAUGACAAUUAGCAUAUCACAUUCUGAUACCACACUCUGAAUAGAUCAUUAUUUCUUCUUCUAUUUGGCAUGCAAGCCCAACAUUCUUUGUAACGAAGAACAAUGGGAACAAAGUGAAGGAGAAACAGUGUCACCCUACAUAAAGGAAAGAAGAAAAAAAAAAAAGAAGCUAACCCAUAGCAUUCAAGACCAGGGCCAGUUAGCAUCUCUCCAUACAAACAAUCGCUCCCCAUGAUUUCUCUCAGCCACAAUUCCUGAAUCACUUCCUCCAACCUGCAUGAAUUCCUCUUUGUUCUGUCCCAUUCCUGGGACAGCAUUGCAGUUUUCUAUCAUGCUUCAAAGCUUCCUCCCUGUAUGAUGGAUUAGUGUACUUUGAGUGUUGUAUGAAUGUCACAUUUUUCCACCAUAGCUUUAGAGCCCUGAAAAACAUGGCAAUUAAUAUGAACACACUGAUUAACUUCCAAAGCAUCUAGCAAAUGCAUUUCAGUCCAGCUCUGGUAGAAUGAAUUGACAGGGACAUAUCUGCAUAAGAAAUAAACUAAUCUUGAAUUUCUAAGCAACUUCUGUGCUUGUCAUGGUGUAUGGUAACGAACAUUAAAAUUGAACCUUAUGCUACAGGCACCAAAAUGCACAUUUGUUCCCACUCAAGAUGUCAAUUUAUAUAACUAGUUUAUACUAUGUUAAGUUUUGCAAAUUAGUGCUGAUACAUCAACUUAGAACUCAGAUAAGACUGAGUAUAAAAGUAAGUUGCAAUGCAGGUGACAAGCCCUGAGGCCUUGAGGUAAACGCGUGUACUUGACACUUGAAUAGCUUAGUUGAUACAAGAAACAUAAUACUCAAUCAUGUUAUAAACCAUGAGAGUUCAAAUAAACAAGUGAAUAUGCUUGUGAGUAGUAAGUAUGGUCCUCUUUAAAAUUGAAAGCAGCAGUUCAAUAUGUAAGAAGAAGAAACCAAACUGCCCUGUAGAAUUUGCUAGAUUGAUGUGACUUUUAGUCAAAUUUUGAUGAGUUAUAUUACGAAUGUACACUAGCUUCAUUUUAAAUUUCAGCAAAAAAUUUCCAAUUUGGGGCAAAUUCAACAUAGAAAACACAAACCUCAGCAAUGCACUUCUUCAAAACCUUAAUCGUAGAUAACUGUCACAAUAUUUCAAUCCAUUUCAUCAAUUCUUUCAAACAGUUGCGAUAAACAGCGAAAGAAAAUUCAGCAACUCACACUGGGCCGGCGGUUUUGGCAAUCCUACAAGCUUUGUUGCCGGAGAGGUGAUCGGAUUGCACGCGAGGAGCGUGAUCGAGGUCGAAGAGAGCAUAGCGGAAGGAGUACGGAAAGAAUGGCGGACGGGGCGGCAUCGCUCGUGUCAUACGGUGCCCUCGUAGAGAGAAACGGCUUCAACUUGGGUGGUGGAGAGUGGAGGAGGACCACGGUGGUGGAAGGGGAGGAGGAGAGAGAAAGCGACGGAAGAUUUCCAUUUUCCCGUUAAUCGGCAGUUGACGGUUGGAGAUUCAUUUUUUUUUUUUUCGGAUUGGAUGAUGAUGCCACGUCGGCAACCGACUUCAUACUCACUUCCAUCCAGUCAGAUCUCUCCACCUAACCCAACAGACGGCAUGUCCGUCAUCUGGCCUUUCACUCCUACACACGUGUCCGUAAUGCAUUUGCAAUAACAAAACGUCACCGUUGAGAACUAAAACAUGUGGUCGCACUUCUUUCUUCAAAGAAAUCGCCCGAGGCAAACAAUGAAAUAAAAAAUACCAAUGAAAGACCCUCAAACUCUCCGCCAUUUUCUUUUCCUUUCUCUCAUAUAAAUUUCAGUCUUACCUUCUCCACUUCUCCCUCUUAAUUCAAUUCCAUUUCUUUGAAAUUUAAUUUCAUUUUUCGAUUCUCAUUUUCUUUUCGCGGGUGCAAAUCCAAUGGCUGCGAUCUUCCAAGGAGUUGGAGCUGCUGCAGCUUCAUCACCGUCCAAUUCUUUAGAUUCCAAGAAAUUCCUGUUCUCUCCUCAUAGAUCCUUCUCUGGUUCGCUGCACUUAAAUUUUUCUUCCAUUUUCUUUUCUUUUCAUUUCAUUUUUUAAUAAGUUUUCCUUUUGAAAUAUGAUUUGGUGCCAUGUGGAAAGGGGCGAGCUUUGUAGUGGUCAGAUCUGAUGGAAGCGUGAACCCUAAAGGUCGAAGGGCUCAACGAUUGAUUGCCAAUGCGGUUGCAGUAAUGAUUUUUUUUUUCUCUUUCUCUUUCUUUUUACGUUUUUAUUUUUAUUUUUUAAAAUUUUGUGUUGUUACUAAAUUUGAUUGUAUUUUGUUAAUUUUUUAGACCAAAGCUGACAGCUCUGCAGCUUCGACUUCUUUAAACCAGGGUAUGGUUUUAUUUUCGUUUCAAAGUUAACUUUCGAAUUAGCAUUACAUUUUAGUCAAUUGCUCAAAUUUUGUUAAAUACGGGUUUUAAGAAUGUAAAAGCCAAUCAGUUAAUUGUAUUUAUAUCUCAUGUAAAUAUGAAAGAUGUCGAUUUUAGUACUUCAUUAAUAGCAUUGGUUGGCAAAUAUUGUCAAACUUUGCUGCCUAGCGACAUUAGUUGAAGAUAAUAUCAAAUUCUUUUAUUUUUCUUCUUAUUGUUUUAUUUUAGAAUUUAAUGUAUUUAAACUUGAAUGUUGCUUAAUCACCUAAAUAUAUAUAUAUAUAUAUAUAUAUCUAUUCUUCGGACAUUUUAAAUACGAUAGCGUUACCAUUGAUAUUUGAUACCAUAGUUUCUAGCAGGCACGAUUCGGCUGAUAUGUUUGUUUAGAUAAUUUCCUGUUUGAGAUGCAUGCUUAUUGAAGUCUUUAGCCUCAAAUUGUGGUCUAAGGUUUCUUGCAUUUGAUACCAUUCAUCACUUUUGUAAAAUCAAUGCAGUCUUUCAAAGAUGAAUUUAUUUGUCAGUACCGCUAUGUUCUAGUUGGCUUAGUCUUUUUCAGUUAGUGCCUUUAUUUUGACAAGCACUGUUCUUUUCUGUUGCAAUGCUGCAACCCUUAGUGCAAUGGCUGAGUCAUCUCAGUCCUACUGUUAUCAAGUGGGUGCCAUGGACAUUUGUGUCAAAUAUUGAAUGAAAAGGGCUUCACUUGAGUUUGGAGUGUAUGUAUGUAUACAUGCAUGCAUGCAUGCAUGUGUGUAUGUGUGGGUGUAUGUAUGUAUAAAUGUCUCUGUUUUUGUGUGUUGCAUGGGAGUUAUGUUGCAUGGUCAAAUUUCUGCAUUCAUACUUUUUAUCACUAUCAUGUCCUUUUUUAUGAAAAAUAUUAGCACUAUCACAUCAGUCUCAAUUAUCAGUGAUAUGUUUAAUUAUAUCUAUAUUGUAUCCCCAGGCAUGAGCUUUUACAUUUUGAAGCUCUACGAGAGGGCUUGGAAGAAGAAAUGGAGAGGGAUCCCUGUGUAUGUGUCAUGGGUGAAGAUGUGGGUCACUAUGGAGGCUCAUACAAAGUGACCAAAGGACUGGCUACAAAGUUGGGGACCUUAGGGUUCUUGGACACCCCUUAUAGCUGAGAAACUCCUUACUGGCAUGGGAAUUGGAGCUGAUAUGACUGGUCUGAGACCAGUUGUUGAGGGUAUGAACAUGGGAUUUCUCCUCCUUGCUUUUAAUCAGAUCUCCAACAACUGUGGUAUGCUUCACUAUACAUCUGGUGGCCAGUUUACCAUACCGAUAGUCAUUCAUGGACCUGGUGGUGUUGGACAUCAACCGGGGGCUGAGCACUCUCAAUGCCUUGAAUCAUAUUUUCAGUCAAUCCCUGGAAUCCAAAUGGUUGCAUGCUCAACCCCUUACAAUGCCAAGGGUUUAAUGAAGGCUGCAAUCAGAAGUGAGAACCCUGUUACAACCUCAAGGAGAGAAUCCUAGAUGAGGAUUAUAUCUGUAAUCUUGAGGAAGCUGAGAUGGUAAGGCCUGGAGAACAUGUCACUAUUCUAACCUAUUCAAGGAUGAGGUAUCAUGUGAUGAAGGCAGCAAAAACUUUGGUGAACAAGGGUUAUGAUCCUGAAGUAAUUGAUAUUAGGUCUUUGAAGCCAUUUGAUCUUUACACUAUUGGGAACUCAGUUAAGAAGACACAUCGUGUUCUUAUUGUGGAGGAGUGCAUGCGGACUGGUGGUUUGGUGCUAGCUUGACCGCUGCCAUUACUGAGAAUUUCCAUGAUUAUUUGGAUGCUCCAAUUAUAUGCUUAUCUUCACAGGAUGUGCCUACACCAUAUGCUGGAACAUUGGAGGAAUGGACUGUUGUUCAGCCUGCCCAGAUUGUGACAGCCGUUGAGCAGCUCUGCCAGUAGUUGCGAUAGCAAAAAUAGUGAUGGCGUAGUUGGAAGUUCUGUUGGUCUUGUCAUGUUUUUUUGGAAACCAGCUCUGUUGCAAUUUUUUUUUUUUUUUUAUAUCUAAUUUCGGUUUGUUAGAAAUUUUGUCUCAGUUGAAACUUGGAAAUGUUCAUCGAGUUGAGGCCUUUUGUGUGGCAAGUAAGAUCUUCUUUAAGCAAUAGUUACAGGUAAGAAUACUGGAAAAUAACUCUUUACUUCCAGUUUCUCUUUCACAUUAUUAAACACAUGAGAUAAAGCCAUGUAAUUCAUUUCGUCAUAAUUUUUUUCUGAUGGAAUGUGGUAUGGCAAAAUACUCUCAUAUAUUUAUAUCUUUUUAUUGUCUCUAAAUUCUCAGUUUUCAUUUUUCUUUUAAUCUUCGUUUAAACUUAUUCACUUCAUAUCUGCUGCUGUCAAGUUGCUGCUUUUGCCCCAAGCUCCCAGGGACUUGGCUUCGAUGGAAGUGGAAGAUUUAGCACUUAGUAAUAUAUUAACAAAUUGCUUGUUUGCAUUCUGGCUUAAUACCAUUGUUGCAAUGAAAGGUUCAUGUUUGCUUGGCAAUGGACUAAAACUAAAUUGGCUGAAACGAGAAAUCUAAUCCAUUUGUCAAUUAUCACUUCUUGAUUUUAUUACAUAAGGAUUAGUGGUUUUUAAUUACCUUUGAAUUUACUUCAUUUGCAUGACAUUGCAUUACAUUUGUUGAUUGUCUUUGCCACAACAUUGUGCUUUUAUGAUCGAUUGUCAUCACACGAAAGAGUUAGAAAUUCAUUUGAAACCAGGAAAUUGGUGUGGCUUGAGUAAAAAGAUGAGGAAUGUGGGUUAUGAGUGGGUCAGUUAUGUAUGGCCCUGGGGAGAGAAUCCUGCAGACUGUAGAGUCAGGUGUCAAUUAAAAGUCAUCUGCUCAGGAAUAUUUUGUACGGCCAACAAACUAAGCUUGCCCCUUUAUAGAGUUUUCUUUUGAGCAGAAGUCAACUCAUGCUUAAUAUUGUUGGUUCCUUUUUUUUUGGCAGUAGUCUUAAUGUAGAGCUCUCUGUUCAUGCUAAAAUUAGAACCCUACUCAAUUAUAUAAGAUCAAUGAGAAGGCUGAAUGAAAUAUUGUAGAUUGAGGUGAACCUUCACAUGAGAUAUUUUAUAGUUUCUGUAAUCCGGCCACAAUUACUUGAAAAUGUUGAAAGCUGUAAGCCCUUUCUUUGGGAUUGUUAAGUUUGGGGAGGGAAAGGUGAAGUAUGGCUGCCAUCGUGCCAUUUCCAAUCCAUUGCCACAAGAGCUGGACCUUUUUUUUUCUUUAGGAUUAUGUUUAGUGGCUUUCAGCAUAGCAUCUGAAUGUUUCAUACCCUGGAAAGGUUCCUGCUAAGACAAUAUACUAGCCAGAGGAUCUUGGCAAAAUGAAACAGCCUAGGGACUUUGAAAGCUAGCUGUUGCAUGAGUAACAAUGUUUUUCAGUAUGGUGGUUGGCACAUGCAUAAUCAACAAUGUGUCCAGCAGUCCACGAAAGCAAUCAUUACAGAGAUUUACAAUCUAUUGUUUUCUUGAUUGCAUUCAAACCUACCCAUGUGGAAGACAUGAGGAUUAAUAAAAUCAAAUUAUCAAUAGACGGCUGGAGAUUUCCUUGUGAGAUAAGCCAUGAUUUUUGUCUGAAGUCCUAGUGGUGGUUUUCUCAAUCCAGAUUGAUGAAGAUGUGGUUUUCCUGCCUUCUUUCUGUUGUCUUGAUUUCAUAAAAAUCUAUGGCGGCACCAUAUGUACGAAUAUCAUCAUUAAUUGUUAUUGUCAAAUUAAAGAUGAGUUGAUCUUGUUACAACUGACAAUGAUGCAAUUUUGUUGCUUGAUUUUCACCACAUACAUGUGCAUGUGGGCAUCUGGAAGGAGCAGCACCCCAUACAUCUCUCCCCACUUCCAAUAUACUUUUAACUGGCUUUCCCUAAGCAUUUGUGGUGCCAUUGCUUCCAGGGUAGGAAACAGAAGCUGAUACUUGGUUUACAACUCUGGACGCUUUUCCUAGGCUCCAAUGUUAUCCUCGAUUUUUUGCCUUUGGAUUUUUAGCACCCAAGUAGUUUUUCUAAUUACUUGAGGAGCCAUUAAUAUGUAGUAGUUUGAAAGUUUUAGGAUGGAUUGCAAACAAUAUGGGCUGCAAUUUUGGAUGGAUGGGUAGGCCCCAUCCUCUAUAUCUAUCUAUAAUAAUUACAUAUACUAAAUCUAAUACUCUCAACACCAUAUGAGUGGCUGAUAGUGUGGAGAAUAUGCAGCAAAUCUUUUCUUCUAUUUUCAUUUCCCAGAGUGUGCUCAAGCACAUGUUCACCAGCAUUUAUACUGGCUUUGCAUCGUUGCAUGUGGGUGGUUUUAUAUUGUAACAAGGACAUGAUGGGUUUUUUUGCAAGUUGCAAGCACUUUACAACUACUUGUCUAGUGGUUAUAAUUCCUUAGACUAAGCAGAACCAGAGGAUCAAGGGUAGGAGGAGCAAUUAAGUGCAUGAACAAGAGCAUAAACAUUGGUUGCUAUACUGCAAGCAUUCUCUUUUAACAACGGUCCUUUAUAUUUUUUAAUUUUGGGGACAGAAAUCCUUUAAGAUAUGAUUCAUUUCUUUUGUUGGCUCUGCUUCAAAUCUAUUAGAUGAUGCCUGCUUGCCAUGAUCUUUCUUUCUUAUUGUUAUUCAUGCCUCAAAUCAAUUGGACAUCGUUACUAACCUAAGAUAUUAGAGUGUAUAUGAUCUUGAGAUGGAUUCAUAGAUAUAGGUCUCGUGUCUGAUCAAAUUUAAUAGCUUAGCGUUCAAGGGCUCUGGAGCUCUUGCUAUACUGGUUUCGGAGGAUUGAUUUUUCCAUGAUGUGAUUGUCUAUAUAAAUGAUUUACUAGUAAUUAGGUUUUCAGGUGGACAGUAGCAUAAUCAAGCGAGAAUUGUUGCAUUUUUUAUUGAAGAUAUUUUACUUAAACCAUGUUUGAUAGGAAGGAAAAAUGUAGGGAAAGGAAAAGAAACAAACACAGCCUUAUUUUGUAAGAUUUAUGCAUAAACUAUUCAUGAUAUUUUUGUCCCUGUGAAAAAUCAUUUCUAAUAAUGCAAUAGAAUACUUACAAAAAAUGGUAAUUAUUGUCCACUUGUUUUGCUACUUGGUACCAGCAAGAACAAACCAGUAAAGAAUUGUUGGUCUAAAGAGUUAACAUAUAUAUAUAUUAAUUAGAUUGAUUCAUGUUAUGGGGGUAGCAGAUUGAAAUUUUGUCUUCGUACCCUUGCAAAGAGCAAUCGACUGCAGAUAUAAUCAAACAAAAACAUGUUCAUUUUUAAUUAGAACUUCUGUCUCAAACAUGCUUGAACAUGUCCUUUCUUAAGCUUCGUUGCUGUCCUAUGAUCCAUGCAUGAAUGUCGCUGUGCCAUGUUCCAUGUGAACACUCACAGUCUAAUGUCAUUUUCUUUGGUUAACCGUUGGCCUCUGAUCAGAUCAGAUCAUAAUAUGAUCUUUAAGCAGGCUCCUUGGAUACAAAAGUUACAUUGUUUUCUCCAUAAAUGUUUUCCUUUUUCCUUCAAUUUCAGGAAAAGGCAAUCAAUUCAGGCAUGAAUAUAUAUUGGCCCCAGCAGCAGUAUAGAUAUAUGCAUUUAAAUCUACCCAUGUGGAAGACUCGUGGAAUCCAAUUGGGAAUGUGAUGAGAUGGCAGUAGAUAUUUUGAUAUGAUCAUAUGUUCUUUCCUCUGCAAUACAUUUUGGCAUUUAUAAAAUGAUAAUUAUUUUUUCUUUCAUUUCCCUCUGUUUAUAAUUGGUUAGAACUAGAAAUCUACCCAUAUUUGUCUUUGGUAAGAUUCUUUCGACAUUAUCAUAUGAUAACCUAGUUUUUUAUUGGUAUUCGAAAUUAACAUGCUUGAAUCAAUACUCAUUACAAUUUUUAUUUUUUUUUUUUUUGCAUUAGGCAUGUGAAUCGAUCAUGUGCAAUAGCAAGUUUUAGGUGUUGGGAAGCAUGCGGUUUAAGGCAAAUGCACAAGUGAAAAAUGCAGCAAAGGUUUAUCAGUGCACGUGACCUGACCCUCUUCAAGAAAGUGACCCCCGGCCGACCCAAGUGCCUUGCUAAAACAAGCUUCACCGGGGACCAUAUUCUCCUUAAAUCACCACAAAAAAUGAACUGCAUCCAUACCAUUAUCACAUUCUAUGCAGAUGGCAUUGUGGCCCAGACAAGACUGGUUUGGAGAUAAAAUGUAGCAGCUGUUUACACUGAAAGAAACCUCGAUGGUCUUUUCUAGCCAUCCCAUCUCAAAACAUGUCAUUCAUUUAUCUCUGUGUUUUUUUUUUUUUUUAGUUUUUCUGGAUGAGGAGGCGGUGGGCUCACAACUGUUGAAACCUGUUAUUGUGGAUAUCAGGAUUAGGGCAUUAAAUUAAAUAAAUUUUUGUAGCAUCCCAAGAAACUUGUCUCUCUGAAAUUUUAUGUACCCGUCGUUUGUUUAUUAGGCUUUGCUUUUAUAAUUGCAUGCCUCAGGGCUGUAGGAAUUUCUGGGCAAAGGUUGCAUGGAAAAUGACUUCCAAUUCAACUCUGUCAUAAAUCUUUGUAACAGUCGAAGUUGGAGGAAAGAAGGAAAUGUAUUAAUUGGAAAAGAAAUUAUAUUAAGAAAUUGGUUUGCCGAUGCUCAUCCCAGUUAGAACAGUUGACAAGAAGUAAUAACUGCAUAUAUUUAGAAAGAUUUUAGCCGCAUAAUAUAAUAUUAAAAAUUGAUAAAGAUAUUAUUGAUUUAAUUGAUUAAGAUUUAUUUUUUUAUGAAUAUUUUUAAAUUUUAUUAGAGAUCAUUUAUUAAAAUUAUUUUAAAUAUAUAAUUUAUAAUUUUUUUAAAUCAUUGAAUUAAAAUAUAUCUGUAUCUUAAUUCAAGAAUUAAGUAACUUAUUUACUUUAAUUUUUUUCGGAAAAAAAAAACUGAUAAAGAUUUCUUACGUGAUUUUAGAAAUUUGUCACCACUACAGCUAACAGUAGUUUCUCCUAUAUAUAUAUAUAUAUAUAUAUAUAUAUAUAAAACUUUAAAAAAAUGUUAAAGUAAUAGAUGUGAAAAUCUAGCCUUUCCAGCGUAGGUGCCAGCUGCAGCUGCACGUGUGGUGUGGUAUGGCUCUUUAUUAUAAUAUUAUAUAAUAUAAACAAUUCUGUAUUUUUGUUUCUUCAAUGCGUAGAUGGGUACAUGGGAGUCUCUGCCUGAUUUUGACGUGAGGAGAUUGGUUUGUUCUGACCAUUUCUCAAAGGCCAAAUUGUAAAACCAAGUAACCAAUCAACAAUAACAAUAACAGUAGUUUGAUUUUCUAUUUGGCCUUCAAAAGUUAGCUAGCUUAUGUUUAAUUUGCAGCUGUCAAAACCCUUUUCGUGUCUCAGGCUCUCGAUUUCUUGGUAGCCAAGUAGAUAGCUUAAUUGGCUUGAAUUUUGCUGUCAGGUCUCCAAGUUACAAGGAGUCUCCAGCUUUCUUCCAAUCUGUUUUUUAUUAACAAUUUUUUUAUUAUAUAUUUUUGUUUGUGAAUUCCUCUCCUCGAUGAAGGGUUUUUUUUUUUAAAUGUUACAUUAAGUUAGCAUCAUUAGUAGAAUGUUUAUAUUCUUUUUCUUCAUUUUUAAGUUAGUUCUAGAAAAGUUCUAUGUAUUGUAUUUAAAAACAAUUAUUUUAAUUAAUUCUAACUGGCAGCCCUAUGGGGAGAGCUGAAGGCUUCAUAUGCUUCUUAAUUUUUUAUGUAUAGUGGUGGCAAUAAUAAGUUUUUGAGAUUAUAUUUAAUAUUACAUUGCACCGGGCCAUAAUCUUCCCAGUAGAUUCUAAGUACUUGGUCUUAACAUAUUUACAUGAAGAAACGAAUAAGAAAAUCGUCACUCUAUCACCCUAUGAGAGCUUGAAGAGUCUGGUAGAUCUGCGUGCAAAGGUCAGCAUAUGUUCAUAGCAAAACCGAAAUCCAGGAGAGAGCUGAGAGAGCGAGACGUGGUUGAAUGUACGCUUGACGCAGCCACAUUUCAAAAUGUGCAGUUGAUCUUUGCAGGGACACAUGUUUGCUUUUCCGCUAGACUGUUGGAAUAAUUUCUGUUGGUCAUAGGAUUGAGCACGUCGACAAAAUCGAGUUUCAAGCAGCUGUCCUGUCACAGCUUAUAGUUUCCUAGUAAAUUGUGGUGAAGUGCAUUGCCUGGUAAUGCUGAUGUUGAACUUGGAAAUGAUGACAAUUUCAAUAAUAACCAAGUAUGCAUUAAUUAUGAUGUCAGUAAGAGCUAGGGGGUUAAUGAUCUCAUUCUCAUAAUCACCGGUUUGAAAUUUUUAGUCAAAAUUUUUGUUUGCAUGAACAAAAUCUGAAAGCACCCAUGUUUCGAUGCCAUCAGUUUAUGGCAUGCAUCCAGGGGGCUGCUGCUUCAUGAGUAGAAGAAAAAAUGGAUUUGCCAGCCGGUUUUUUAUUUGGCCACAUGCAUGUUCUGCCUCACUGGCAUAGCUAUACGUAUAUGUAUAUAUUAUAGUUUCAAUGUCCUAUUGGUGAAUGGGAAUGAAAAUCAUAUUACAAUCUUUGAAACCCAUUAAACUGGUGAAAUCUAUGUUUGACGGUUUUCAACUAGAAUUCAGUAGUUUCAUUGACAUGGCCUGCGAAAAUUUGAGCAUAUGGCCUCGUCGCAAUGAUUCGCGGAGCUUAGAGGAAACUGUAAACAGUUGUAGUGGCAGGAAAUUGGAUAUAGAUGAGGCAGGACUUUGAUCAGCUUGAUGAACCAUAUAGUUUGAUAUUAUCCAACAACUUAGGGCAAUUGAAUGCAUAAAAAAACAUAUCCGAGCCAAUGAGGCUUUGGGUUAAUGGCAAGAAAAAGAUCAUAAAAUCCAAAGAUCCUAAGAUUAAUAUGUGUGUGAAUUUGAUUGUCUACUGGGACAAAGACAAAUAAUUCAUGAAGGAGGACGAAAAUAAUGAAUAACUAAUAUUUUAUUUGCUUGUUGUAAUGGGGUUUUAAGAGUAAAAUUUUUUAUUUAAAUAAGUUUUAAUUUUUUAAAAAUAUUAUCUAUCAAAAUCUUUUUGAAAACAUUACAUAUGUUAAUAUCAAUAUAAUUGUAUUUCGUUAAUCAUAAUUCUAUCAAGAAUAGAUCAAUAAAUAAAUAUUAAAAAAAUAUUAAAUUAAAUUAAAAUAAUAUAGAGAUUAGAGAAGAACCUGAUGAUAAUCCUUUUUCCUUUUUUUUUUGGUAAAGAAGAGAAAUCGGAUUGCAAAAGGAUAAUUCAUGCUCAAAUCUCAAUUAUCUACUAAUUUUUUUUUUUCAAAAUAUUUUGAUUUUCUAGCACUAUGGCCUUCUUAGACUAAUUUUCUAGCACUAACCCUAAUCCUAAAUGAUGAAAAUUGCUUAACUUUAUGUUUAUAAAGUUUGUUGUUAACAACAAAAGUGGCAUUAUGGCCUAUAGAUUAAAAAGAUGGAUUAGGAUUUUUUUUUUGCCACAUAUCGAUUAGGAGUUUAUAGGAUUAAAAAUUUAGAUUGUUUGAAUUUUUUUUGUAUAAAUAACUUAAGCCCAUUUUAAUUGAUAUAAUUUUUUGGAUUGAAUUAAGUAAAAUUAAGGGUAAAUAGAAUAACUAACUGUUAAAGCCAUAUUAAAUAAAAUUAAAUUAGUAUAAAUAUAAUGAUAUAAAAUUCACAGGAAUCAAUUUCUAAAUUAAUGGGGCAAGUCAUAAUUUAAAAUUGAUGAGGGCCAAGUUCCUAAAUUAAUCCGAAGAAAAGUAAUAGUCAAACAAUAAAACCAUAUUAGCAAAAUUUUUGGGGGUCAUGGCAGGAUAAAACUUAUAUCAAGUUUUUUAAGUGAAAUUUGUGAAAUAUUUUUUUAAAAAUGAUUUAAUAAAAAUUUUAAUAAAAAAUAUAAAUUGAUAGAUUGAUAGAGUUUAAUAUAAAAAUCAAUAAUAUAUAAAAAAAAUGAUUAAAAAUAUUAUUUAUAAAUUUGUUCGAUACUUAUUUGAUAGUAAAAAUUUUAUCAAUAUUUUUACUAAAAAUAUUUAUUAAAAAAAAUCAAAAUUUAUUAUAAUUUUUUUAAACUUUAUACACCCAGAUCUAUAUAACGAAAAUUUUCGAUCUAUCAAUUUUUAUUUAAUCCUUUUUUUAGAAAACUUCACAAAUUUCACAAAAAUUUCGUCUAAAUUUAUUCCCACAACCCAUGCUUGCCCACCCUUGUCUUUGCUUUUGGUUCUCUAAUUAUGUACUUUUCCAUUUUUUUUUAUCAAUUAUAAAACUUGCUUUUCAAAAGACAAAAAGUUUAUCCGAAAAAAAGAACACAUAUAUUAAAGGAACUCUAUUUUUAAAGAGCAAUGGUGCUCAAGAAUACCAAAAAAAAAAAAAAAAUCAUACUUAGCACGUAUUUUAUUUUCUCCAUUAAUUUUAUGCUUCACACACUUACCAGGCAACCAAAAAAUAUUUCUAAUUUUGUAGCACUAGUGUGGCGCAACAUUCAAUUUGCACCAUCAUACAAAGUAAGAGUAUACACUAACAUUAUUAAUAUUUGCUAAAGAUAAAUUAUUAGUGCAGAAAAACCAUUCAUCUUUAAAAAAAAAAAAAAAAAACCUUAAAACCAAGUGACCUUCUUUUCAAAAAAUAAAAUAAAAAUAAUAUUAAAAUAAUAAAAACAUGAAAAUUUAAUUCUUCUAUCUUGUCAAUUCAUCAAGUGAAUUUCUCUUCUAUAACUAUGCAAAGAGACGUUGAGAAUCUUUAAUAUGAAUCACAAACUUAAUUUCUUGAUUGGUGACUGAUCAGCAAUGUUAAGAUAGGGUGAAGAAAAUAUUUUUUUCUAAGCAUGUUUGUAAGUCAAAAAUUCCAUUCAAGUAAUAGUUCCUGGAUUAGGGCAAAAAAUAUAAUUAAAUUGUGAGUGAUGCUAGGGACAUCACAACAAAUCUUUUCUAUUAAUUGUUGUCUCAGCAAUCCAAACAAUGUGAAAAUUGAACUAUUAUCCAUCAAAUUCGUAGUAGUGAAUAAUUAAUAGAAAAAAAAUGUUGUAGUAGUGAGAGUUUAUGCAACAUUAUCAUCAAAUUGGGGUCUAAUUAGCUGGUUGGAUGAGGGUAAAUAUAUUAAUAUUUGACCGACUUCGAGCAGGGACACUUUGGGUUAUUUCUUUUUGGUUUUUUUUUUUUUUUUAAACUUUGCUGGUGUUCUGUCAGUGCCCAAGGGAAUUGGUAGCUAGGAUUAAGGUUUCUUUUAUUUUGAUUCUUCUUUUACUUAUCCUUCAUGGGUGGCCACUUCCCCUUCUCUAACUGGAAACCUCAAAUUGAAAGAUCUAAUAGAGUAGUCCACGAGUUUAUUAAUUAUUUAAAUAAUUAAUUUGUAAGAAAAUAUAAAAGUAAAGAAAUUUGAAGGAAUGAUGUUUGAUUAGGAAACAAUUACUAGGAGAAGAGUUUGGUGAUUAGUUUAAACAACGAUACAUGAUAGAGAGGUGGGUCAUCUUUUAUAUAUACACAAUUAUUUCUUUGGCAUAAAGUAAAUCAUACUUUAACGAUAAAAAAAAAAAAAAGAGUUGUAAAUGUUUAAUUAAAUAUGAAUUAUAUAUAUUUUAUAUCAAUUUUUAAGAAUAAUUAUAUAAAUUAAUUUAAUUAAAUUUAAAAUUUUAUAAAACUAUUUCUUUAUAAUAUGAAAAGUUAUUCAUUAAUUAUAAUUUUUAUAAACUUGGAGUGUUGAGAAUUCCCUUGAAAAGCAUUGAUUAAAUUAUGGUAUUAUAAAAUUAUAUUAAAAAAAUUAAGUAAAAAUAAUAAUACUAUUAGUAGUAGUAGAAGUUUGCAUCAUCCAAUUCGUCAUGGUGCACAGAUUUGAGGGAAAGUUAGAUGAUGAAAUUAACCAAAAAAAAAACAAAAAAACAAAAGAAAACUUCUUAAUUCGAUCUUCUCUUUCUCUACCCCUUUUUCCUUUUGUAAACGUGUGCUUUCCACUUUCUUUUUUUUUUUUUUCGUUGAAGCUCUCUCCCUUACAGGGUGACAUGCAAUUGUUAAGUAUCAUGAUUUUUUAAGCCUUCGAUGCCACGUGGGUUUUACGUUGACACCAUGUGCUUCAAAGCAAUUAGGGUUUUAAUGGAGGUUUUAUAACUAUGCUUUGCUUUGCUUGUUGUUAUUGUGACUGAUGGAGAGCAGUAUUAACAGUCACUCCGUCCCAUCAUACUAAUUAUCAUGUAUUGGUUCUCGUGAAAUUAAAAAAAAAAUAAUUUUAAUAUAUUUAAUAUUAAAAUUUUAAAUCUUUUUUAUAAGAUUAAAUGCCAAAAAAUAAAAUAAAAAAUAAAAAAAAGUAAGAGUUUAGAUAUUCCAAAAAGAAAAUAGAAUAUAUUUUUGAGAUAUCUCAAAAAAAUAUUAACAAAGAAAAUGAGAUAAAGAGAACAAUAUUAAGCUUAUUUUAUCGGUUGUGAUCCGCAUCAUGUUUUCGGUUUUAUGAAGAAAAGAUAGAGAAAAUAGGCAUACAAUGUUUCAUGUUUUUCAAUUAAUCUUUGUUGGGGAAUAAGCGAUGUAAAUCUAUUAUGAUAUUGUGGAAUUCGGUGAGUCUUAGCACCGAAAAAUUAGAAUUUAAUUUAAGAGCAAUGGGAAUUUGUAUUUUUUGGUACUAUACUGUAGGAUACAUGUAGAAUUUCCAGAAUCGAAAAAUUACUUUCAAUGUUCAAAGAUUAAUAUUUUAUAUAUAUAUAUCCAUGGUGCUGAGACAGGUAUUUCUUGCAUAGAUUUUAUGAAAGAAAAAUGCAAUUACCAUAAUGAUUUCGAUCAUUGAAAAUUAAGAGAAAAAUUAGAUAUGAUGAUUCAUAUAUUUAUAUCAUAUAAACUAUUAAAAUUUAUAUAUUAAUAUCGUAUUUUAUAUGAAAAUUAUCUAUUAUAAUUUUUGUCAAUAUAAAAAUAUAAAAUAUAUAUUUUUAUUUUAUUAAAUUUAGAUAUAAUUAUUACUAAAAUUUUAAAUUUUAUUAUUUUUAUAUCUUAUAUUUAUAUCGUAUUCAUAUAAUAUCAUCAUAUCAUAUUUUAAAUUGUUAAAUCUAAAAAAAUGACUAUACAAAAGAAAAGAAAAGGAAAACUUUUUUUUUUUAUGUUUGAAAUUUUGGGUUUAGAGUUUUAAUUUAUGACAAAUUUCAUGUUAAAUUUACAGGUGUAAAACUCAAAUUAUUUUACUACUUUCAAUUAAUUCAUAUAAAUAUUUUUAAAAAUUAUUAUUUUAAUAAAUUUAAAAUUUAAAUUUAAAUACAUACCAUCUUUUUUAACUAUCUUAAAUUAUUGUCUCCUUAAAACUCAAUUUUUUUGACAAAAUCCUGAGAUAAACCUAAGUGGGACUUUUGUGUUGGUGUCCAGUUGCUCUUUCAAUUCUCAAUGAGAAUUGAGUAGUCAGAAAAAAAAAAAAUCCUAAACAUGUCAUCCUCCAUACAUCCAACCUUGAUAAAUUUAUGGCCCAUAUUCAUUCUAUGGAAAAAAUGAAAUUUUACAUAACUUUUUUUGAAUAAAAUACCCAAAAAAAAAAAAAAAGAAAUUAAUCCUGCCGGGGGGUUAUGUAAUUUCAUAAAUUUUAAUUUGGCCAGCUGCUUUUUUGUAUAUAAACACAAAUUAGCUUUAAUGAGAUUAAUUUUUGUUUUGCAAUAAAGAAUAAACUAAUAAGACGCGAAAAUUAUAUAUUUUACUUUAAUUUAAAUCUCAUAUUUUAUUUUAUAAAUUUUUAAAAAAUCUCACAUUUUAUAAGUGUGAGUUUUGCUAUAUAUAUUUAGAAAAAUAGUGGUACUAAUAAUUGUAACAAAUUUUUUUUUAUUUUAGAUUAUGAUUAGGAUUAUAAUUCUGUUUUAUCACUACAACUAAUCAAAUUAAUUAUAGAUCAAUAAAACAUAACAAAAUGCAGUAUUGAAAUGACUAAUUUUUUUUAAUUUGAUUUCAAUUAAUUGAUCAUCAAAUGCAUCGAUUUAACAAAACAUUUAAUUGCAACAAUUCCCAACUAAUUAGCCAAAUUAAAGCUUUCAAAAGUACUUUCUGGUGUACUUAAUAAAACCAAAAAUUAAGAUUAGAGCAAAGUUGACUAGCUAAUUACUUAACUGAUCACUCUGUUAAUGUAUGUAAUUUAUUAAAGAUUUAUAUUUAAUUAAUUAUCAGUGUAUAAAUUUUAUAUAGAUAAUACAAUUAAGAUGAAUCAUAUCGAGUAAAUUUUUUUUUUCUGUUAGAUUUUUAAAUCACUUCAAGUCUUCAACCGACCAUAGAACCAUGUCCUCUGCAUUUUGAAUCAGAAAGGCUCUUCGAUAUCUGCAGACAAGAAGGGAAAAAAAAUGGAGUCAAAAUAAUGGCUGCCAAAACCCAAAAGACAAAAAGCUAAUAAUAUGUAACUAUGUUUGAAACUGAAUGAACAACAUUAUUCAAACUUAAUUGUAGAUAAAAAAGAAAAUAUGCACUAAAAAGAAUUGGGAACAGCCGAAACAGGCAAAUUCUGUGUGCACUGUAAAUAUUUAUAAUCCAGAAUGAAGAAGUGAAAACUUCACAGAUAAAAAUGAAGGAUGAAGGAAAGAAGGAAAGGGAAACCAGCAGAGCUCAAAUUCUAUAGCUACAUGCUAAAAAGCUACAAGCUGGUUCCUUGAAACCUAUAAUAAGGGGGAAAAUCCCUAUGUCUAACCUAAAAUUAAAUUUCCAGGAGAAUCCAGGAAUCUGUAAUCUGAACCAUCCCUCUGGUAAAGAUCUCCCUGUGCGGUUGUAAAAACCUGUUUUUUUUUUUUUUUCUUAACUUAAUUUACGUGUAAUUAAUCUUGAUUGAGCAAGGCCUUGGCGUCUAUAAACGUUCCAUGAAAGCCGUAUGGGACCCUGGAAGGUAAUUUAAUUGAAGCUUCGAGCUGUAAAUUCAUGGCGUUUACAAUUUGAAGCUCUGAUUUCCAAGUUUUCUCGUCGUGCACAAAUGAAAGAAUAUAGCCAUCAUCUUCAGCUGAUUCACAAUUGUCGUCUCCAGGCAAGAAAAACGGCUCCCCACCAUAUCUUUUAUCACCAUAAAUGUGUUUUUUUACCUCCCCAGUAAAAAGAUCAACCUUGGCGAAGCCCGACACUUUCGGCCAUGGUUCAGCAAUGGCAAGAUAAGCGUACCUUGUCUUCCUUCCAAGCAGGUUUCGGUUAACCAUCCCAGCUUCCAAGUUCACUUGCUCCGAUUCUGAGAUUAUUGGGCGGCGCGUGGACUCACCUGUCUUCAAAUUAAGCCUAAUUUCGGACAAUACACUCUUUAAACUCUCGUCACAUUCGUUGAAAAUAGAGUCGGGAGGUGUCAUGCAAGAACCAAUCACCACAACUUCAUCCGAUUCCGGCUCUUCCCAAGCGUUCCAUAGGUGAAAACAGAAAGUGUCAGGCGACUCAACCCAAAUAAUAUCCUUAGAAUCACUUGGAUUUUUAGAAAGAAUCCCAAAACGAGACUUCUUGUUCUUGUCAUAAAUCACAGGAGACCCACCGGUAAUCAUUUCUUGCAGCUUGAACACUACUUGCUGAUCAGGGAUCACCACGAAAUUCUUGGUGAUCGCGAAAUCAUGCAUCAUAGUUGGCACGGACAGAGGAAUCUCGACAUCUGGUGAUUUUUUACCGUCAGGGAAAAACCUGAAGUACUUUAAGUAAGGCUUUUGGACAACAUCGUAACUCAAGGCAAAGAGUUCCUUGGAAAAAGGAUCAAUUUUGGGAUGUGCAAUCAUUGAGGAUUUAAGUUGAUCAUCAAAACUGUAUCUUCCAACUGUUUCCAAAUCACCCGAGGAAGUGAUGCGCACGUGGUAAGGAAGAUCAUCUUCGGACAUCGCUAGAAGUCGGUUAUUGAAAUAGACUAAGCCAGCGUUAGCUACUCCAGUGCCUUUUUUGUGAUCGACAAGGCCAAAAAGCCCUCUCGCAUAAAAAAGUAAAAGCCUGGCAAUCCCUGAGUGGCCAUGAAGUUCACCAAUUGCCUUAGGGAAAACAGGGCGGCCCAAUUCUUUUUCUUGUAAAAAUCUUUGCGUUUCAGUAAAACGACAAGCGUAGCUGGCGUCCCCAUUAUCAAUGGUAACGGCAUGUACCAUGCCGUCACCGUCAAAGAAGUGGUGGCCAGCAACAGGCUCGAAUGAAGGGUUGGCGCCGUUCCGGAGAUAAACACCGUUGAUGCAAGAAGGUAUGGUGCCAGUGAUGGGAAGAGAUUGCUUGACGGGUUGUUCAGGGACGGGAGCAAAGUUUCCGGAGAUUUGCACACGUGGGUCAGCGGUUUUAGGAAGUGGGUGUUGACGCUCGUGUGAGACCAACGCCCUUUCAGCCAGGUCAAAGGCCAUGGCUGCAGCUCUUUGGAGGAGGUUCCAGUGUGGCUGUUGUUGGGGCUGGUGGUGGGUUUUGGGUUUUACAUUUACAGAGGUGUCUUCUCUUGGGAUUAAAGGGCUUUGGACUGGUUGUUUUGGGAAAUGGGGAACCGAGGGAGAGUGCAAAACUGACUGAAUAAUGUUGGCAUUGUUGCUUCCCCUAAGACUAGUUCUGUUGGGCUGCCGUUUCUUCCAGGAUAUGGAUGUUGGAGAGAAGCCCAAAUCCAUUGUCCUGGAGGAGAAGGAGGAAAGAGGAUGGGAAAUCUGGGCUUUGGCCCAAUUACCUGUGGAAGAAGCCAUGGCUUUUAAGGGAAGUAGGUGUUUUUCUGGUUCCGGGUGUGCUCAAAUUGAGGGCAAGAGAUAAGAGUGUAUGGCGCCUGAUCCCCAAAGAAAUGAAAGUGAGAGGAGGUGGGAGAGAGAGCGAGAGCUUUGGAGAGAAAGGAAGAGAAAAAUGGAGGUAUAAAUAGAGUUUGGGGUGCUGAAAGAGAAGGGAAUUUGUUUGUGUAGCGGUCCACCUCAGACAUCAAAGGGAAAACCACAUGCUGCAUUUGUUCAAUGGGCACUCGGUGAUUAUCAAUUGCAAACUUUUUGUAGACUUUAUAGCAGUAAAGGAGAGUCUUAACUCUCAACUCGCAAAGAAAAAAAAAAUCAUAUUAAAAAAUACGAUACGAUUCGAAAUAUUAUUUAUUUUAAUUUAUAAUUUUAUUUUAUAAAAUUUUUUUUAUAAAUUGAUAUAAGUCAUAAUAUUUGACAAUAAAAUCGACUCUGAAGAUAUUAACAAUGUGACGUCGAAAAAAAUAGAAUGAUGUAUGCAACAAUAAUCAACCUGUGAGGCAAAAUAAAAAACCUGCGAGGCCAUUCAUCAAAAAUUCGCUUGAAAGAUGGUUAGGUUUCAGCAUAAUUGGAGGGCAGAGGGUCCCUUGAAUAGGGACCAAUGAGAGGGACAUUUAGAGUCAGAGACACUUGUUCCCAAAUCCCACGGAAACGCAGAUAGUGAAGAAUCAAAUCACUCUACUGUUGAAACAAGCAAACCCCUACUUUUUUUAAAAGAGAAAAUCUAGUUUAAUUAGUUGCUUAUUAGGCCUUUCAUUUCCUUUUUGUUCUUACAAAAUAUGUCAUAAAUAUUUUAUAAAAUUAUAAUAAAAUAUUUGAUAUAAUAAUUAAAAUUUUUAAAAUUUUUAAUAUAAUAUUUAAAUUAAAAAUCAUUAAUUAAUAUAAUAUUUAUAUUUAAUAUUAUUAAAUAUUUGUAUUUAAUAUUAUUAAUAAUAUUAAAUAUAAAUAUUAUAUUAAUUAAUAAAUUUAUAAUUUAAAUAUUAUAUUAAAUAUUUUAUUAUAAUUCAAAAACUAUUCAAACCAUUCACCUUAUAAAAUUUAUCUUCCCCUUUUUAGAGAUCUCAUCUACCGACUUGACCCACACAAUCUUUUUUGUCUCAUUCCUUUCCAACCACGAAAUCUAGGCAUAUCAUUAAUCCCAUAGUACCUCACCAUCUUUUAAAUAUAUAUAUAUAUAUAUAUAUAUAUAUAUACAAAGAAAAAUUAACUUACAAAAUGAAAAUUUAAAAAAAAAAUUGCAUAUUUUUUUAAUUAAUAAUUUUAAUAUAUUUUAAGGAUGAGAUUAAAUUUUUUAUUUAUUUAUUUAUUUUUUGAAUAUAUUAAAAUUAAUAGUUAAAAAAUAUAUAAUUUUUUUAAAUUUUAUAUUGUAUAAAUUGAUUAUAUAUAUAUAUAUAUAUAUACUCAUAUUUUCCUCGUGAUACAUAACAUUUACCCAGCAAUGAUUAAUGAAAAUUUAAUGCCCCUGCCCAUUCUUCUCUAAUCCACAUCCGAUCACUCCUCCCUUUGUCUCCGGCCACCACUUCCCAUGCAUUAAAUUAUUGUAACCCUCGUGAUAUUUUUUGUCUCUCUUAUUGGCCAGUUCCCUGCUAUAACUUUUCCAGCCGGGGAUUAAUCAGGUCUAUAUUAAUUAAUAAUAAUAUCAUUGUCAUGCAUCUUUAAGUGAAUUUGUCACGAAUUUAGUUUUCUUCGUUUCUUUUCUUAUUUAAUUUUAUCCACCUGAAAGAAAAACAGUAGUUAUAUAAUUCUUUUAUAUAUAUAAACAUUUGUCGACUACUCUUUGAUUAAAUAAUAAGAGAUAGUCUUUUUUUUUUUCAUAUGUAAAUCACUUCUAUCAUAUUAGAACUUGAAUUUUUAAAUUUUGAUUAUAAAAAUUUUUCUUUGAAUGUUGAAAAAAAAAUCAUUAUUUGGCAAAAGUUUGUCGAAAAUUUGUUGCGAGACUUUCUUGUGGAUUUUUUUGCUUGGUACGUAGAAGUUGAGAAUUAUAUAUUUUUUUCCAUAGAAUUGUAAUUUUCUUAUGUAUGUAUGAUUUUGGAAUAUUUUUUGGAAUUAAAACGCUCUUAAUAACAUAAUCAUUGGUAUUAUUACAUAAUGAAAAUGUGUAAUUUAAGUAUUUAAUUAGAAGAACACGAUGAAUUUUAAACCCUAUUAAACCUAAUAUGCAUAUACUUCCAAAUCUUUAUUCGGUUCCUUUUUUCCCAAAUUGCAAUCCUUUUGUCACGUAACCAUACUUUAAUAGAAGUCACUCAAAUUUUGUGGGUCGGGCAGUAUAGGAGGCUGAAUAGGGACUGUACGUUUUCAUUUUCCACGUCUCGUUGGAAAGAUGGCAUUAAGCUUUCUAUCUUCUUCUUCGCCUUAUUUAACCUCUAACAUCUUCAAUUCUAACUAUUAGAUAAAAUCGGUCCUUAAAAGACAAAAACAAACCAACUAUUAAGGGCUUUGUACUGGUAUUAGAGUACAAUUUGGGUCCUUCCAUAGACCUAUAAGACGAACAUUGGGGGAAGGGGGCAAUUUUCAUUAAUGUGAUGUUUCAUAUCAUGAGGAUGUUAAAAUCAUUCGAAUUUACCAAACUGAAAUAUUAAAAUUGAGACAAAUAUCAAGCGACAAUUUUUUAAGCCAUCAAUAUCUUGUGCAUUCAAUAUUAUAAUAAAUCUUAUAUCGAAUAUUUUUAAUAACAUCUGCUUUGACAAUAACAUUUCGAUCUUUAGCCAUGAACAAAAUGGGAUUGUUACCUUAAAUCUCUGCUCUUGGUACCAGUUGUAGUAUUUUGCUAUAGUACUGAUUUGGUACAAUAUUUCCCUCUCCUAAUGCUACAAUAACACUAAUAUCACUCUUUUAUUUAUAUGAACAAAUAACAAAUACAAUAGGUGUAUUUUCACCAAGCUAACUGAGUUGGGGUCCCCCAUCUAAUCAUUUUCUAUGCGAGGAAAAAAAAUCCUCCGAUGUUGCAAAAUUGUAGCACUCAAGCUGAAAGAUGAUGGCAUUAAUUAUUGGCAGUGAUGGAAUAAGGAUGGCGAUCGAAGAUGGCUAAUGGUACUAUAUAUAUAUAUCCCAUUGGAGUUUAGUGUAUAGCCUGUCUUAGUUUUUGGAUACGGUCCUAUACAAAGAUUCAAUUUUAGAUCCUGUCGAAGGGCCACAUCAGAUAAAGAAGGAUGAAAAUGAUGCCUAAUGAGGCAUCCUUUUCUUCAAACUUUCUAUUGAAAUGUAAGCCACAGAUAUUGGAACUCAAAAUCAAGUGGGGAAAGAUUGGUUUCUCUCUCUCUCUCUCUCUCUCUCUCUCUUCCUUUUGUUGUUUCUUGAUGAAAAGUUAAUGAAAUGAGCUGAAGUAUCAAGAAAUUUAAAGAAAAUUUUGGUUUGUUUUAUUUUUGUAGUUUGUUCCUUUUAUUGUCCCUUCAAUUAAUUAAUUAAUUAAUUACUUCUCUCUAUUGGGGAGCAAGUGAAAGUUAGUUGCCUUAAUUAUAAUUAAACAGCAUUGUACAUGUUUUCAGAUUGUCAUGUUUCGGUAUAGCAGAUCUCUUACAUGAAGAUUUUACCCUUGGAACAUCCUUGGCUUACGUAAGAGAUAGGAUUAUUAGAGGCAAAAAUGGUGACAGCCAACAGCUAGAUAGGUUAUAGUGCAGCAGAGAAGUUAGCCUUUCGUUGUUUUGCCUUUUUCUUGGAGCAAUCUCAUGUCAUUUCAUGCAAGUUGUUGUCAAUUUGUCAGGCAGGCACACCAUGUUCAGGUCAUUCCAAAACCAAGUCCAUCAUAUAUGGUUACCUGCUUGAAAGACUUUUCCCAGGGGAAGGGUAAUGGGGCCGCCGUGCCAUUAGGUAGCUAGGCUCAAUGACAGCUUGCUAUUGGGUGGCAUCGCUCGAUCUACACCAAGUUCGAGCAACUUGCAAAACUUGCUACAUAUUUAUGAAUAAAAUUUGAUUAAUUCUUAGUCACUAGGGAUUUCAUUUUGUACAGAAGUUUCUACUUUUGUUGAAGCAUUUCAAAUUAAAGAUCAGAGAGGAAGGACGUCGACUAUCUAUUUCUGCCUUCGAAUCGACUUCCUCGAAAAUUAUUGGGCGCAACCCACUUGUAAAAAGAAGUGACAUUUCACUGAUCAGUGAGGCAUUCUCACGACUCACUUUAUUUGCCUUCUGACACUGACAAUGCACCAAGUGGCUUACUAAUAUGGGGACAGUUGUACCAUCUCGUGAAAUGACACUUGGAGUGCUCAAUAAUGCAUGGCUCAUGAUUUGAGUUGUAUGUCUUUCUGCACCAUUGAUAUUAAUCACCAAAAUGAAAGAACAAAUUAUGGAUAUAUAAUGUUGAUCAAAUAUUGCUUCACAGUUCUCAUAUAAGAAGAAAAAUAUCAGGGACGAGAAACGUCUUUUCUUUUGACAUUAUUCCAAAAGUUUUUGUUAUAGCAAAGCAAUGAUACUUUUCAAUGUUGGAUUUUGGUUAGCACUAGAUGAGUCCCUUUGAUAUUUCUUAAAAAAAAACAAAAUCCCGAUGCACAGAAUUCUUUGCUUUACGAGGGUUGGAAUGAGAGUUCAUAAUAUGCGACAUUUUUUUUACAUUUUUUCAAAGAAACAAUUUCCAAGACUCCCUUUGAUAUUUCUUAUUAAAAUUAAUAUCUGUUGAGAGUGGAUUAUUUAUUGCCCAUAAUCGAUGAAAGCUCAGGAUGGCGAAUGUUAUUGGUACACGACGAGUGUGUGGAGUUUCAAUGUUUGUUUAAAUCCCAUAUAUAAAACGUGACCGUGUUGGCCAAUUUUAUUGCCAGGAACUCGGUUUCUGCUUUAAUUUUGCUGAUUUAAUCAUCGAUCGGCUGCUAGGGCAUAAUCAAAAGAGCACAUUAAUUUAUUAUAGUAAGGAUUAGUUGAUGCCAUAAUGACACCAUUUGUUUAAAAUUAGUAGUAUCUAUAAUAGCUAAAGUUGAUCAUUAACAUUGGUGGAAAGUUUGGAGGAGUAAAGUUAUGUAUAAAUAUGACUUUAUAGCUCCAAUAAAACAUGAGAAUUAGGUUCUUUGAUGAAUGCUUUUGAGCUUCUAAUUCAGUUCUAGUCAUCCAUAAUGUUCCAUUGAUAGAUAUAAAUCAAAGGUUUAUUGCUAAUAUGAGAAACUAGCUAGUUAGAUUCCGAGAUCCUUGAGUGCAUAGAUAUAUAAAUGAGGAUAAAUUUAUGUAAUUCAAAUUGCUCGUGCUAAUAAUUUGUUAAUGAAAUAUUAAAUUUUUAAUUUCAAUAAUUAAAAUUCAAUCUAUCAAAGUUUCAAAUACCAAAAAAAAAAAAUAAUUUCUCAAACUAGCUAAUGGCUAGAUCACAUGCCUUAGUACUAAUUUGGUAGCCAUUAGUCCUAAAAUUGAAGUUGGGUGCAUGCCAUAAUUUUCUGUCUGCUGCAAGCACAUGAAAAUGUCGAAAUUUUAAUGUUUUUUUUUUUUUUUUUAUAUAUAGAGGAUGGUGGAUACAAAAUUAACUUUAUGAAUGCAAAAAAUAAAAAAAAUGUUCAAACAAAAAAAUCUUUAUCAUUAAUGAAAAUAUCUGAAUUAUGUAUAGAGUAUAUAUCAGUGUAUAACUAAAAAGUUUUAUAUUUUUUUUAAUCAUUGAUUUUAAUAAAUUGAAGGGAUUAGAGAAACAAACAAAAAAGAGAAAAGAUGUGCUUAGUUUUAUCUCUCGAAUAUAUUGAAAUUAAUUAUUAAAAAAAUAUAAAAAGAUUUUUUUUUAUAUAAACAAAUUAAGGAAUUCUACUACAUCAUAGAUAAUACUAAUUAUUGACCUUAAUUAGAUUAGUUUGAUUAAUAUUAUUAUUUCUUUCUUUUCUCCAAAUGGUGUGGCAGGUAAGAUUAAGCAAAUCAAAAUGUAGGUAAAUGGUAAUUUGAAAUUGACUAAUUGUUCUUAAUCCAUUUCUCACUCCAUAUAUAUAUGGUUUAAUUAUUAAAAUUUUCAAAAGUUCCAAUGCUCACUAGUGUAUAAUGUAUGGGAAUUGGGAUGCAAAUCAUGCGGUCCUCCCUUUUUUUGUCCAUUUCUUUAUUCAAAACUUUAUGGUAUAUAAAUAUAAAAUUAUAAUAAUAAUAUAAUAUAUAUGGUAACCUAAAAGAAAGAAGAAAAACCAGUUUAAUAAUUAAACGAUUCCACAACCCAUCUGAUUGACCAGAAAUAAACUACCAACUGCCAUACCCACCAAUUCUAUAUCAUCCAUUUUACAAGCUCUCAAAUGCCAUAAAAUUAAUUAUCUUGUUCUUCUAUGUUAGACAAAUGGCUUAAUUAACUAAUUAAUUAAAGAUGGGCUCUUUGAUUUUUUUUUUUUAAAGAAAAGAAACUGAGAUAGAAAGAGGGAAUAAAUUCUAAAAGUGGGUGAGAGGGGUCCUCCAUUUUCUCGUUAUUUCUUGGUAGCCUCUUGCUUUUUAUGUGCAAUUGUGCAUGCACUGGUACAAAGAGGGUCAAACUUUUAUAGAAAAUUAUGGAUCAAGGGAAUUAUAUAUGUGAAAAGAAAACCAUGAAUUAGGUAUAAAAGUGUUGUUUUUAACAUGGGAAAAAUGAAAAGCCAAGCCAAUAUUAUUUGAAGACAUGAAUAUAGUCAAAGGUAGGUUGAGAAAAAGAAAGAGAUCCAUCAUGGGAUUUGAGUUUGGUAGCACAUGGUCUACAUAGAAUAAGGGGGAGAAUGUGAGGUGGUUGGAUUCUUCAUCUCCAAGCAUAGCAACUCCCACUAAUGGACAGUACUCAAAACAAAAAAAAAAAAAAAAAAAAAACCAAAUACUUAAUUAGUUUUUCAUGAUUUAGGGUGAAUCUAAUGUCAGGAUAUAUGUGUUCGAAAGAACCACGCAAUAUUGGAACUAAGAGUUUUGGACGUUAUUCCUUAAAAUUUGUUAUGUUCCAUGUUUCUUCAAAUUCUGCUUUUUUGGUUAAGUAUCCAAGAGAGAUUUGAUUGUCGAUCGACCUGGUACAUGAACCAGAACAUUUGGUCGUCUAUAUAGUUCUAAUUGCAAUGGGAAAUAUAUCUUAGACCAGUGAUGAUUUGCCUUUUUAUAUAUAAAACGGAUCAUCCUCCAAUAUUUGAAGAAGUAGCUAGGUCAGUGGAAAGUAGAUAUAUCAUAUAUGUUAAUUUUUUUUUUGCUAAUUCAAAAAACUUUUAUUAGGGAAUUAAAGCAUGGUAUAAUGCCAUGAUACACCAGAAUGUAAGUCAUCACCAUCAUAACCAAUUAAAGACAAUCAGAACCAGAUAGACAUAAAAAAAAAAUUCCCAUACCCGUACAAAAGUUGACCUCCUACCAUGAGGCAAUAAACACUUCUUUUUUAUAUGCUUCUUUAAUAGCCCAAGCUUCUGCCAUGCCAUAAUCAUUGAAAUCUGCAGUUUUUGAAGUUUAUUUCCCUGUUUAUAUCAUAUGACUGAAAAAUUCCUUGAAAAGCAUAUUUUGAAUGCAAUGUAACCCAGAGAAACCCCAAUGUGAUGAAAAGCUGCUAUAAUCUCCAACUAAAUACGUUGUGAUUAAAACUAUGUAAAUUUGUCAAACAUCCUCAUUAAUAGCCCUUCAUAACUUCGAAGAAACUCCUCAAUAAUUACCAAAAUUAAUUCUCAUAACGUUAUAAAAGGGGCAAGUAUUAACGUUGCAUGUACCCCGUGCUGCCAUGCAUCAAAACCUGGCAUAAUUUUCAGGAGAAAAUUAUGUGAUAGUUUUAUGCUCUUUCUCCGUAGAAAAAGAAUGCCUAUAUAUCGACAUUGCCAUGUUAUUAGAUUCAUCCAAACUCAUGACGAGAGCCUACCUGCAGGAACAGCCAAGUUGCACCCCUGCAGGUAGAUCAAAUCCACGUUAAAAGAGCUUACAUGGCAGCAUUCCUUAGCCACCAGACAUUCAAAAACGACUGAAAGUUCAACUAAAAACUUUUCUGCCCUUUGUCACAACUCAUAGCUCAAAAACUAAUUGAUCUAGUCAAUCUCCACUUCUUAACAAACUCUAGCCACUACUUCCUCUAUUUUCUCCAUCCUCACGACAUGCAAUUUCCAACUUGUAUCUGUAGGGCUUUCGCUAUCAAUCGUAUUCUUGAUAAAGCUUAAUAGAUUUUUCUUUUCUUUUGAUACAUAUGUUAUAAUCGAAGUUCCUGUUCGAUUCUUAAAUUAGUUCAUUAUAGAUGAUAAUCUUGUGAAAAAAAAGUCCAGCCAUUAAGCCCUAGUGGUGGCAGUUCAGAAGAAACAUGGAGAUACUUGAGUCAACGCCUAAUAUUUUUAAGUGUCUUGUCUGUCUUACUAUUGACUAUUGAUGCUACAUUGAUGCUACAUAUCUAAGUUGAAAAUUUCCUAAACAAAACCUAUGGCCAAAAAAUUUUCCUUCUCCAUUCAAAUGUCAAAUAGUUGUUUUGGUUCUCCUACUAUCAAUAUCAAAAGUACUGCUUGUAGUUGUAGGCCUAUGCAUAUAGCUUUAUAUGUAGGAAUUCCAUUAAAUAAAAAAUGUUCUUUUUUCUCCCCAUAUUAUGAAAUAAAUAUAUAUAAAAAUCCAAAGUUUAGGUAGAUGAUUCAUACACUCAUCUUUAAAAUUUGAAGUUUAAAUUCCAACAUUUAUAAUUUCUUUCUUUAUCUCUAAAUUAGGAUAUCCUUUGUAAAAACAAACUGAAUAUAAGAAGAAUAACAAUCCAAUAAUAACAACUUUCCCAUAGCAUUACUCACUGAAAAAUCUUGCCCCGGCCCUGUUACAAAGUUUUUUUUUUUUUUGUACUAUUUAUAUUUAAAAGAAAAUUGAAGUCUAAUUCGAAUUAAUAUUAUCUAAUCUUUAACAAUGAAUAAGCAUAUUAAGAAAUCGGAUUAAACAUGUCUAAUAUUUGAGACCAAUAUCUUUAAAAAACUCAAUAAUGGCCCAAACACAAUAGGACCAAAAGGUAUCACAUGAUGCUAAUGCCAUGGAGGUACUUACCCUAUAUGGAGAUAAAUGAGAAAAGGAAUAUGCCACUGCCAUGAUCUGGUGCAUGGUUCAUUGCAAGUGCCUAAACUUAUGUCUUUUCAAGAGAUGAUAUAUAACAUAAAUUCAUGACAAAUGCUCCUACGCAUCAAAAUUAAUGUGGGGGUCAUCAUCAAAGUUCAUUGAUCAGAAAAAAAAAAGUCAAAAAUGUCUUUAAAUUGUAACUAUGAAGAGUGCAAAUAUAAUUUUCUAUCAUGUUUGGUGAACUUGCACUUGCCAAUCCCCCUUUUCCUCAACCAAAUUUCAGGUUUUUUUUUUUUUUUUUGUGCCUUCAUGCAAAUAAAUUUUGGAUAUGGUAACUUAACAAACCCCACCCCCCCACCCCAAAAAAAAAAAUCUUGUUGAUUUUUAGAAAUCAACUUGAAUUAAUUUGAUGGCAUGUCACAUAGGCUAGAAUAUUAUGUUCCAAGCUUCAACUGUUGUUAAUAUGGGUUCGGCCUAUAUAACUUUAGAUCCACACUUGGCUUGAAUUUGGGUUAGGGGUAAAAUUCUAGGCCCAACUAUUGGCCUGUUUUUAUCGGAUUAGCAGCCCAAAUAACUUGAAAGAUGCCUAUUUCUCCACCAAUCUAAAAAUUGAAUGGCCUCAUGGGCCAUGGCUCUCAAAGAAAAAGUAGAAGAAAAAUAACUUCUUGUUGCUCAGUAUCCAGUGGUUUUAGGCUUCCAGCUUUGUUUCUCAUCGUUUCGUCCUUCUCUCAACAGCUCUGUAGAACUGUGUAUGUCAUUUCCUUCAAAAUAAGGAAUACCCAUGUCGUUUCUUGAAGCGUUUUCCCCUGUUAAGGAGCUUUAUUUCGUUGUUCCAACGGUUUUAAUAGUUAUUUUCUUUAUCUUUUUGGUGAACAUGAGAGUAUUGAGACAUCUUUGAUAUUCUUUUCUUGGGUAGUUUUUUUUUUUUUUUUAGUUUCUUUGAAUUUUCAUUCGUAAAAAUUAUGUGUUGUUGUAUCUUUAAAUGGGACUUUAGCAUACAAGCUGCAAGAAUUCUAAUUGUCUACUUGUGAAAAAAUUUUAGUGCUUUCCAGGAGAGUGAAGAGAAAAAAGGGAUUUUGAGUUUCCAUUAUUCCUCAUAGUGACACAUUACAUUAGCUUAUGUUUGAUACGAAAUCAUCUAUGUAUUGAAGCUAUGAUAAAACUAAACUGCACCCUUCUUAUUCCAACCUCAUUUGAGACAAAACCAACAAUUAUUAAUCACAUAAGGGGAAAAAAAAUACAUUUUUCCCAUUUAUCUGAUUGUGAAAGCCCUAUGUCUUGUAGCAAGGUAGUGAACAAUGGGAUAUGAUUUGUUGAGGUAUUGAAGAUAGUGCUGAAUGUCUUUCUAGAUAUUUGAUGUCUGGUAAUAAGCUAUUGGCAUAUUUAUGAUCUACUGGUUGGUGCCCUCGCAUCAGAAUGCAAGUAAGUUUUGAGUUAGUUUUUGGGUAAGUGCGGGUAUAUUCUUGUCCAAAGUUCCAAAUCUUGCUUUAUCUUUGGCAAUACGUACUUUUGAUAAUCGACAGGUAUCAGCUAUGAUCAAUUGUCAAUUCAUCUUUUAGUGGGACUUCUGAUGCCUAGGCCAUCCUUAUUAUGGUAAGUAAGUUACAGUUGGUAUCUAAAUCUAAUUUUGUUAAACUAAUCAAAUUCUGUAAAAGCAAUUUAACUUCCAAUCUUAAAUAAAUAUCUUCAAAAUCUGCUUUGCCCAUUUUGCUUUAUUGUUUAUAUAGUUUUACCUUUAGUUCCUUCCAAACCCCUCAUCUUGUUGUGCAUUUUCUUCAUUGUUUUCCUAUUAUUUGUAGCUGAUCCAGAUUAGUUGUGGCUGCUGGUUACAGGGGUUCCAAUGCUAGAUAAUUAUUGGAUGUUCUAGGGCUAGGGACACAUGUUCGUACCCUGUGGCAAAUGCGGAGAAUUUUGUGAAAAUUUUAAAUUGAAAGCGCUGCAAAUUUUACAUUGUAGGGUCAAUUGGAUGGGGAGAGGAGAAAAAAGCUGAUCUGAUGGUGGAUUGCAUUAAAUAUGAUAUCAACAACCAUUUAAAUGAGACAGACUAUAGAGUUAUAGUUAUUGAAGGACUGUUGAUAGCUAACAGAGGGGUGGGGGUCAAUGAAUUAAUGUCUAGUGGUUUACAAUUAGGAUUCCUCUCCUUCAGGCAUGUCUGACUAGCUUCUUGGAGAAACAACACCCUUUUAACCAGAUGUUGCCUCACCUUAUAGUGAUUUGCACAGCAAGAUGUCUUCCAAAUACAAAUAAAGCAUAGGUUACUUAUUAUAACUUCUGUUUGAAUUUUGAAGUAGUUUAAUUAUGUAUAGUCCACUAUGGAUUAUAAUAUCUCUGAUGCAAUUAAUACCCAACAGAAAUACAUAUUUACUCUUUUGAGUAAAACAUCCUUUACACUCUUUCAAUUUAUUUGUCACAUUUAUAGAUGUCUCUAAGUGGUUACUUCACAAACCGAGAAAACUUUUUAAUGUUCAAGUGAAUAUUCUUGUUUGCUUCCUGGCAUUUAUAUGUUGCUAUUAUACCCCAUGAUUCAUUCAAUUUUAGCAUCCAUUUGAGAAAGAGAUAUGUCAAUCUUGAUACAAGAAUAUCAAAUAAACAUAAAAUUUACCUAUGAAAGAAGCAGAUAGAUUCCUUGUUUUAGGCUUGACUGGUGUUAACUGAAAUCUUGUUAAAAAAGUUUGCACCUGGGAUGUUCUCCAGUACAACUCUGGACCUCUGAGGUAAGAUAAUGUGUAUUAAGAAGAAUAGCAGAUUCUGCAUUUGUUGCAGAACAAGGACCUUCAUAAACUGGAAAAUUUUUUUACAAAAAUUAUAAGAAUCUUAUUUAGGCAAUCUUGACCUUAAGGAGUUGAUUGUUGUGCUUGUCAUAUGGCUUCUCUUGGAUGCAUUCUCAUGGAGUGGUUGCUGUUCGCUUUCUUCAGGAAAAGCAAUUUACUUUAAGGAAAGAGUGUAAAAAUGGAAAGAAGAAAUUCAAAUCUAUUAAGUUUUAUGUGCUAGUGCACUCUUGGCCUCUCUCUCUUGAAUGGCUCACGAUCUAGAGGAAUCAUUGCAGCACCUGGGAACAAUCAUUUAAUAAUAAUAGAUAUAGCUUUGCCUUAUGUAUUUACUGGAUUUUAUGAUUUAAAUCCAUUAAGAGUUCAAUGUUUGUGACAUUUCUUUGCUAUUCUCUGCCCAAUACAUGCACCUUUUUGAGACUUAAAUUGAUCAUCAAAUCACUAGUCUAAAUUUUGCGCAUUCUAGAGUGGACAAUAUUGAAGCAGUUGGGUAUGGUUAGAUCAUCAAUAUGUAGCAAUCAUGACCUAUGCUUUGCUUUCCUGUAAUUUAGUAAUGCCGGAUACAUCGAAUACCUUGAAUGACAUUGGCUGUUUAGUAGGACAUUCUAAAUAUCAAGAAAAAUUUAAGAAAAACUGAACAUGAGCAUGUAUCUGACACUGAUAUUAAGUCUGGGCAACAUAGAUAUGACAUUGAGAGCAGACCUUGGAUGCACCUGCUUUCCUUUUAUGUUUUACUCCAUGUUCCAAAAUUACCCUUUAACUGACACUCAAAAAUUACGUGCAAGAUUGUUUCAUAACUUUGUGAUAGUUGUUGUCCUUUCUACGUGCUCUUGACAUUUGUUUUGCAAGAUUUGAUACUUUGCAUGGCCAUUUAUGACUAUUCUAAAUGUGGGUUAUUGUGGACGAGGCCGCUUUAAAGCUGUUUCAGCAUGGAUCUUUCCUAUGACUACCUUUUUUUUCCCAUUUAUACUUUCUCUGGAUUCUUUUCUUAAAUGGCUUUUAUUAUAGUUGUCGAUUACCUUAAUUGGGGUUAGCCACUAUGACCUAUUUCUUUGCCGUGAAAGGGCUAUAAAUUGGGGUUAGAAACAGCGCAUUCCUCCACAUCACGAGGUUUCCUUUAGCUUUCUAGUUUCUAUCUCUUCUUGAAAGGAGCUGAAUUGUGCUUUCGUUUACUAGUUUCUACCAUGAAUUUCCUUUUGGCUAGAGAAGAUGCCGAGAAGCAUGCAGGUAUUAGAUCAUGCUUCUAUUGCAACAAAGUAUUCAACAACUAUCGAGCUCUAGGUGGCCACCUUAGGAUUCAUCAGGAGGAUAAGACAUUGAGGACGUUGAAUUAUCCUGGUCGUUCCUGUAAUUCCAUGGAUAUUACUAGGAACCCUCAUGCACCCCUACCAAACAGCCCACAGAACUCCUUGGUAGGUGGAAACAACCUAACUCCAUUCACUAGAGUAUCUCCUGCAUUGGACUUCUCUUGGAUGUUCUGCUCAAAUGAAACAAACCAGGCAAGUAGGAGCAAAUUCACUGGCAACAAUCCUGGAUUGGCCCAAACUCAGAUUAUCAUGUAUCCAGACUUCUCAUAUGGCUGUGGUAAUGGUGCAACUUAUCACCAUAACAUUUUGGCUUCAAAAGCCUUUGCUCCAGUUGGUGUGAACGCAGCCAUGUCUUCUGCUGCAUUUCCUUCAUCUGGUAGUCUUGUUGCCGCUGGCUUUCCUAUAGAUUCUUCAUUAUAUUUGGGCUCAAAUGGAGUUUGUCAGUUUAAUACUGAUGAAUUUCAAAUUAGCAAGGAUGGUUUGCCACCAUCCUCUGGAGAUGCCUUGCAGAGCAUUCUUGGUAAGUUUCCAAAUCCUAUCUUUGCUAUAACUAACCCUGACCUUGGUUUUGGGUUAUAUCAGUUUUUGGUUAUAUCUAUUGCUGUUUGUGCCUUUUCUCCAGGUCCUCCCCGAUGCUCAAGCCUGGAUAAAGUUCGUCAAUAUGACAGGAGAAGUUUGUUGAUUUGCGAAGAAGGUAAAAGGUCUUUCUUAGUUGAUGAAUCAGGGAAUGCUGACAUAAUGAAUGCAUCAAAAAAGCCUAAGAUUGCCCCCAAUGCACAUGUGGAACCGGAGGAUCCUCAGAAAAAAGAGCUGUCACUUUUUAUGGAUGUUGCUGAUUCAGUUUCUGCAUCAGAAACUUGUUUUGGCGCUGAAGAGGAAGGUCCCAUAGAUGUAGAUUUGUCUCUGCAUCUGUAGGCUUGUGUCUUUCUCUCUAUACUAAAUAAAUAAUAGUAGUAAAAUAAUAAAGGAAUGGUCACUCUUGCCCUCCCCAUCCCCCAGGAAAAAAAAAAAAAGGCAGCGAAGAUGUAAUAUUGCUAUGCACUGUUGAACUAUUUACAAAUUUCAUAUUCAGUUUGGUUAACUUUUAUGAAGUCAGUUAUUAUGAAAUUUCUUGUGGAUUGUGGAGUUUGAUUAAUCAUUUCCUUGCCUUACUAGAUUUUGAACUUGAAAACUUCUACUAUGAUCUUAUGAUUGGUUUUAUAGAAUCAUGGGAAACAAUUGGAACUGGAAAAGCAAGGUUUGUUGGACUUAGUUCUGAAUGUAGAUGUUAGGAAACUAGUUUUAUGCUGAAUUUUAAUAUUUAGCAUUAUGAAACAAGGCUUACAUUGAAGGCUUAUAUAUUGGAAUCUUUCUGUGUUCUUGGGCGAAUGCUUCUGUACAGAGUGAUUAGGUCAAGGUAAUGGAAAAGAUUAGAUAGAGAUGCUGUAAGUCUCUAUGAAAAUUUUCUUUGUAUGCCUUGUUUGAUGCUACUAAGCUUGUCUCCCCAAAUCAGAGGCGAAUCCAAAGAGGGCAGGCAUCGGCCAUGGCCCCUCCAAAAUUUUUUUACCAAAAUUUGUUUUACAUAUCGUGGUAUAUUAACUCAGCCUAUUUAGCAUCAGUAUCAGCCUUCUCUUUUCCAUUAAUGUCACUGUUUGGCCCACUCUUUGCCUUAUGUCUAGUUUUGUCCCUGCCCCAAAUGUACCGCAAAAUGUCAUAUGGAGCCAUCUAGUGAAAGUUUGCUGCAGCAUCUCGGUAGUAAAGUUUCAAAUGUCAUAUGGUGCCAUCUAAUGAAGGUGUGCUGCAGCAUAUCAGUAGUAAAGUUUCAACCUGAACUGAACUUUUAAUUGUAGUGCCUGUGAGUCUAUUAAAGUAGCCUACAAUCCCACUUGCAAUUUAAUGCUGAAACCAGGUUCUCGUAAUCGUUUCUUUCAGUAGAGAUUAGCCCAUUUGGUGCUUCAAUGCUGCACCGUAGGUGGGAUUUAACAAAACUUUUGACUGAUUUGGCUUUAUGAUUUUUGAAUGAUAAGUUUAAUGGAACCUGGUUUUGUUCUCAAAAUUUUCCAUUGGUUUGCCUAUUUACUUCCUACCUGCAAGCGCUGUUGCCAUUGAUUUGGCUUAAUGAUUUGAAUGACAAGUUUAAUGUUAAAAUUUUAUUAUUUACACUUUAUAUCAUCAUUUUCGUUUUCGGAUCAUUUAAUAUGUUUGUUAAGAUAAUAUUAAUAUAUGCAAAACCAACCAAUUAGGUUGAAAAGGAUGGUUUGGCAGGCGGGUUGGCCGGUAGGAUAUAAUUAAAGUUUAUUGAUCGAAUUAAAUUGAAUUUGAAUCGAAUUUAUAUUUGAUAUUAAUAAUUUAUAUAUUAAUUUAAAUUUAAUUUGAUUUAAAAUUUUAUGUUUUAAUUUUUUUUUAAAUUCAGUUUAACUUAGAAAAAUUAAAUUUUAAGUUUACUCAUUAAAUUUAAUUUAUAUGAUAACAAAUUUUAAAAAAUUGUAAUUAAAUUAAAUUAAAAAUAAAAAUUAUACAUGUAAAAAUUAAAUUUAGUAAAAUAUAUAUAAUUUUUAUUUUUAAUUUAUAUAUAUAUGAAUUAAUUUAUAUAUAAUUCACAUAUAUAUAAAAAUAAAAUUUUAUAUAUAUGUGAAUUUCGAUAAGAUUAUAUUGAAUUUAUGUUUUAAAUUUUUUAUUUAAUAUUCGAUUUAAAAUUUGAAUGAAUUUAAAAAUUGUAUCUAAAUCUGUUUAAUUGAUUUUAAUUUUUUAUUCUAAUUUUCCAAAAAUAUGAACGGAUAAUCCGACUAUUAAAUAACUAUAAUCAUAGGUGUUUAAACUUUGAACCACAUCCUUAGGAUUUUUGUCACUAUAUGAAAUGGAAAUGCCUUUCUUUAUCACAUUCUAAUCUAAAACCCCUUUUAUCCUUAUCUCCAUGCAAUGCUAGUCUUUCCCUUUAUUCCCCAAAAUGGAUGCUGAAAAUCCCAGCGCUAGGAACCUCUGUCUUUUUUGUUAAUGGAACUCCUUUUAUAGCUGAAAGAAAAAUAAAAAUAAAAUAAAAUAAAAUAAAAUAAUAUUCUUAUUAAAAGUUUUGACCCCAGUUUUUUUUUUUUUAAAUUAAUUUUUCCUUUAGAACAAAAAAUGAUGCAUCAAUAUUACAUCAAAUGUUUCUAUUUUAAAGUAUUUUCGUUAAUGAUUAAAAAAAAAAUGAACAUUGGAAUAUUUAUAUGUAGCCCCACAACUUGUAACUUGCAAACAAAAUGAAAUACUUGUAAUAAUUGGGGUUGGAUUUUUGCAUAAUUACUAGAAAAAGAGGUCAUUGGUUAUUUUCAGAUGCUAGAUUAUCAACAUAUUUUGCUUCUUCAAUAAAAUAAAUGGCUUAAUAAAAUAAAAGAAAUCUAAAGCUUUUUUUUUUAAAUUUCUUUAUCAAAAGCAAAAAUCGAGUACUAGCAUGAUAUGAACUACUUGCAAGGAUGAUUAUAAUACAAAAAAAAAAAAAAAAACAUUUUCCCUUGAAAGAAAAUUAUAAUUAUACCUAUAAAGGUUAAUUCAAUGAUCAUUAUAAAAAACAUUCUGAUAAUAAAAAUUUAAAUAUACAAAAAAAUUGUAAAAAAUGGACAAAAAAAAGGCUCAGAUAAAAUAUAAUGACAAUUUGUUUUAUGCUUUUGAUUUCAUUUUCUUUAUUCAUAUUUUUUAUGUCCCAAAAUUUUGUUUUUGUAACAUUUAAAAUUUCUAUUUUUUAUGAUUUUUUAAUUUUUGAUAUUAAAAAUUAUGUAAUUUUAUAAAAAAAAAUAAUUUAAUAUUAAAUUUAUUAAAAUCAAGUUUUUCUUAAAUUUCAUAAAAAUCAAUACUACCUAAAUAAUUUGAGAGGAAAGGGAUAUAUCAUAUCAAAAAUUUAAUAAUGAUUAUCAUGACAUGACCAAUAUCAAACUUUCCCAGAAAAAAAAAAAAGAAAAGAAAUAGACAAUUCAUAUAAAAAAUAUCAUGCAACCCUAAGGAGAAUUAUUUAACACUGUGGAGUUGUAUUUAAAAUCUAAAGAUUUCUUUUUCUUCAAAAAAUUUUUUCCUUUUAAAGAAUCAAACUUGUUAAACAGAUUGUCAUUGCUCUGCGAUGGUCUGUUUCUUUGAUUGCAUUGUCAAGUUAUUAAUUCUACAUGUUGCUUUUCUUUUUUCGGCCAUUAAUAUAUUAUUGCUUUAACAUAUUCUGAUUUUUUGCUCUUAGUUUUAUUUUUUUAUUUUAAAAAAAUCCAAACCAACGCUUUAAACAGUAACUAAUCACAUACAUUUGUCAAUGAGUUUGGCAGUUCACCAGUUCGGGUUUGGCAGUUCGGAUUUGAACUGUGAACUAUUAUAUUAUCUAUGAUCUUCCUUUCUUUUUUUUAAUGAUCGUCCUUUCUAACCUAGGAUGCUGGACGAACAAUUUAGUUCUAAAUUCCAACACCCGCAGUUAAAAGCGCGUGUCCAGCAGGUUGCAAAUCUUUUACCUAUCUUGACCCAUGCUGGAAUUAUUUAUUUAGCGCGUGGAUUUAAUGGGCCUAGACAAAAUCAUCAUCAUUCAUCAACCUUUUUCUUUUUUAAAAUAAUAAUCGAAUACCUUUGAUGUUAAGGAAAAUCAAAAUGCUGGAAUUGUCCUUGGAAGGGACCUUUUUCAUGCUAAAACCAGCUUUAAAUCUCAUAAAAAAGUCACCAUCUUUCAUAGCAAUUGUUCAAGAAAAAUCCUUCUAUGUAAGUCUUAGAUGUCAGUUUUUCAUCUCUUUUCUUCUUCUUUAUGCUAUCUGGGUUCGUUUUGAAGUUAUUUGGGAUAACAUAUUUUCUGGGUUUUGCCUGUUCUCUGAAUUAUCAAUCUCUGCGGGCCAUAAAUACUUCAUUUCUAUGAAAUAUGUUACUGGGUUUUUAUGGGUUUUUAGUUUUCUUAUUGUAUAGUAGAAAAAGUUUAGAUUUUUUGGGGCUUUAUUCAAGAUACUGCCAUAUAGACUAUUAAUUUUUGUUUUCACUUUUGUUUUUUCUGCAUAUGAAGUGUUAUUUUCUUUGUCUCUGCCUUGGCAUGAUAUUUGAUAGCUUUAGAUUCCUCUGGUUGGUAUCUUGAUAGGCACAGUGGUAUAUAUCAAGAGAAAGAGUUGAAGUUGUUCUCUUUGACGCAUAGGAAUUUGAGUGUGGAUCAUUCAGGAAGGGAUUUAUCGGUGAACUAUAAUAAAGUCUUGUAAGGAUUUUGUGUAAAGGGGAAAACAUGUUUUUCUUUUAGGAUGACUGUAAAUUUCGGUGAAAAGAAUUCUUCGUUUGCUCUGUGAGUGUGAAAGAACAAGCACCAACUUGGAAUAGCUUCUGUGAAGUUCUUAUUGAGAUUUGGAUGUUUUGAGUUGUUCAAUUCAUAAGUAAAUCCACUUGAUGACAAAGAACAGCAGGGAAUUUCAAGCUUAAACAAGGUCCUUUGGGUGGUCUUCAAGGAUAUUAGAUUGUUAUGUUUUGAGAGAAAGAUGCAAAGGGUUCGAUUUUCAUCCCAACAGGCACCCGUGCAUAAGCUAGGGGAUUCGCAGAUGACAUUAUCCCCAAAAUUUAGAUUAUCUGUGAUGCAAUCUUCAUUGUUGAAUCCUUCAUCAGAGUUUGAGUUGCCUCUUCAAGGAGAACCUCUUAUUCCAGGCCUUCCUGAUGAUGUGGCACUUAAUUGUCUCCUUCGGCUUCCAGUUGAGAGCCAUGCAGCUUGCAAAGCUGUAUGCAAGGGAUGGCAUCUUCUGCUUGGUAGCAAAGAGUGGUUUUUCACUCGAAGGAAGGAACUAGGUUUCAAAGACCCUUGGCUCUUUGUGUUUGCCUUCCACAAAUGCACCGGGAAAAUUCAAUGGCAUGUUCUUGACGUUACCCUUUUCUCAUGGCAUACCAUCCCAGCGAUGCCAUGCAAAGACAAAGUUUGUCCCCAUGGUUUUAGGUGUGUUUCACUUCCUCGUGAGGGUGCUCUCUUUGUUUGUGGGGGUAUGGUUUCUGAUGUGGAUUGCCCCCUUGACUUGGUGUUGAAGUAUGAGAUUCAGAAAAACCGUUGGACUGUGAUGAAUAAGAUGAAUACUGCUAGGUCAUUUUUUGCUAGUGUAGUGAUUAAUGGUAUGAUAUAUGUUGCUGGGGGAAACAGUGGAGAUCUUUUUGAGCUUGACUCAGCAGAGGUUUUCGAUCCUGCAAAGGGGAGUUGGCACUCAAUUGCAAGCAUGGGGACAAAUAUGGCAUCUUACGAUUCUGCAGUUCUCAAUGGAAAGCUUCUUGUGACAGAAGGCUGGUUGUGGCCAUUCUUUGUCUCUCCUAGGGGUCAGGUUUAUGACCCAAGUACCAAUAAUUGGGAGAUUAUGGCUGUGGGAUUGAGGGAAGGCUGGACUGGCUCAAGUGUGGUAGUCUAUGGGCACUUAUUUGUGGUUUCCGAGCUCGAAAGAAUGAAGCUUAAGGUUUAUGAUCCAGACAGUGAUUCCUGGGAAACAAUAGAAGGUCCCCCAUUACCAGAGCAGAUAUGCAAACCUUUUGCUGUCAAUGCAUACGAUAACAGAAUAUAUGUUGUGGGUCGGAACCUUCAUGUGGCUGUGGGCUAUAUCUCAACCCUGAAUCAAACAGGCAACUCUGAGAAGAAGUGGAGCUUCGGUGUUCGGUGGCAUGUUAUUGAUGCCCCAGAACAUUUAUCUGACUUGACACCCUCAAGUUGUCAGGUUCUGUUCGGUUAGCUUCUGAAACAUCAUAUUUUGUGCCUUGUAUGUUGUUUAAUAAAUUGUAAUUAUACAAAAUUACGAAGGCUGUAGGGUUGGAAUGACUUUGUUAUUGUAACAAAUGUAUUAUCCAUACUUUUGUUGUUCUUCUGUUAUUUCUCAGUAAUUGCUCAAUCCAUAUGUUUUACUAGCUCGAUCUCACUCAAAUUUCCUGUUGUCCCUGUAUGAAAUAUUGUCUAUAACAUAGUGGAUCUCGUAGGAAUUUUUUAGUAGUAUAUCCCGACUACCUCUUUUAACACUUCUUGAAAUGAAAAUCAUUACCAUUUUUGGACAGGAUUUACCUGAAGGAAUCUUGUUAGUAAUAGUAAGUGAAAAACGUAGUUUGAAAGUGUAUGAAUUACUCUUCUUUCCCCUUCGUAUUGGCCAGCUCACCAUAUUUCCUUUUCAAGAGGCUGAUGCUAUGGACCGUUGUUAUAUUUGCUGAUAUUUGGGUAAUUGCCUAAUUGGAUUUGGGUGAGCCAUUGAAAUAUUAAUGGGCUUCUGAUGAUGACAGCAGUUGAAACUAACGAAAAAGAUGACAUAGUUAAUUUUCAGCUUGAUUGCUUCACUAAGAAUCAAACCAAAAAAUUAAUAGAGUUUUGGGUUUUAAGAAAUCACAAAUAAUAAAAUUAUGGUAGCAAAGAUUGGGCCUGAAAAGACUGAAACACGAUUGGUAAAGAAAAGUCAACUUCUCUGAGUUGCGACUUGCGACAGAGAAUGGCAGCCAUAACAAGUGCACUGAUAGCAAUGGCGGGAGUGGUAUUAGGAUGGAUAGCAGUCGAGAUCGCCUGCAAGCCUUGCCUGGAUAAAGGCCGCGAAGCCAUAGACAGAUCUCCUAACCCUGAUUACGACCCCGACGACGAUAACAACAACGACAUCCGAGCCCCUUUCAACCCAAGCCCAGGUCUCGAAUCUCAGCCUGAUAAUGGUACUUCUUCAUCCACUUCAAUCGAAGCCGUUUGUUGAUCGGUACAAGAAGUUUUCUUAUUCAUUGUUUCCUUUUCUGAAAAAGAGUGGGGUGUGUUGUUAACUUGUUUAUUCUUGUUGAUGUCUUAAGAUUGUUUUCGCUUGAAUGGAUUCGGUUUGGUUUUGGUUUUGAUUGACAGAUACAAGUUCAACCAUCACUUCGAGAGUGAAGUUUGGUUUUGGUUAAAAUUUAUUUAUAGUACUGUCAGAACAAUGUCGGUUGUCAGUCGGCAUCAUGGAAACGGAGAGUGGUUUGGUUAGUUUUGAUCCAAUCAAAUAAAAGAAAAACGUCUCGGGUUUAUUCCAAUCGAUACAAGAAUUCACUUAAUUUUACCGAUGGAUCUUUCAAAAAGAUAAAAAGGACUGCUUCUAUUGUUUAUGGAGAUUGGUUUUAAGUGUUCAUGGGUCAUAUUGAAUCGAAUAAGUUUAUAUUUAAAUUCAUAUUUAAUGUCAAUAUUAAUAAUUUAUAUAUUUAUUUAAUUCAAUUCAAUUCAGAAUUUAAAAUCUCAAUAUUUUUUGAAAUUCGAUUUAAAUUAAAAAAUAAAUUUUAAAUUCAUUCAUUAAACUUAAUUUAUAUAAUAAAAAUUAAAAAAUAUAAUUAAAUUUAAUUUAAUAAAAUUAUAUAUAAAUUAUAUAUAUAAUUAUAUAAUUUAAUGAAAUUAUAUUUAAUUCAUAUAUAUAAAAAAUAAAAAUAAUAAUUAUAUAAAAUAAUAAUUAAUUUAAAUAAAAUAUAUAAAAUUUUUAUUUUUAAUUUAUAUAUAUUUAUCUUUAUAUAUAUAAAUAAAUAAUUUAUAUAUACAUAUUUAUAUAUAUAAAUUUCGAUCGAAUCAAAUUUAAAUUUCAAAAUUUAAAUGAACCUAAAAUUUAUAUUCAAAUCUAUUUAACAAAUUUAAAUUUUUUAUUCAAAUCCUCUUAAAAUUUCUCAAAUUUUAGAUGAGCCUUCGAACUUGAGUAGAUAAUCUGAAUCUUAAACAAGUUUAUUUUUAUCGAACAAGAAACCCCUGAGCUUGGAGAAAAUGUGAAGCUCAUCCACACCCAACCCCAGCUUGUUGGGGGGUGAUCUAAUGCCCAUGCCGCCUCACACUUGACAAAGAAAAUAAAACAGAAUUCUCAAAAAGGGGAAACACACGCAUACAACCCAAGAAAAAAAAUGCAGCUUAGCCUUAUUUCAAGUAACUCGAAUGUCAAGUCCGUAACAAUAAGUAUCAAAACAGAGGCUAAAUAUGCUUUUACAAUUACAAUCUCGAUUGCAACAAAAUAAAUACAAGUUACUGUACACGGAUCUGACAGGGGAUUUCAGCUCCCGCCUCUUGGAGAAGACCAAAGUUUCCCGUGUCACUUGCAAGGAGAUAUCUAUCAAAGGAAAGAAAAAAAAAGUGAACUAUGCCAAGUAAUUGUAUAUUUGUGGGUUGUUCUUGUCACGCUCCAGGUACUCCCUGUCGAUGAGAGACUCAAUUCUUUUCUUCAAAUCAGCCGGUUUUAUGGGAAACUUAAGCUGUUCAAAGAAAGAAACUUACUUUCAACAUGAGUUUGUUGAAAUGCUACUGUAAAACAUAUUAUCCCUUUGAUCCCGAUCUAAAGAAGGUCAAUUGCAGUGAUUUAAUCAUUGUAUACAAAGAGGAGUUUCACCCUUCUUCAAAAAUAUCAGAAGUAUUCGGCAUGACAACUCUUACUUGAUCAGAAUACAGCAGCAGCAACUUUCACUUUAUUUAUUUAUUUAUUAUUUUUGGUUAUGAUUGUGAACAUAUGUUGUUGGGAACUCUUUAGACAUCCGUUUUAUGCAAACAAUCAGACUCUGCCUACCUGUUGGAAGAGUUCAGUUAUCAGAAGAGUGUGACUCAGAACUUUCCUCGUCUUCAUUAUCCGAACAAUAGCAGCAUCAACCUAGAGUAAAUCAAGCAAUAAAGCAUAUAUUUGAUUAAACUCCUUCAUGUGAGAUAGCUUUCUGUUUUUUUUUUUUUUUAGUGGAUAGAUAGAAAGAGAGAGAAUGUGAGAGUGAAGCAAAGCUAAACCUGAUAUUGACGGUCUUGAAAUACUCUUUCAGUAGUGCUUGUGUUCUCCUCCACUGUCUCUUUCAUCUGGAUAGCAUUUACCUGCAUUGUGAAAGGAGAAGUCAGCUGGAUGCCUUAUCAUGUGAGUGGGAAUAACUCAGAAGCAGAUUCAUGAUAAAACGGCUCUAUGGGAAUUCGGUGCAAUAGAAUAGAGAUAAGCAUGACAGGGAUUUAGUUUAAGCUUACAAAAAAAUAUCUACCCACCAUAGCUUGAAAUUCCAAAUAGAUUUACCUUUAUACGAUAGAGAGGAGCAGUAAAUCCUUCAUUGAAAAUGAAUGAAUCAUCAUCCUCCACGUCCCUCCCUUUCGGCAACUGCAGCACACAAAUUCAAAGAUAGAAAGGAAUAAAGAAAAUGGAAGGAAUAAAAUGAUAAUGUCACCAACUUUACCAGCAUAUAUAAGAUAUUAAAAUAUAAUGCAAUGGGCAUACCUUUUGCAGGACUCGUACUUUCCCACAUGCAAGGGACUGCAGGGUCCUUCUCAAUUCUUUAUCCUCUAUGCCAGUGGAGUCCUUAAUGUCUUGAAAGCUGAGCUUUUGGGCAUCGUUGAACAACAUCAGAACUACAGUCUAGAGGGUAAAAGACAACAAACACAGAAAACUGUUAGACAUUGUCUGCUUGUAGAGAAAAUUUAAAAAGAGAAGAAAUCUUUCGAAAGGAGAAAAAAGUCAUUGGUCCAAGAGACAAACCUGAAAUAGGGAAACUGCCAGCUCCUUUUUACCUUUGGGAAAAUCUGCUUUCAGCACACAAUGACCUAAUGAAUUUUGCCACAUUAGGCGCCUUCCACUGUACUUACUUAAGUAGAAUUCCUUAAAGAUGUCCUGUUAAAUCAAGUAGACAAAAGAUGUUUAGAUAACUUUUAGAUAAAAACUUCCUGGUUUCUAUAACAGUGAUCAUUUCAUCCCAAAGCCUUGCAACAAACCUGAUAGACAUUCAAUUCAUGAGGAAGCCUAACAUCCAUGGGUGGAUAUGUAGGCCAGUACCUGCGCAGCUCAACAACCAGAAUAGAAUUAAAUACCUUGACAAUAAACUAACUAAUUAUGCAGUUAUGAUUUAAUUGAAAUAAUGGUGAAAUAUGAUUUACCCGGUUGUUAAGACAUGGACACUCAUCUCAAUUCCCGAUGGAAGUUUUGUCCUGGCCUGCGAUGACUGCUUGAAUGAUUCAUUUAUCUCCUUUGACAAUUCGAUAUCCUGGAUAAAAUCACAAGAAUUCACAUUCGAUAUAAUUAAGAUCAUAUUGAAAUUGGUCACACAUCAACCAACAUGCAUGGAUUAGUAUGAUCCAUUUUUAAAAUUGAAAUAAUCUUCCAAGUCGAUCCUGGGAAAGAACAAGGAUUCUUUGCCAUAAAACCACAUGCAGUAAGACCAAUCAUAGAUCAUGAGUUUUGCACUGUAAACAUAUUCCAGGCAUAAGAAUCCAGUCACAUAGACUAAGUUUCAGUAUCACACAAACUCCAUAAAUUUUGUAGAUUGUUGGAUCCUCCAUUGACCAAUACACAAGUAGGUAAUCCAAGAAAUAAGAGAUGAAUUUAACUUCUAGAAUCCCUUUCUCUUCUCUUCUCACUCGAUUCUAUUGCAUUAAUGUUUAUUAGUAUGAUCCACCCUCAAGGUGCUAUAAAUCUGAUACAUAAUCAUUAGUCCAUUACAUACUGUUUGCAAGGAUUAAUCAUAAUUAAUCCAACUCAAACAUUAGGAAUGACACUUCUGGAGCCAAUACCACCACCCAUGGGGUAACAUAUUCUUAGUGGUUGUACGAGUUAUUGAAUUGCUCAUCUUUACAGCACCCAAAAAGCACCAGUUCAACAGAUUGAUGAUUAUAUAUUGAAUGCAUUUCUUGGACAAAUUUAUAUAAAAAUGUUAUAGAGGCAGACCUUAAACAUUCCUUCAAGUUUGUUUGUAAACUGGCUACCACACUCGGUCUUCAGCUGCAGCAUCAUAACAAUAUUACAAUUUAAUACAAAAUCUUUAGAACAAACCUCAUUUGAUGCAAAAGAAGAAGGUACUUACCUUAGAAAUCAUGGAUUUCUCUGCGUCAAUAGAAGCACUCUUUCCUAACAGCAGCCUUUUUGCAAGAUCCUUCUUAUAGAAUGCUUCAAAGACAUCCUUACCCUUAAUUAUCAAUAAAAUAUCAUUCACAGCCCUAGGAUUAAUUUGUGGGACAAAAAAAGCAAGAAAUGCACAAAAAGAGAAUAGUUAUUCAAGCCAAAAGUAAAUUUAAUGAUUUUUAUUGCGAAAACAUGAACUUACCUGGAUGAACCUGAAUAAAACCAAAACUUUAUCAAGUGUACCCUCUAAUUCCUCUUCUGAAGUACCCUUAUUACCAGCACGAAGCUUUUCAUCCAGAAACUUUGCGAUCAGCUCAGCAGGUCGGUUCUAUUAAACACAGCACAGAGUUGAACCAUCAGUCAAGUGUGAAAAUAUGCUAAUCUAAAUUAGGAAUAGUACUUCACUGAUGUACAACUUAACAGUGAGAACGCAGUUUAAAAAUAAAAAUAGUCUCCCAGUACAGAUGAUAAAACAUGCUCACUUGACGUAGGUUAAUUAGAUGUUCAAAUGCAUCCUUAAUGGUGUUGCAAAAUGCUUCAUUCUUGGAAAAGCUUUCUUCCCAUAUUGAAUCAAGCAAAGCCUUGAAUUCUAACAAGGAAGGCACCAUGUCCUUAUCUUUCUCUUCAUCCAUCACAAUGCCCUGCCCAGUUCUCCGAAUAUAUGAGCUUAGGGCCUGCCUAAGUGAUUCAAGAGCAUUGACCCUUGAAAACAGUGAGUACAUCCUCUGAAUGUCCUCAAUACGAUGUCCAUCCAUCAGCAUCACAAAUCCCUGCAGAAAUCAGCAAAACUAUAAAUAUUAAAAAGAUGCAAAUCCAAGCAAGCAUACAAAGUGCAAAGACUAAUGGAAGAUUCAUAUUCACACCUUAUCAAGAAUGGCAGGUAUAUGACGUUCAAGCAGCUGCCUCUCUGCUGUUACAAUAAGUGGCUUUCUCGUAAGAGCAUCCAGGUAGAGUAAGCAUCUUUCAUGUUCUUCAUGUAACCUCAUCUGCAAGAAUACACCCAAAAUCUUACAAAGAUGAACCCACACAAAAAUCUUAAGAGGUAUAAUCAUGUAUAUUCCAUAUAAAAAUGGAAUAACAUGAUAGAUUGACAUUCUUAUGAGAUGGAUAAAACAUGUAGAAUUCAAAAUAUAGAGCACCAGUCACUGCUAAUUGAGAACAAAAAAUAUACAAAGCACCUCUACGUGCUUCAGGUAAUCUGGAACAUCAGAUUGCUGCAUGUAUUUCAUUCCCUCAGCUGCAUAAAACUCGGAUGUGCACUCCAGGAAUGGCUUCUCAAAGCUUUCUGAGUAAAUACCUAAAGCGGUAAACAUCUUCAAAAGAUGGUUAAGGAGUGUCCUGUCAACUGCUUCACCUAACCUGCAUGAUCAUAAACAGAAUGCUGUGGAUUCCAAGAUGCAAAUAUUAAAAACAAUCAAAAGAUGGGUAUUGAUCAUCUAACAUCAUUCAUGAACCUAGGUGGUGAAAUUUACGUGAUGCCAACUAUAAGUAAUGGGGAAAAAUGUGUGAGAAUUACAAGCAAUAAAGCAACACAAUAAUGGAUUCCCUAACAAUUGCUGGAUUAUUUCCAAAAUGUUUGGAAGUAUAGAUAAUUAAAAUGAGCUAGAAAGAAUAAGAUUGACAAGUAGGUUACAGUUACAUUGAUCAAACAUCCUAAUCGGCCCUUCAAGAAACUUCUUUCCACUAUGGAAAAUAUUUCACCACAUCUGCCCUCUAGCCUUUGCCAGGCAGCAAGAAUCUUAUGCCAUUUAGACUGCUAAAAUCAUAGAAAGAGUAGUGAACUAGACAAUUGAAUAAGGACAUUAAAACAACAAUGUACGAGUAUUCAAGUUCACCCAUACCCAACAUGUUGCAGGUUGACUUUUUCAAUUUUUAAAUCUCCACUUAUACUUGCACAGAAAAUUCAGUGUGACAUCAAGUUGGUUUGAAGGCAUCUAAAAGAAGUUACUCCCUAGUGUUGGUUUAUAUCUACUAUACUGUUUCAUCCAAUCACAUUAUGAUUUAUGUACUAAUGGCAAAGCCAAUACAUAACAACAAGGCAGCUUUCUUCAAUAUUUAUAUCUUUUCUGCCUUUGUUCAUCGCUAGUAUCAUUUUACUCCUUAAUGGUAGAGAGACCCUGCAAACAUGACAUGGACCAAUGGUGCAACAAAUUCUCCACAAAAUCAAGAGGAGGAUAGUUCAUCCAUAAGUUUUGCAACACUUAUGAUAUGAAACAAAAUCUAUUACAACAUCCAUCUAAACAAUUAUGCAUCUUUUGCAUAGGUUAAUACAUUGGAACAUACAAAAAAGACUAGAAUACAAAAAAUGUAAAUUUCAAAUUAAAAUCAUUAGAAUUACCUCUCACUCUCAAUCAUUCUUAAAAGACCAGUGACAGUUUUGUGCUCAACUUCAGGAGCCAGAGAAAGAUGCUUACGGAAGAGCUGCAAACCCAUGUCCCACAAUGAACGUACAUUUGGGGUUUGUUUAACAUAUGUUCUGUCUAGAUACAAGGCUAUACCACGAAUCAUCAACAUUUGAUCACAAAGAUCUUGCCAACAUUUCUCAACAAGCGAUAAGAAAACCACCAGAUCUGGGCUUUGCCCAACCAAAGAUCUUAGUGCUGCAGAUAUGUGUUCUUCACACUCUUUUUCAAUUCGUUGAUAAAGGCUUCCUCCCAUCUUGUGAAGGCAAAGAUUAUUAACAGCCUGAAGGGAGCACACUUGAUUAUCAAGAGGCAAUAUUGCUCACAUUGCAAAACGCUAUCAUAAUCAAAAUAGAUUGAAAGAAGAAAUAUGUGGGGCUUACCUGAUAAAGCUUCUCCAAGUCACAAGAAUCUGGUUGCUUCAAAAAUAUAGCAUUAAUGGCUGACUUCAGCUUUGCCCAUGUGUCCUCCUCAAAAUUUGUGGGCAAUGUUGGUUUCGCUAUAAUGAAACAAGAAGUUAAAGUUGCAUCAGAAACUUUUAUGAAUAUAUGUUCUAAAUAUUUUUCAUGUUAGCAAGUUCUUUAGUUUCCUACCAUUAGUUCACAUAAACAAAAUAGUUUUGGAGAUAUAAUCUGAUUUGCAAAUAGAAAAAAAAAUGAUUUCAACUCUUAUUACUAUUCUUUGCAAGUAAACUUACUAAUAACGGGUCCAAUCACCUGCUAACAAAAGGCCUAUUUAGUUUUUAAGGGAGAUGGAUAACUGAUAUACAAUGUGAGCAAGCAUCAUAGAUGCUUAUACAAAAAUGGUCUACAAGAGGGUAGAAAUGAACUUCUCAAAAAACCCGAGGGAGUUUAGGAGUAUGCCUCCAACAAAGUAUUCACAGAAAAUGCCAAACCGAAAAACCAUCCAAAAUGAAGGAAUGAAUGUUCAGAGCUUUUCUUGUAAAGUUGCAUAACUAGUAGUCCUACAUCUAAAAUGCAAGAAAAUGUAGAAUGCACCAAAACCAUGUAAGCCGAACAAGUAAACUAGGACCCUAAAUUUGUUUAGCAUCAAUAGAUUGCCACCCUAAAACCAAUACCAAUUUCAAAUUAUCAUAUGAUAAAAAGUCCAAAUUUAAUAAAUGGUUGAGGUAAUGACCACAUUAGGCUGACAAAAGUAACACUUGUUAAUAUCAGUUAAUAGACCUCUAUAAAACCUUAGUUAAAAGUUACAAAGGAAGUGAUCGAAAGUACAUGGUUACUAAUAGAUCUCCAAACUGAAACAGCUUUUGGCCUAAAUGGCACAACCCAAAUAAAAUUAAAUAACCAAAUGUCCACUAAUUAGUGUUAGCUCAGUAAAACAGUAAAAACAAUCAAACAAAUUAACCAGCGCCAAGAUCCUAAAAUCGAACAAAAAUCCAAGUUUCUAAAUUUCACCUCUUCUAAUCCCUAAUUUUUUUAUUCCAAAAACGACCCAACAACGAAAGCCACUCAAUUUCUAAGAUCAAACUCUCAAAUUAACUAAAAGAGGCAACUUUAUGAAUGGCCCAGAAAAUGAAUUUCAAAAAGGCAAAAAAGAAAUAAAAUGAGACCAAGAACCCAACCUUUAACGAGUUUGAUGACAAGCUUUUUGGUGGGUUGAGGUGGGGUUGCCUUUUUGCGAGACAAAUUAGCGGCGGCGGGAGCACGAGCAUCAUCGGACUUGGAAUCAUCGUCGAGGGCCAUAGUUAAAGGGUCGAAAACGACGUCGUUAUCGUUUUGGUUGUGGUGGUGGUGGUGUAGACCGUUUUUGUUUGGGUCGAGAGAGCAAGCCACCGCUUGGGACUUGUCUUUCUUCAUUGGUGGUUGGAAGUGAGGAGGAGAAGAAGAAGAAGAAGAAGAAGCAGUGGCGUUAGAAUUAGUGUUGCAGAGAGAUCGUUUGGUUGGGGGGAGAGACAUGAAAGUCAUCAAAAGAGCAUUGUAAAAUUUUCAGCUUCUUUUAAUUAUUAAAUUUUCUCCUGAUCUCGGUUCUCUUGUUACAGUUGUUGCCUUCCUUAGAGAGAAAGGAGAAGAUUUUACGAAGGCAGUAAAAGAUAAAAAUUUGCGAGCGAGAGAAACAGAGGGCUUGGUUCGUGCCUGCCUCGACGGUGAACUGGACUGGUUAUAACCGAUUGGACUAUGAGUUUCGGAUUUGAUUUUUGGGUUACAUAACCAUUACAAAAUCCAAUAUUGGAUCAAAAUCUUAAAUGGUAAAGCCUGUAAUGGAGACAAAACUGGAGUGAUGUAACCCAUUACUAAUUUGGGCUAGACCAGAAAUCCAUUAGCCACAAUUACUUAAAUAUUUUGUUUCUUAACCGACAUCAGUUAGUUUCUUAGAGUCGUUGAAUUUUUAAUUUUUAUUAUUAUGAUUUAAAUUUUGAUAUUUUUAAAUCCUAAAAGAGUAUUGCACGUAAACGACACACUCACACAAGAACAAUUACUUAAAACUUUUUGUCCUUUUCUAUUUGAAAAUUUGUAUACGGAUGGUGUGAAAUUACGACUUUUCGGCUCAAGGUAGCCUAGCUGAUUGAACCUUGAUGAAAUUUCCCGGAUGUUAUCACUAGAGCAGUAGCAUCAACAAACGAAAGGAAUGACGUAUAGCUCGCCGUAGAGUAUAUGACAAAAGAUUUGAAAGUUAUCAGAAGGGAAGUUUCCUGUACUUGGAAACCACUUCUCCUAUCUUUUCGUACCGUGCGUACACUUGUAGUCGUGGAACUUGAAACCCAAGGCAGUUGUGCCAGCGGCAUGAAUUUCUACUUCUCACUGAUUUUUUUAUUCCUUUACACACAUGAAGGUUCGAUCGAUCCUUUUAAUUCCAUGAUCUGUGGCUCGAGUUUUUGAAUCUGACUACAAUAGGGAACAUGCCAAGCACCUUCCUUUUUAGUUAUUUUAUACACUUGGGGGAAUGAAUUUUAGUUUGACACAUUAAAGGAUAAAGACAUACUAUCUUUUAACGGUGGAUAUAUGACAGGCUGAAAUGUGAACUGAGAGCUUAAAAAUCAGGAGAAGAUUCUAGUGGUUGUUUUGAAUGCAUGUAUAUUCCCCCAAGGCCACUUGGUUUCUAUCUUUCAGUGUCAAGGACUAAUUAAGAGUUUGCGUGCCCGAUACCUCUUAUUUUAUGCCGGGCUUUUUAUCUUUCUUUGAUAGAGAAAAGUUUUUAUGAAAUCUUUUGUGAGAAAUUUGUGAAAUUGUUUAAUAUAAAUGAUUUAAUUAAAAUUUUAAUAAAAAUUUAAAUUGAUAAAUUGAUAGAAUUUAAUGAGAAAAUCAAUAAUAUAUAAAAAAAUUAUUGAAAAUUUUGUUUAUAAUUUAAAUUUGAUUAGUACUUAUUCAAUUUCAAAAAUAUUUUUUAAAAUUUACACAUUUGAUCUAUUUAAUAAAAUUUUUUAAUUUAUUAGUUUUGAUUUUUGAGUUUAAUUUUUAUUUAAUCAUUUUUAGUGAAAAAAUUUAUAAAUUUUACCUAAAAAAUUUCAUUUAAUUUUUUUUCUUUUUGAAAAGCAUAUAACAUCUUGUCCUUAUCAUUAUAUACAUUAUCUACGAGAAAAAAAAGUGUUCUGCAAAUAAAGCUUAACUCAAUUCUUGCAUUUCUUCCGAAUUAAUUCUAACUGCAGCCAUUUAGGAUAAAAAGUUAAGAUUUUUCCUGUUUUGAUAAGCAAAACAUGGGUUUCCACCCUAUUAACAAAUGGAUCAUGUUAUCGUUUGCCUACAAAUGUUUCAAUAACUAUAUAGUAGUAUACUAUUGACAUGAAAUGUUUUUCCCUAGCAGCAACUAGCAAAUCAUUGGCGGAAUUAACCUAUCCCUGGUUUCAAGAAACUUGGUGCUGCGGCGUGCUUGUCCAGAAUCAGUGACAAGGGUACUUCAGUUUAGACGACAUAAGAAUCAUCACUUUAACAAAAAAAAGAUUAAGAAGCAACUCAUUCAAGGACCAUGGUCUGAUUCGCUAAACAUGUCAAUACAUAUACAGCUCGAUGGAUCUUAUAACUUUUUUUUUUCUCAGUCAAAAUAGGAAUUUUAUGAAUCAAAUCAGUCCAAAAGUACACUAAAAAUCCCAAAAAUAAGAUUUGAAGGAGACAAAAUGCCCAUAAAGAUUACAAAAGGAAAUCAUCUCCGUCAUAAGAGUAUAUACAGGAGAAUUAGUUAAAAAAAAUUGAACUACUCUAUUUCACUAAUUCACUCUCUUAGUCAAAUUUUCAAUCAUUGACUACUAUAUAUAUAUAGCCGAUUGUUAUUUUGUAUGAAAACUAUACACACACAUAUAUAUAUAUAUAUAUAUUUUGCAAAAUGAGUUUCAUAUGCAAAUUUGCUCCCGUGGUCUAACAUAAUACAUACAGUUGUCAAAUAGAUUUUUCCUGAUCUUAGAUGUGAUUGAUUUAAGUUAAAUAUAAGGAAAUUUAUGGAAGAGGGAAAGACUUUGGAUAAUUCGUGAUAUACGUGCUUUGACGAAGACUUCUUUUGUUUGUUUCUUCGAUCCCUGCUUUACAAACCGAAGGUCAUAGGGUUUUGCUUCGACAGAGACUUGGGUCCGUCCAGACUGCACAUGCCCUUUUUUGAACAGUCAACUUCCUUCCAUUUCUCCAUUAACUGUUCACAACCGCCAAACGCCACCUCGUUGGUAUCUCGGUCCCCUCGGUCUAUUUUCCCUAUAUAAACCCUCCAACCCAGAUUGCAACUUGCAUUACAUAUCUAAAGCAAUACCAAGUUUUCAAGCAAAGAAUUAUAUGUGUUAACUACUCAUCCAAUUCCCUAUAUUUUCUCUUUAUUCGUGUUGUUUUCAAUGGCGGCUACUGCUAAAUCUCAUGGAGAUGUUAAGGUAGUGCUAAUUGACACUCAAUACGUUGAAACUGAUCCCCUCAGCUUCAAAUCAGUAGUUCAAAAGCUUACAGGAAAGGAUUGUUGCGUUGAAUGGAUAGAUGAGAGAUCGUUUUGCUGUAGGAAAACCGAAACAAAGGUAGCUGGAAAGGUUGCAGCUGAAAGGUCAUAUGGCACGAUCGGCGGUGGCUAUGGUGGUGGUAGUGGCCUUGGUACUUCCAUGUUAACUAAAGGUUUAUCUUUUAAAGACUUGGAUAGAAUGAUCUUGGAGGCGCCGCCAGUGGACGAGUUGAAGUGGUGGUGGGCUGACUAGCUAGCUAGCUAGCUAGAAUUUGUUAAAACUUUUCAGGCUAUUAUUAAUUGAUAAUUUUAUAAUUGUUAGAAUUUUUUAGAAUUUUUCUAGCUAGAAUUUGCACUAUUUUUUCAGAUUUGAUUAUAUAUAUAUAUAUAUAUAUAUAUGAUAUAUCCAAUGAACUAAUUUUUUUAUAUCAUUUCUGCUGUAUGUAUGGUUUAAUUUUGCUUUUCUCAACCAAUAAUUAAGUUGUUUGUUUGUUCUUCUUUUUACUGAUUGUUUUCUUUUUUUUUUUUCAUUUUUUCCUAGAGGGAAUUAAAGAUUAAUUUACCAUCUUCGAUUCUAAAUAAACACAGUACUUAGCAAUACAAAAAAUAGCUAGCGGCAUACGGGAGCUUUUAAUUUGGAGUUUAAUUGGUUAGAUCAGCUAGGGUCGUAGAAUGAGUGGCGGUUCAAGAGUCCGCGCCACCACGGCAUGCAAAAGCCAAUAUUUGGUUGUUUUUUGUCUGUCUGCGGGCAUCAUUUGCCGUAAGGGUGAGGAAAAAAAAUUGAAAAUUGUUUUGAAAUUAUAAUGUUUGAUUAAGUAUGAAUUGAUUUUUUUUUAUUUAAUUCGGAUAAAAUUUAGAUAUUAAAUAUAUAUAUAUUAAAUUUAAAUUAAAUUUUAAAUCGAAAUGUAAAAAUAUUAAAAAAAAUAAAACGAAUAAUAUAUUUUUAUUAAUUUUUACAUAUUUUUUAAUUUUUUAUAAAAUAAAAAUAAUUAUUUUAUAUAUAAAUUUAUUUAAAUAUAAUAAAAAUUUUAUUAAAAUAAUAUAUAAAUAAUAAAAAAAUUUUAAAGACUGAUAAACUAAACCAAACUAGACUGAUAGAAUUUAAUUUGGAUUGAAUAAUUUAAAAAAAAAGAUCAAUUUGAAUUUAUAUCAGAUUUUAAAAAUUCAUAAUAUUAUAUAUUAUCCAAAAAAAUCAAAUUUAAUUCAAUUCAAUCUGAAUCGUUAUCACUCUUAAUUUUUCGUUCAAAGGAAAUAUAAAUAAAUAUAUUUAGAGAAAUUACUUCAUAUAUUGUCAGUAAAAGCUUUUACCUUUACAAACGAGAUUAACAAAAUCAUACAUAUUUUAUUCUUUUAAAUUAAUUUUUUAUUUUUUUAAAUAUAUAUUAAAAAAUAUAUGUCAUCCUAUCAAUCUUACUUAUAAAGUUAAAAAAUUUCAAUAUUAAUAUAUUUGAUAAUUUCCCGUACAUUUAUAUAUAAAGAGAGUAGAAUGAAUGAUUGGAACAGUAUAAAUACAAAAAAAAUUAUUACUAAAAUUAAUGCGCAUGCCGAUAGAUAUAUAAAAAAUAAAAAAUAUAUAUUAUACACGCUUAUCAAAUACACAUAUAAUUAAAAAAAAUUAAAAGACUCAUUUAACCAUUAAAAAAAAUAAUAUAAUCCCAUUCCAAGUAAAUACAUUGAUCAAUUAGUACUAUGAUCUAAUUAUUAGUGGUUAGUUAUAAUAGAUUUUUUUAUUAGUUUAAGAAAAUCUAUUAAAAACGAAGAAACACAUUAAUAAAAUAUAAAGAUGUUCUUAAGAAAAACAAACAAAGAUAAAAAAAAAAAAAAUCAACCAACAUAAAUGAAUAAAAAGACUAAAAUAGAUAACAUAAACAUAGUCAAAUUGAGUUGUGGUCGAGUGAGUUUUGUAAUUAACUUUUGGUUUUAUUUACCAAUUGACAUGAUUUGGGUGAUGUAUCAAGUUCGUCUUGAUUCUCCUUUUUCUUGAUGGCUGAUUCUUUGGUAAAAUCUGGAAUUGUAAAGGUUUACGUGUUUUAAUGUUUGGUGAUUAUGAGUGGUUUGGAUAUUUACUAUAGAUAUGUUUUUAUGAUUUUAGCUAAUUUUGUUCAAAUUUUUUAUAUAUAGCAUCUUUGCUGCUUUUAUUUGAAUCUUUCAAACUAUUUACCUUCUUUUAUAAAAUAAUAAUGGCUUAGAAAAAAUUUUAAAAAAAAAAGAAAUAAAAGAAAGUAGAAUCGAUUAAUUGGAGUUAGGUGAGAAAAAAAUUUUAAAAAUAAAAAAUUAAUUUAAAAUUAUAAUAUUCGGUUUGAUUAGAAUAAGUUUUAUUUAUUUGAUUCGGAUCAAAUUCAGAUAUUAAAUAUAUAUAAUAGGUUUAUAUUAAAUUUUGGAUCAAAAAAAUAAAAAAAAAUUGAACCAAAUUAUAUAUUUUUUAAUUUAUAUAUAUAUUUUUAAAUUUUUAUAAAAUAAAAUAAAUAUUUUUAUAUUAAAAUUUACUUAAAUAUAUUAAAAUAAUAUAUGAAAAUUAAAAAAAAUUAAAAAUCAAUAAUUUGAAUCAAACUAAAUCAAUAAAAUUUUUUUUAAUUCAAAUUUAAAUAAAAUUUUAUAAUAUUAUAUAAUAUUAAAAAAAAUUAAAUCAAAUCAAAUUCGAUUCAAUCUAAUCCUAAUCAAAACUACGUUACAUAAAAAACAAUCGCUUUUUGAUUUAUAAUUAUUUAAAAUAAUUAAGAAUGUAUUUGAACACAUGGGCUCUCCACGGACAUGGAUGCUUUCAACACCAAAAUUGAGAUGGAUAAGCCCAACUAAAAUAUUUCUUAAAUGGAUAAGCCCAAAACCAAGGCAUUAAUUUCUUCGUUUUUCCAUGUAAUUGUAAACAAUGUAAUGCCAAAGUUGUUAUUGCUCAUUUACUCACAUUACAUUCCAUUCGUUAAUUCAAUUUUUGAUGAAAUAAAAAUUUAAUUUCAUCUCCUUGAAACAUGGAUAAAAUUUUGGAAUUUUCCUUUUAAAUUUCUGAAGAAUAAUAAUAUCAGCACAAACCACUUCAAUAGUUACAUUUUUUUAUUGAAUAGUUAAAAAGAUUACUAUGUAUAUUAUUCUUUUUUUCAUUUUUUUCCCAAUUGUAACAAGAACAAUUUGGGAUAACUGUCCUUAAUGUUCCUUAAUGUUCUCACAAUUUUGACUAAUGCUUGUUGUCCAUCAAAUAUAUAUUUACUUUGUAUUAAAAUUAAUUAAUGGAGCCAGAAAUUCUAGAUCAUUAGGCUUUUGGGAUAACUGUCCCACCAAGAAUCACCAUGACUACAAAUAAUAAGGCAAGAUCCUUUUUAGGGGAAGAAAUUUCAUAUACAAUAUAUAUAACCAUACUUGCUUUUCAUUCCUUCAAUCUGCUUUAACCAUUCUCUUAUCAUGAUAACCUUUGUUGCAAACCAUGCAUAAUGCACCCCAAAAAAACAAAAAAAGCAAUUGUCUGGCUUCUUUUUCAAAGUAAAAUCCACUCAACAGUUCCCUCUUGGAAAAUUGAGGAAUGAUUCAUACAUUUUAAAACCAAAAUAUACCUAAUUAAUGUUGGUAUCCACCUGAGAAGAAGAAUGUCUUUGAGCAAACAUAUUCAUGUGAAAAAAAAAAUACAAUUGACCAAACUCUUUCAUGCAUUGAACCCUCAAUCCCCCCUCUUUUCUUUUUUUUUUUUUCUUCCAUGAAUCUAUGCUUCCUUCUUUAUAAUACCAAAAUGUCUUUAACAAAAGUAUGUUUCUUUAGUAAGAAUCUUCUUUAUGAUAUAUUUCUCUCUCACCCUCAUAGACAUACAUAUAUAGACAAAAUCCAAUUUGGAUUUGCAAACCAAAAAAGGAGAAAGAAAGUGAAAAGAUGAAAUUGACCAUAUACUUGUGAUCUCUAAAUUUUGAGUUACAUAUUAUUUUUAUCUCUAACAUUUAAAAUGCGACUUGUUGAUCAGUAAAUUCAUAAAUAUAUAACAUUUUGAUCAUUUCGUCAACUUAAUUGUUAAUUUUAACAUUAAAUAUUAACUUUAAAUUUUCAUUAAUUCUUCGGUAAUCAAGCUUGGCCAUAUAUAUUUAAGAAUAUUAGCUUAUAUCUUGGUUUUUCGAGUGAAAUGAUCAGUGCUUCUAAAUUUUACUUGGACUGCCAAAUUGAUUCGAUCCUUAGGAAAUAAGCCACCUAGAUUGAUCAAUUCAUGACUUUAUGAGAAAAAAAAAAAAGGAUCAAAUCAAGUUCCAGCUUUGCUCAAUUGGAGAGGUUUAACUUGAAAACUACAUGGAGGGACAUCUAAUGUCGAAAUCAAAUAAAAAAAAAAGCCAACUUCUCCUCUAUUUAUACGUGAACUAAUUAAAACUUGUAAAAAGGAAGGGCGGGCAAAGGUUUCGUAUCCCAUACACAUUACCAAUUUCAAUCGUAAGAUAUAUACCUUUCAACCUGGAAAACGACUCUUUAGAUUCAGCCACCAUCGCCCAAUUCCAAAAUUUAAUGCUAAGAUGACAAGAACUGACGGGGCAAUGUUGAAGAGUCUCUCGCAGUGGCAGCCAAAAAUGGCUAGUAAUUUGGACAUGUGCAGUAAUAGAAAGUGACAUUUUUUUACUGUUAACAGGUUUGCCUGCGUGUACAUGAAAUGAAACCGGACCUGUUUUUUGAUGUUCUGCUGCGCCUGCCCUGGAAAAUGUAAAAAGGUUUUACUGUCAGGGUCAUUCUUUUUUUUGGGUGCAUCAUCUUUACUUUAACAAAAAGGAUUUGAAAAGAAUACUUAUCCAUGGAAAUUUCUUCGUAUACCAUUUCUUAUCCACUCGCCAAACCUUACUUUUCAAUUGGGUUUCUGUACUAAAUAAUAAAAAAUUGUAAGAUAAAUUUUUAUACAAUAUAUAUAUAUAUAUAUAUAUACACACACAUGAAUAAAAUCAUAUAUAUGUCUUAACAUUUAGGUUGGAAACCUACCUAUUAGACUCAUUGCUUUCAGUGUAACAGUAGAGACCGAAUUUCUAAUUUUUUAUUUAUUGAUUUCAUGGGUAUUUGUUAAUCUUUAAAUUUGAUAAGAUUUUUUCAAUUUUCUCUUUCUAACAUUAUUUAAUUUUGAUAUAUUAAGACUAUAUACUUCUUAUUUUACCUAGAGAAAACUUUAUAUUCUCAUUAUUUCAAUAGUGAAAAUUAUUGGUUGCUGCCCAUAGUUUUUAUUUUUCAUUUUUGGGAGACAAUCGAUAUUUUUUAUUUAGGUAUGAUUGAUCACCUAUGUGAAUCUAUUUUUUUCUAAGAUUAUCCUAAAUAUAAACUAUGAGUCCUUAAGAAGAAUAAGUUCUGAUCUACAUCAUCAAAACUAAAGUUUAAAAGCCGAUUAAGUGUAAAGAAGGUAUUAGCACCCCUUUAUACCCAAAAUUGGUACCAAGUUAAUUAUGUGUUAACUUACCUAAGUCUUAUCAAAGAUGAUUUUAUCAUGCAAAUAAAUCAAUUACAUUCUUUUUAUUUAUUUACAAAACAUGGUGAUAAAAAAAUUCUAUCAAAAUGUUAAGCAAUCAUGCAAUAAAUAUUAAAUCAUACUAUGCAACAAAAUCAUGCAAUAAUAACAAAUUAUAUCUAGUAAUAAAUCCUGCAAUAAAUAUAAAAUCAUACAAUGCAAAAAUUAUCAUGUAGUAAUAUAAUACCAUAAAAAUAUUCAUGCAAAUAUAUAUAAUCAUGCAAUCAAAUAUAAUCACAUAAAUAAAUAUAUUAAUAAUCAUGCAAUUAUGCACAUAGUAAAUAUAAAAAUAUGCAAUUAGAUACCAUUCAAAAUUAAUAUAAUAUCAUUUCAUGCAAUAAAUGUAAAAUCAUGGAAUAAUAACAAUAAAUAAAUAACCAUGAAAAUAGAUAUAUUAUUAAUUAUACAAUCACACAAAUAAAUAAAUUAUAAUCAUGCAAAUAUAUAUGUAAUUAAAUAUAUAAUCACGCAAUUAACAAUGUAAAAUAUGCAAUUAAAUAUCUAAUUAAAUAUAUAAUUAUGCAAAUAAAAAUAUAUAAACCAUACAAAUAAACAUACAAUUAAAUACAUAAUCAUGCAAAUAAAUAUAUAAUCAUGCAAUUAACAUAUAAAUCAUGUAAUUAAAUAUAUAAUCAUGCAAUUAACAAUAUAAAUCAUACAAAUAAAAAUAUAAUCAUACAAUCAACAAUAUAAACCAUACAAAUAAAUAUGCAAUUAAAUAUAUAAUCAUGCAAAUAAAAAUAUAUAAACCAUGCAAUUAAAUAUGCAAUUAAAUAUAUAAUGAUACAAAUAGUAUUAUAUUAAUCAUGAAAAAUAAACAUGCAAAAAUAAAUAUCAUGCAAUAAAUAUAAAAAAAAGAGUAAGCAAUUAAAUAUUAUAAAAGUUAUGCAAAAAUCACAAAAAAAUGAAAACAAACAUUACCUCAAUGAGUUCCAACAAUUUUUCACCUUUCAAAAACUUAUACUUCUUACUAUAAAUCUUAGCUUUCUUUCAAAAAAUUUAACUAGAUCUUCUUGCAAUUUUUUUUACUCAAUUGCUUCUUUGUUGUUGAUUCAAAACUUUGCCCAAAAUUUUUUUUUUUCAAUGACCUCUAUUUGAUCUUAAUGUCAGUUGCUAUCAGGCCCCCCUUUGAUCACAGAUUUAAGGUCUUUAUAUAGGGAUUGAAUCCAUUUUGAUUUGGAAGAAAUUAAUUCAAUUAAAUUUAUGAUUUUUUCCCUAAUUUUAUUCUUUUAGUAAUCUUUCCUUUUUUCAAUAGAUUGAACCUCAAGUCUCUCUAAAAUUAUUUAACCAUUAAAGUUAAAAUCUAAAAUAGAAUUUAAAAGUUGAAUUGAAUCCAAGAUUUUUCAUGCAAAAUCUCACAUUUUUUAUUUUUUAUCUUCUUUUUACCAAUUGAUUUUGACUCUUUUGACUAAAAAAACGAAAAUUAAACUAAAAAAAUAAAAUACAAAUAAAAGUUAGGCCCUAAUCUUUGGACCCAAAUUUAAUUUUUUCAAUUAAAGCCUAAUUAUACAAUCCAAAUUAAAAUUCAAAACCCAAUGAAUUUUGAAAAAUCUCUAGAUAAAAUAAGUUGUCUACAGUUGCCCCUCUUUGUGUAUUUUCUAUGAAACAGAAAUUAUACAAAGACAAAAGAUAUCCAUUUUGUCAAGGUCAAGAAAAAUAAAAAUAAAAAAUUACAAAGGCUCAUCCUCAGAGGUUUGAAACUUUUUUUUUUUUUGAAAAAUGCUCCCACAUAACUGAAACUUUGAAACUUUUGAAAAAUAAAAUGCUCCCCUAACAACUGAGGCUUUGGUACUUUUGAAAAUAAAAUGUUCCCCUAAAACUGAGGCUUUGAAACUUUGAAAAAUAAAAUGGUCCCCACAAUUGAGGCUUUAGAACUUUUAAAAUUAAAAUACUACCCCAUAACUGAGAUUUUGAAACUUUGAAAAAUAAAAUACUCUCCCAUAAUUGAGGCUUUGAAAGUUUUAAAAAAUAAAAUGAGAUUACUCUUACUUUCGAAAAAGCUUCUCCCUGAUAGAGGCAUUGAAACUUUAUUUAAAUUGAGUUUCUACAUCUCAUAUGAAUCAUCAUUAAUUGUUUUCUAAUGUCUUUUUUAAAAAUUAUUUUCUCAUUUAGUUUUUCCUUUAUGCUUUCCUAACAUAUGCAAUGAAUGCAUACAAUGAAUGAAAAGAUUCUACACAAUGCUCAAAUUCAAUUUCAAGAUUUAAAUUUUAAUUUUUCUUCCUCUCAAACAUACAUGAUGCAUGGGAUGAAUAUGAUAAACACAAUAUAUGCAUACAAUGAAUGCAUGAGCCAAAGAUUUUUUUAAAAUUCUAUCAUAAUUUCAUAACUUAAACUUUGAUCUUUCUUUUCUAAAUAUGAAAUGCAUGAGUGCAAUAAAUGUGAUGAUAAAUGCAACAUGUAAUGAAUGCAGUGAAUACAACGCAUGAAUGCAAAAUUCCUACUCAAUUUCAAACUUUAAACUUUCUUUUCUUUUUCAAAUAUGUAUGAUGAAUGUCAUGAAUGAGUGCAAUAUGCUCAGUAUGAUGCAUGCAUAUAAUGCAUAUGGUGAAUGCAAUGUAUGCUAUGCAAUUUAUUUUAUCUUUUCAAUUGUGCAAAAUUAGAGGGUUCUAAAAAGUCUUGAUUUAUCUUCUUGCUCCUUUUGACUCAUUAACACUUGUGGUUUUCAACAUGAGCUAUCAUGCAUCAUCAACUAGUCUCAUCCAUUAUAUCAUCCAAAUCCAAAGUUUGUUUCUUUCAAUGGGAUCUCAAGACUCUUCUUCAUGUCUUUUUUUUUAGCUUUUCAUCAUAUUUUUUUAAUUUUUUUGGAACUGGCUAGCAAAUGUAUCAACUGAUUUGUGACCUAAAAUUCCUUUUCAUUAGCUUCAUCAUUUGAUUUCAACAUUUGGAAUGUUUCUUUUCAUUUGUAAGCCACAAGGAUCAACAUAAUUUUAAACUUAUUUUAUCUUUCACAUUUCAUUUUCAUUAUGCCCUAGUCACUUUGAAAUAAUGCAAGGAUCUUUCAUAACAAUCAUUUAUUCAUUCAUCAUCAUUUCAAUUCAAUGCCAAAUGUAAUCCAUCACAUUUUUUUAGAUCAUCAUGGGAAGAAAUAAAUGGUGAAGAACAAUUAAAGAAAGGGUAUUCAUUAUAAGAAUAAGUCUGGUAAAGAAUAAAUAAGUAAAAAAAUUAUUUCAAGAUAAAUCAUCAAAACAAAUGUUGGAAAAGGUAUACAACAUUUAAGAUAAUGAAUAUUCAAAAAUUUUAGACAAAUUAAUUUUGAAUUCUUUUUCAAAAAUUCAUUCCAUUGAUAUUUUUUAUCUUUCAUCAAUUUAAGCAUUAUCUCUAUUUUUUGGAGAUCCUUAUUAAGGCUAUUUUUUUAGGUUCCCUUUUUGUUACUUAAACCACCUUUUCGGAUUUUCAGUUUAAUUUUUUUUUACACACCUCAUUCACAUCUUUUUUAUCUUAUUUUUUUCUCUUAAUCUAUCCGUUAGCCUUGAAUUGAUCCUUAUUUUGAAAUGACAAAACAUUAAAGCUAAAUAAACUUGAUCAAGAUUUUGAAAAAGAUUUAUUUAGUACAUGUUCUUAAGUUUCAUAUUUUGGUACUAAAUAAAUAAUAUGAUUUUCAAAGCUUAAACAAACCUUUCUUUAUUUUCAUAUUUCUCAAACCAAAUCUACUUUUAAAGAUUAUUUAUUUGAGCUUAAAUGAAAGUCCAAUUGUUGUUUUUAAAGUGAACUUAUUCAUUUUGGACUUAAUACAAUUUUGAUAAUAUUGGUUUUGGGAAAUAGAUUAACUUAGGAAAGUUGUUUUACAAUAACAAAGUUUUCCAACAUUUAUUUUAUUUUUCUGUAUAAAUUCACAAGGUUUUAAUAUUUGAAUUUUAUAUGGUUGGAAAGCUCUUUAAGUCUACUUUCUGAUGGAUUAAACAAAAUCAAAAUCAAAAUUUUUUAAGAAAAGAUUUUGAAUUUUUACUAGACACUUUGCAGUUGUAAGAAAAACUACACAAGGCAUAAUUUUGAAAAUUCACUAUAAUUCGUACACAAUGAAUUAGGUGAUGAACUAUCUACUUUUAAAGAUUAUUUAUUUGAGCUUAAAUGAAAGUCCAAUUGUUGUUUUUAAAGUGAACUUAUUCAUUUUGGACUUAAUACAAUUUUGAUAAUAUUGGUUUUGGGAAAUAGAUUAACUUAGGAAAGUUGUUUUACAAUAACAAAGUUUUCCAACAUUUAUUUUAUUUUUCUGUAUAAAUUCACAAGGUUUUAAUAUUUGAAUUUUAUAUGGUUGGAAAGCUCUUUAAGUCUACUUUCUGAUGGAUUAAACAAAAUCAAAAUCAAAAUUUUUUAAGAAAAGAUUUUGAAUUUUUACUAGACACUUUGCAGUUGUAAGAAAAACUACACAAGGCAUAAUUUUGAAAAUUCACUAUAAUUCGUACACAAUGAAUUAGGUGAUGAACUUGAUCUGGUUGAAAGCCCUUUAAGUCUAGUUUCUAAAUCUUCAAACGAUUUAUGAUUUGGAUUUUUAUAACUCAAGUUAUGAUCAAAUUAGUAAGUAGAGUGCAAAACGUAAAACUACCACCCUGCCACUGACAAGAUCGAUCCCCUUAUGGAAGGGAUUGAUCGGGUCAUGAUUUUCAAGUGAAAAAUAUUCAAAACAUGAACCAAUCGAUCCCAUCAAACAAGGGAUCGAUCGAUUUUGGGCAAAAACAUUCCAACGACUACUUUUUGAUGCUUUCAAUGGCUAUUUUCUUCUCUCAAACACUUAUAACAGUUACCUCUUCAAUUUCUCUAUAAAUUGGACACUUCCAACACACCAAAAAGAUUGAUAAAUCAAGAAAGCAAGAGCCAAUAAGCCACAUUUUCAUUCUCUCAAAGAAUAAAGAGUUUUUAGAGCUUCAAAGUCCAUAUCUUUGUAUUUAUUGUAUUCAAUUGUUAUUUGUUGUUCAUUCAUCAUUUUCUUGUACUUAAACUUAGCAAACACUUAGCCUUAGAGAGGUUGUUCUAUUAUUUGCAAAAUUAUCUUUGAUAUACUAGAGUGGAAGAGAACAAGAGGUGAGGUAUCAUCUUGAGAGCUUUAUAGUGAGAUUAGGUAAAAUACUAUAAAGAGUAAAGGUUUUUAUCUUAAGCCUUAGAAAAAAAAAGAUAGGUUGUAUUUUCAAUUCAAGAAUAGUGAAUUAAAGCAUUGGUGUGGACAACCAAGAAGAGAGGAUGUAGGUGCCUUGUGGAGAAGGAUCGGACCUCUAUAAAUCAUUGUGUUUAAUUUUUCUAUCCCUAUCUUCUUACAAUUUAUUGUUGUUUAUAUUUGAUUUUAGAUUCAUUAAUUGUUAUUGUUUGCAUUAUAUUUUCAUCAAAAGUGCUUAUUGUUUUAAUUUUCAUUCAACUAUAUUGAAAUCAUUUGUUUGGGAAGAAUUUGAAGAAAUUCAAUUCACCCUCUUCUUGGAUCACCAUUUAACCUAUAAAGCUAACACUAUCAGUAACAUUUUGAUCAAAAUUUCUAAUAUUCUCAUUACAAGUUUGUCUUAGUUCAAUUUAUGAUUCUCCUCUUCGAUCAUUCACAUUCGAUCAAAAUAGACUUUUAAGGGACAUAAUGUAGGCUAAGGUGAAAGGUUAUGAAAGAAAUUGAUAAAGUAGGUCCAAAAUUAAUUCAAAGGGUUAUAAACCAAAAUAUCAUUAUUAUCAUAUAGAGCAUCUUGGUUUUUUGCCCUAUUCUUCAUUAAUUGCCUUUUUUUUUCUUUUCUUUACAUUUUUUUUAUUUACACUUUUUAUCCUUUUUUAGGAUAAAUCUUAGCACCAAAAUGGGUUUUUUUUUUUACCUUUGAAGUUAUUAUGGACCUUUACUUUCUUUUUUCUUUAUUUUUCUCUUUAUGAUCAAGCCAUUUUCAAACUUUGUCCCAAUGUAAAGGGUGAUUCUUGGUUAGGGCUUCUUUCAAAAAAAAUUCAAUAAGCUCAAAUGGGAUAGUAAAUAGAUAAUUUUACUCAUUAUGUGAAAGGUAAAAGAAAAUGGCCAAAUUUUAUUUCAAAUAUGAAUACUCUCAAUGAAAAAUAUUUAUUGACUACGAGCAAACUUGUGAGCAAACCAUCAUAAAAAACCACACACACAUCACUUUCAUCUAUAAAUUAGCAAAAUCUCAUGCUAGUUUCAUUUCAUGAAACCUAUCCUCAUUUACUUUAAUGAUCCCAACAGAUUAAGAGUAUCAACUUAUCAAUUCUAUUAAUAUGAAUGAUAUUUUUAAAAUCAAAAUUUGAAUUAUUGUAAUGAUUAUUUGAACAUUCAUUAUUUAGCAUAUGGGAUUGGGUGAAAUAUGAAAGGCAUGUAUAAAAAAAUAAUAGAACAAAUGGGGAAAUGUAAUGAAAAUGCAUUUGUUACUUUAUUGAAAAGAUGAAAGAUAAAUAAAAGAUUGACAUAAAAGACUAUCGAAUGUUCAAAACUUGUAGUAUUUCUUAAAGUUUUUAACAUAACAGACAUUUAUAAAAACUCUUUCAAAAUUAUGCCCCAAUGUGGUUAAGUAAAGGGUUCUUGAUGACACGUCCUUACUUCUUAAUCAAAAUUCACCAAUCCAUUUUUUACUAAACUUUACACUUUAUACGUCAAUACUAUAUAAUUUUUUGUAGAAUGAUCAGUAAUCCCAAGAUGAUAGUCAUAAGUAGCAUUAAUAUCAUAUCACUUGAGGCAGGAAAGCUUCAUAGGUUCUGAAUAAAUUGGUGCGACUAAAUAGUUCUUAAUGAGUUAAGGGAGUAACAUAGUGUAUGUCAUAUGAAUUGGAUCUAUAGGAGCUCUUUCUCUUUUUACUCGAUUCUUAGGUUGAACAACUAGUCGACAGUUAGAGUUGGAUGAUUGUAUGAUUGGUUGAUGCACAUAAGGACUUGAAAAGACAUUGUUGAUGGUUAGAUAGUAAGCUUGGUACAUCGAGUAAAGAUAAUAUGGGGUAAAGCCUCCAACCUUUUAUCCUUCAUGAAUUAGAGCUUAAGAUCUUUAUUUUUCUUUUUUAGCACAUCAUUUUUCUUUACAUCACCAUCUUCAAGCUUUUCAUUCUUGAUGACAUUUUCAAUUAUUUCUCCAGAAAUAAACAUAUCAUUGAAAUUUUUAAUGGCAUUUUUAAUCAUCAUUUUAUAGUAAGAAGCCUUAAGAGUAUUGACAAACAUGAUUGUGAUUUUUUUCAGUAAACUAUGGUUAAACUUGGACAGUAAUAUCCCUCAAUCUCUGGAUAUAUUCUUUAAAACUUUCAGUAUCUUUCUUUUGUAAGCUUUGUAAAGACAUACGAUCUUAUGCCAAAUCUGUAAUGUGUUUAUAUUAUGUAAUGAAAGUCCUUGUAAGUUAUCUUUAUGCAUGAAUGCGAGAUCUAUUCAAUUGCAUAUAUCACUUAGCAAUUAAACUAAUAAAACUGUCUUGAAAAACAUGAAUGAACAACUUUUUAUUAUGAGCGUAUGCAACCAUUUUAUGAUAAUAUAUCAUAAUAUAUAUGAUAAAAGCAUUUGGUCUUGUCAUAACGUCUAGAUCCGGGGAUCUAUCGCUAGUCAUUGACUUAAGGGAGUCGUCACCAAUCUUUUUUAUCUAGGUGCGAUUGGCCACCUAAGGAAUCUGUCCUUUCAGGGAACACCUAAGUUUAAGGGUCCCUAAAAGAAUAGGUUCAGGUCUGCUAACCAGAACGGGGUUCGGGAGUUCGAUUACGUGUGAGGAAGGUUAUAGCACCCUCACAACGCCCAUCAAAAAAUGGUACCAGCUUAAAUUUGUGCUAUCCAAUGAGCCUUAAAAUUUUACCGAGUAAUUAAUUAUUGAAAAUUAUUCUCAAUUGACUCUAAUACUUUUAGCAAAAAAUUGAGAAAAUUCCCUCACCUCAAGAGUAUGCAAGAAAAACUACUAUUUCACUUGUAGAGGCUCCGUCGUCGGAUUAAUUAAAGAAAAAUCAAAAUAGAAAGGAAUGAAAGAAUGAUUUUUUUUGUGUAGGGAAAAUUGAUACUUUCAACUUUUCCCCAAAAAUAUUUUUUUUGAAAAUUUAUUUAUUUUUUUUAAGGAAAAUUGAUACUUUCAACUUUUCCCUAAAAAUAUUUUUUUGGAAAUUUUGAUCUUUAAGGAAAAUUGAUACUUUCAACUUUUCCUCAAAAACCCUUUUUGAAAUUUAUUUUUAAGGAAAAUUGAUACUUUCAACUUUUCCCUAAAAAUAUUUUUUUUGGAAUUUUUGAUUUUUAUAAUAAAAAAAUAAAUAAAAAUAAAUAAAGAAAAGUAAAACAAAAAUAAAAAUAAAAUAAAGAUAAAAAGAAUAUUAAAUAAACCUAAUCUAAUAAAUAAAUAAAUAAAUAAAUAAAUUUAAAAAAAAAGAAACCUGGAGCGGCUCGGCUAGCGGCUCAGCUCGGCUCGGCUCAAGGCAGGGAAAAGGCUCGGGGGGAGCGGCUUGGCAGCUUGGCUCGGCUCGGAGGGGGGCUGGCACGCUCGGGUCGGGUCGGGUUUUCGACAAAACGCGCGGAUCCUCUAAUUAACUUAAAGCCAAAAUGACGUCGUUUUGGGAGGGUAUAAAAGGCAGUCCCCUUCGUUUUUCGACAGAACACCCCUCCCCUCUCUCUUUCUUCUUCCCUUUUUCUCUUCCUUCUCUCUAAGGGCUGAAGAACUCCGAUGGAGAUUUUCACCGGAUUCUGGAAAUUAUCGCCGAAAUCUGGAAAAUUUCAUCGAAAGUUCACCGGAAGUUGCCGAAAGAUCACCGGUUUCUGGGAUUCUUCACCGAAAACUGGGUAGGUCACCGAAAACUUCAAAUUUGGCCAGAAUCCUUGUCGAAAAAUUCAAUCCUUGCCGGAAAAUUCGUCGGAAUCUGGAAAUUUCUCAGAAAUUUCCAGAAAAUUUUUUCGCCAAAAACUUCUAAAAAUUUUUUCUCACUCCCAGAACACUCCUAAACUUUUCUUAGCUUCCUAUACGCCUCUUUUUCUCUCGAAUCAGUAGCUUUGCUUACUGUUUUUCCUCUGUCCUUCAUCUGUUCCAAAGGGUCCCUUUUAUAGGGAUUGAUCAGGAGUUCCUGAUCAAUCCCAAUUUCUCUUUGAACGGGAAUGAAAUCUUUAAAUCCAACUGGACUCUUCUGAUUGAAUUUCCAUUCCCAGUGAGAUUCUUCAACUUCAAUCUCAGCCUUCCAAAAAAAAAAAAAAACUAGAUAAUUAGAAAAGAUAAAUAAAAAAUUAUUAUAAGAUAAAUAAAAAAAUAAUAUCAGAUAUAUAAUUAGAUAAAUAAAAAUACAAAAAUAAAUAAAUAAAAUAAAAGAUAAAAAUAAUAAAAAUAUAUAUAUUAGUAAUAAUACAUAAAUAAUAAAAUACAUAGGAUAUACAUAAAAUAUAAAAUAAAAUAAAAAUAAAAAUGACAAAGAUAAAAUUGAACCUACCCAUUUGGACCAAGCCCAAUUGAUCUGGGUCUGGACCAAAUUGGGUGUCUACAGCUGUCCCUCUUUACACAUUUUCUGUGAAACAGAAAUUGCGCAAAGACGUAGACACCCAAUCAAGACUCAACUCAACAUUGUCUUUUUUUUUUGUUUUUUAAUUUUUUUGCUUUUUUUUGUGUUGUUUUUUUUUUGUUUUUGUUUUUUGUUUUUGUUUUUUGUUUUUUUGUUUUGUUUUUUUUUUUUUUUUUUACCAAAGCUCCUCUACGCAGAGGCUCAAUAACUUUGAGAAACAUAAAUUGCUCCUCUAAACAGAGGCACCACGACUUUGAAAAGUAAAUUGCUCCUCUAAACAGAGGCACCACGACUUUGAAAAAGUAAAUUGCUCCUCUAAAAUUGCUCCUCUAAACAGAGGCACCAUGACUUUGAAAAAGUAAAUUGCUCCUCUAAACAGAGGCACCACGACUUUGGAAAGUAAAUUGCUCCUCUAAACAGAGGCACCACGACUUUGAAAAAGUAAAUUGCUCCUCUAAACAGAGGUACCACAACUUUGGAAAAGUAAAUUGCUCCUCUAAACAGAGGCACCACAACUUUGGAAAAGUAAAUUGCUCCUCUAAACAGAGGUACCACGACUUUGGAAAAAUAAAUUACUCCCUGACAAUCAUGUCCAAAGGAGUUGAAAGUUGUGUUUGAAGGAAUUUCAGGAGAUUAUGCCCAAAGGUCUUAUAAAUCGAUCCUGAUACCAAAAGACAUCCUAUUUCAAGGAUUAGGAACUUACCUGACAAGUUUCUUCUCAAACUUGUAAAAUAUCUUUAUAUUUGUCUUCUCCAUGUGAGAUGUUGGAACACCCUUGCUUCUUGGAUUUAUACACUAUACUUUCCUGAAAGUAGUGUAUGCUAUGCAAAUGCAUAUGAAUUUUAAUGCAUGCUAUGCAAAUGUUGGCCAAUUAAUUCCUGUUCAAUGUAUGGUACUCAAGUUUCUCAAGCUUUUUUCUUCUUGGGCAUCAAGCCUUUCUAUUCUUCAGAGAUCCAAUUACACUGCUCUUCUAAGAUUGAACCAGUGUAGCUCUCAAUUGUCUUUUUCACUCAUAUUCUUCCUUAUCUAGUUCCUCAAUACUUUAGAAUAAGCUUCAUCAAUCGAUCAUCACUUGACCAUCAUUCAAUGAAUUUUUCAGCACUAACAAAUUUCAAAACAAGUUUCAUCCAUCAUCACUGGAUCAUUACUCAUAGAUGUCCCAGCAUUAACCAUUCCAAAACAAACUCUGUCUACUGAUUGUCUUCAUCAUUCAAUCAUAACUUGCAAGUCAUAUCGAUCAAUUCAUCACUUUUCAAUAUUUGCCCCAUUAUAUCAUAUACCUUUUCAAAUAAUCUCUUUCAGGUUCCUACCGUUUUUUCAUCAUGUUACCACCAUCAUCUUAGAUUUCUUUUCAAAUGAAUGUAAGAUUCACUUAAACACAUAUUCAUUCAUUCAUUAUCAUUUCAAAUCUUGACAAAUACAAUGCAAUCAAGCAUUUUCUCAAUUCACUUAGGGGUGAAAUAACAAGAGAACAUAAGGUGAAUUAUCACUGAAGAUCUAUUUUGGUAUAAAACAAAUGAGAAAGGACAUAAAUUGGAUAUAUGUCAUUGGAAUGGAUGGUAUGUCCAAAUGAUGAAUAUUCAGACAAUUCUCAACAUUAAUCUAUGAUUCUUUUUCAGAAACUCAUUCCAUUUACUGUUGAAGUCAUCUUGAGCUUGGCGAACUUUGUCCCAGUCUUUGAGGGAUUUUCAGAUGUCUUUGAUCUUCCAUUCAUGUAAGCCAUUUGACCUGGAUCUUUUUUUUUCUACCAAAAUCUCUUUUUUUUCAUUUUUUCAUUUUUUUUCUUUUUUUCAUCAUCUUUUUUCUUUUUGCUCAUUUUUCAUCCAUUGUUGAUAUCUUUCAUGUAGCAUGAUUCCAUUGCUUCAUCAUGAGCAUGUCUUUUGCUCAACAUAUGAUCAUUCAAGUUGAGUAUUCACAUUUGAUCCAAAUGGACUUUUCAAGGUUGUAAUGUAGGCCAAGGUGAAGGGUCAUAAAAAAAUGGAUAUAAUAGGCUCAAAACACGUAUUAAAAAGGUUCAAAACCAAAGGAUCAUUUGAUAAAACUUGGCAUUUUUUCCUACAUCAUUUCAUUACUUUUUUCUUUCCUCAAAAGAUUCUCAUUACUUUGCCCCAAGUCAUGUGUGGCAUUUUUUUUUCUUUUUUUUUUUAGAUCUUUUUGUGAUUUUUUUAAAAAUUGCCCCCUAGUGUAGAGGGUGAUCCUUGGUUAGGGUUCUUUUGAAAAAGAAAUCAUAACAGGCUCAAAGGGGUAGCAAUAAAUGGCUUUUCGAAUGGUAAAAGAAAGAUGGCUAUUUUUCAUCUCAAUUGUGAAUACCUUUCUUGAACAUCAUCUAUUGAACCAAGCUCAUGAAUAUGUAUAAAAGAUUACACAUCUUCAAGACAUAUCUAUUUCACCUUCAGUAACAGCUUACUUUUUGCUCAAAUCAUCUUUUCAUAUUAACAUGGAUGAGUUCUCAAAAUUAAAUCCCAGAAUUAUUGUUAUCAUUGUCUAAAUAUUUAUCAUCUAAAAUUUAAGAAUGGGAAUGUAAAGUUAUGAAAGGUAACAAAGCAUGGAGUAAUGGUCAAGUGAAAGAGAAAAAUGUAAUGAAAUGCAUUGACUUACCUUUAUUAAAAUGAUAACAAGUGAAGUCACAUUGCAAAAAGAAAUCCAACAAUCACUCGAAAAGAAAUCUUAACAUGACAAAAGAAACCUUCAACCAGCCUUAUCUCCAUUUCAAAAUUGUCCCCCUAUGCGAUCAGGUGAGGAAUCUCUAUUGACAUCUUGCCCCUCAAUUCAUUGUGAAUCUUCGGAUCCUUUCUGUUCUUGACUUUCGCUCAAUACACUAACAUUAGGUGCUGUUGCUUUUCCCUGAUCAAAACUUACCAUUCCAUCAUUGAUCAACCGUUGCACCUUAUGCUUUAAAGCAGUACAAUUUUCAGUAGAAUGGCCAGUAAUUCCAUAAUGAUAGUCACAACGGGCUGUAGGAUCAUACCACUUUGGAUAGGGUGGUUUAAGUGGUUCCACAUGGAUGGGGGCAAUCAAGUGGUUAUUAUAGAGUUUUUGAUAUAACUCUGUAUAAGUCAUAGGGAUUGGAUUAAAUACAAGUUUUUCUCGAGUAGUCUGUUGUUCUCGUGAGCCACUUGCUGGGUUAGUAGGGCGAAUUUGGGUUCUUACAAGAGCUUGAAUGUUAAGGCGGUAAGUGGAUGAAUAAGAUGGUUGUGGAGCUAGCUAGUAUGGGUAAGAUGAGGCAUUAUUCACAGCAGGAUAGUAUGGAGAGUAACCUUGGGAUGGAUAGGAUUGAUAACCCUUGAAUUGUUGUCUAUCAAAGCUCACAGCUUGAGCUUCAGUUUCUUUCUUUUCUGAUGCCUUCUUGGUUUCUCCUCUUUUUAACUUACCAUUUUUUAUGGCACUUUCAAUAAUUUCUCCAGAGAUUACCAUGUCAGCGAAAUUUUUUAUUACAUUCCCUAUCAUCUUUUCAUAAUAGGGAGGCUUCAAAAUGCUGACAAAUAACACUGUAGUUUUUUUCUCAGUCAAAAGAGGUUGUACUUGAGAAGCAAUAUCCCUCCACCUCUGGGUAUACUCUUUAAAAGACUCAUUUGAUUUUUUCUCUAGAUUCUGUAAAGAUAAACGAUUAGGGGCCAAAUUGAUGAUGUGUCGAUAUUGACUGAUGAAGUCAUGAGCCAUAUCGCUCCAAGAGUGAAUGUGGGUCCUAUCCAACUGAACAUACCACAUGGCAGCAGAACCAGUAAGGCUAUCCUAGAAGACAUGCAUCAAGAGUUUUUUAUCAUGUGCAUGAGCUGUCAUCUUUCUGUAAUACAUGGUGAUGUGGGUUUUGGGGCACUUUGUACCGUCAUAUUUUUUAAAUUUCGAUACUUUGAACUUAUGGGGGAUAACCACAUCAGGAACUAGGCAGAGCCCAGCAGCAUCAACUAACCCAUAAAAGCUAAAUCUUUUCACAGCCCGUAGCCUCUGCUCUAGCAUGCUAAUUUUAGAGCUUUCCUCAGCUUCCACCCUUAUCUUUUCCUUCUCCUUCUCUUCUAGGUCAGGAAUUGGUUCUGCUACCUUUUCAGUGAAGACAUGAUUUAUAUAGCUGUUAUACUGCCCUGGGUUGAAAGCUGAUGGCAUUCCAAGACAUGUUGGAUAUGCAAAAUGUUGUGGUGGGACCUCUUGGGCAGACUGGACUUGAGGUGGGCCAAAACUUAGAGGGUACAAAGAGUCAGCCACUUCUUGCUGGCUUGUACUUCUUUCAACUUUUUUUCCUUUAUUCAUGUUAUUAAGGGCCUCUAAAAUCUUGCUUAGUUCACUUUCAAUCUUCUCUUGAGCUUUUUCUAGCUUUUCAAAUCUAUGAGAACUUUCUUCUUCCAUUUGCCUUGCUCUGGAUCUUGUGUUGUAUGGAUGAGCAGGGUUUUCGCUAGAUUGAGCUAUCCUCGGACCUUGAGUACCAUACUUAUGAUUAGAAAUGUUAUGCUGUGCCUUAUGUAUGAUGCUUUAAUACACAAAUGAAAUGUACAUUUUUUUGAAAAAAAUUUAGUAUGAAAUGAAUGUAAAUGAUUGUGUUAAAAUAUGAUCAUGAAGAUAAUGCAGAUGCAUACAAUCAGACAAACAACAUAGUUAGUUCCAUGGAUGAAAUAAAAGUGAUGCUGGUGCAUAAUGUUACAUAUGAUAAAAAUAAUACACAAAGUUAAACAGUCAAAAUGAUAAGACAAACACCAUUUUUGUGUCCUAAUUUCAGGGUAUAUCUAUCAUUGGGUAGAAAGGGCUCUAUCUUAGGUGUAGGCACUCUUAAGGUUCACUACAUGCGGUUUUAAGGUCAGAGUCUAAAGGUCUUCAAAUUAUUCCUUACAUCUUUGUCCAUCACAGACUAGUAAGGCACCCUAAUUCUCACCCAUUAUAGGCUACAAGCGAAAAAGGUUCAAUUUGAGUGGGAGUAUUUUGCUAGCCACUGCGGAGGCAUUAGACCUCACGAAAGCAAUAGGUACUUUACUCCCUCCUAGAGGGACGGAGCUCGGGUGUAGAGCUCAUGUUAUACACAUGCACAUGAAUGACAUAAUUAACAAAGUAAAUAAACAUGAAUGACUAAUAACACAUAUAUACAACAAGGUUUAAUUUUAUUAGGCUUUUGGAUAACACAAAUUAUUUGCUGGCCUAACUCUCAAAGUCCCCAGCGGAGUCGCCAAGCUGUCAUAACGUCUAGAUCCGGGGAUCUAUCGCUAGUCAUUGACUUAAGAGAGUCGCCACCAAUCUUUUUUAUCUAGGUGCGAUUGGCCACCUAAGAAAUCUGUCCUUUCAGGAAACACCUAAGUUUAAGGGUCCCUAAAAGAAUAGGUUCAGGUCUGCUAACCAGAACGGGGUUCGGGAGUUCGGUUACGUGUGAGAAAGGUUAUAGCACCCUCACAACGCCCAUCAAAAGAUGGUACCAGCUUAAAUUUGUGUUAUCCAAUAAGCCUUAAAAUUUUACCGAGUAAUUAAUUAUUGGAAAUUAUUCUCAAUUGACUCUAAUACUUUUAGCAGAAAAUUGAAAAAAUUCCCUCACCUCAAGAGUAUGCAAGAAAAAUUACUAUUUCACUUGCAGAGGCUCCGUCGUCGGAUUAAUUAAAAAAUCAAAUUAAAAAAAUCAAAAUAGAAAGGAAUGAAAGAAUGAUUUUUUUUGUGUAGGGAAAAUUGAUACUUUCAACUUUUUCCCAAAAAUAUUUUUUGGAAAUUUCGAUUUUUAAGGAAAAUUGAUACUUUCAACUUUUCCUCAAAAAUCCUUUUUUUUGAAAAUUUAUUUCUAAGGAAAAUUGAUACUUUCAACUUUUCCCCAAAAAUAUUUUUUUUGAAAAUUUAUUUAUUUUUUUUUAAGGAAAAUUGAUAUUUUCAACUUUUCCCUAAAAAUAUUUUUUUGGAAAUUUUGAUCUUUAAGAAAAAUUGAUACUUUCAACUUUUCCCUAAAAAUAUUUUUUUUGGAAUUUUUUAUUUUUAUAAUAAAAAAUAAAAUAAAUAAAGAAAAGUAAAACAAAAAUAAAAAUAAAAUAAAGAUAAAAAGAAUAUUAAAUAAACCUAAUCUAAUAAAUAAAUAAAUAAAUAAAUUUAAAAAAAAAAGAAACCUGGAGCGGCUCGGCUAGCGGCUCAGCUCGGCUCGACUCAAGGCAGGGAAACGGCUCGGGGGGAACGGCCUGGCAGCUUAGCUCGGCUCGGCUCGACUCGGAGGGGGGCUGGCACGUGCGGGUUAAGAAGCGAGUCAACGCUCGGGUCGGGUCGGGUUUUCGGUAAAACGCGCGAAUCUUCUGAUUAACUUAAAGCCAAAACGACGUCAUUUUGGGAGGGUAUAAAAGGCAGUCCCCUUCAUUUUUCGGCAGAACACCCCUCUUCUCUCUCUCUCUUCUUCCCUUUUUCUCUCCCUUCUCUCUAAAGGCUGAAAAACUCCGGUGGAGAUUUUCAUCGGAUUCUGGAAAUUAUCGCCGAAAUCUGGAAAAUUUCGCCGGAAGUUCACUGAAAGUUGCCGAAAGAUCACCGGUUUCUGGGAUUCUUCGCUGGAAACUUGGCAGGUCGUCGAAACUUCAAAUUUGGCCGAAAUUCUUGCCGAAAAAUUCAAUCCUUGCCGAAAAAUUCGUCGGAAUCUGGAAAUUUCUCAAAAAUUUCUAGAAAAUUUUUUCGCCAAAAACUUCUAAAAAUUUUUUCUCACUCCCAGAACACUUCUAAACUUUUCUUAGCUUCCUAUACGCCUCUUUUUCUCUCGAAUCAGUAGCUUUGCUUACUGUUUCCCUCUGUCCUUCAUCUGUUCCAAAGGGUCCCUUUUAUAGGGAUUGAUCAGGAGUUCCUGAUCAAUCCCAAUUCCUCUUUGAACGGGAAUGAAAUCUUUGAAUCCAACUGGACUCUUCUGAUUGAAUUCACAUUCCCAGUGGGAUUUUUCAACUUCAAUCUCAGCCUUCCAAAAAUAAAAAAAAAAACUAGAUAAUUAGAAAAGAUAAAUAAAAAAUUAUUAUAGGAUAAAUAAAAAAAUAAUAUCAGAUAUAUAAUUAGAUAAAUAAAAAUACAAAAUAAAUAAAUAAAAUAAAAGAUAAAAAAUAAAAAAUAUAUAUAUAUUAGUAAUAAUACAUAAAUAAUAAAAUACAUAGGAUAUACAUAAAAUAUAAAAUAAAAAUAAAAAUAAAAAUGACAAAGAUAAAAUUGAACCUACCCAUUUGGACCAAGCCCAAUUGAUCUGGGCCUGGACCAAAUUGGGUGUCUACAGGUCUCAUCAUACUUUUUGAACAUAGGCAUUUUAAACUUUGGUGAAAUCAUGACAUCAAGAAUCAGGCAUAAUCCAGUAGCAUCCAUUGACCCAUAAAAGUUUAUUCUAUCAAUGGCUCUAAGCUUUUCUUCUAUAAAAUCUAUCUUUUAAGAGUCAGAGCUUUCUUUAGUUUCAACAGGGCCUGUCUUUAGCUUUUCAUAUUCUUUGAAAUCAUCAAAAUUUAAAACUUGUGUAUGAUCAAAUAUCUUGAUGUCAAGAAUAGGGAAAAUGAGAGCAUGAAUAGCAAUUGUUGGCAUGCCAGUCUGUACAUAAGGAUAAGUUAUAGUGAAUGACAUUUGAUGCUUGGCCCUUUGAGAUGCAAGUGCUAAAUAUAGGUCAAAUCUAAGAAAGUAUAGUGGAUUAGUCUCAUUUUGUAUCACUACUUUUUUCACUAUUUUUCCCUUUAUUUAUAUUUUUUAACAAUUCGAUAAUAGUUUUCAAUAGCCCCUUCAAUUUUUUUUGUGCUUUUUUAGCUUUUGAAGGUGAAUAGUAUUUUUUUCUUCGAUGAUCCUUGCUUGAUAUCUAGUGUUAUAGUUACUUAGAUUAUUUGAAGAUUGAGUUAUCCUUGAACCUUAAUUUUUUAUAAUUUUUAAAAAUUAGAAUGACUUAUUAUCAUGCAUUUUUUAGAGAUGUUUAUGUAUGAAUGCAUGAAUGCAAUAAAAAGGAUCUACCAUAUAACAAUUGUUAACAAAAAAAAUCUUUGUUGAAUUGAAAGUUAUUUCUAACCAAAUCUAAUAUUAUAUCCAUAAAAUCUAAAGUUUUUUGUGGAAAGAAUCCUUGAUUUGUUGAUAUUAGCUUUACACUUCAUAAAGAAAAACUAUCAGCUCUUGGCUAUGUGUUCCCAAUAGUGGUACCUUUAUCUUCCAUUCUUCAAUUUCUUUUCUAUAUCCUUGGCUUUAUAAGUACCCAUAGUGAUUUGGUCAAGCAAGCAUUCUAAUUGGUUAUACUUUUUCACAUAUGUUUUCUUGGCUUGUUCACAUUUUUCAUUCAUAACACCCAUUUAUAUUCCAAUUUCAACCACUACCCCAUUAAGCAUUUGGAUGUACUUUUGUACUUCGGUGAGUGCUUCGUCUCUUUCUUGCAUAUUUGCUUAUAAUUGUCUAUUUUUUUCAAAAGUUGGGCUAACUCACGAUUGGUGAAUGAUUGUGUGAUGUUGAGAUUAAAAAAAGAUUAUUUCAUUCAUCCUUUUUUUUUUUUGAGUGCUUAAACCUUUUUAUCCAUUCUUCCCUCCAACUUCAUUUUUAGCCUUUUGUUUUCAAGCUUCAAUUCAUCUUUUUCAACUUAGAGCUUUCUUUUAACGAUUUUUAUUACCAAUAGGGGAUCAAGAGGUGGUGAUUUUAUUAAGCCAUUUGGAGUUGCUUCUUCAGGGAUUUUAAUAUCUUUACCUCAUCUAAUGUGUCACACAAAGUAUUCAAGGGCAACCUCAUUUAAUCGUCUCAUCUUAUCUUCCCUUUGGGGUAAAUUCCAAGCUUGCAUGAUUUUGGCUAUCUUUAUGGAGGCAUCAAUUUCAACAUAUGAAAACUUUAUUUUACUAAGUUCGGAAGUGAUUGGGAUAAACUAUUCAUACCAACAUUAUCUUUGCACCAUGAUGAGAGAAUAACUUAUUGCACCCAAAAAGCCUAAGAGAAGAACCAAAGUUUAUCUUCACAAUCAUACAACACUAAUCCAUAAUGCAUCCAAAAAGCUUUAUAUAUCACAUCUUGGCUAGUCAGCUUGCGUAGAAAUAAGAUCCACACUUUUUUAUUUUUGUGUAGGUUAUUCAUUCUUACAUAAUUAUUUAAUGGGAGUGUUUGUAGUGAAAUAUAGCUUGCAAAAUUUAUCACCAUUAUUUUCGAUAUGACUUUUAUCCAAAUGGUUAACAAUUGAGUACAUCUAGUAAAACAAUCAUCUCUAUUUCAGUGACAAUGAUUUAAAGAUCUAAUAGUCUCAGCCAAAAUUGUAAGAAUAGGGUUGAUUUGGUAACCAAGUUAAUAAAAGAAAUCCACCACUGCAAUAUCAAUAUAAUCAAAUACUUUUAGAAAUACCAUCAUCCCAUGUAAAGCCAAUGCCAUCAAAUCCAUUCCUCUUUUAUUGCCAAAAUAUUUGUAUAUAAAGUCACAAACAAUAGACCAAGGAAUACCAACAUUUUCACCUUUUCUUUUUACCUAAAUUAUCAAUAGUUUGGAUAUCUACCAUUAUCAUUUGAGCAAGCUUUUUUCAGUAAGCAGUCUUUUUAUUUUUUCAAUAUACUUUAUCAAGAUUAGAAAGAUCCAAGCAAAUGAGAGUUGAAUAUUCUUUAAUAGUUGACACCAACUCAAUCUUAUUGAACACAAAGUAGUGAUAUGAAGGGUUCUAAAACUGAACCAUGGCCCUAAUAACCUGAUCAUCAACAAGAAUUGAAAUAAGUAAUGCAAGGUCCCCAAACUUUUUUUAGAAAGUCUCAUUAGCAAUAACACUCUAUUGGUUCCAAAUAUGAACCAAAUAGCUAAGAUUAUUUCAUUUGAAAUUGAGAUGGAUUUUGGCAAGCACAGUAGUUAUAUAAUUGGCUAGCAAACGAUUCCCCUCCUUUAAGUUGAACUUCUUUAAACUUCAUUUUUAGACAUGUAAGAAACUUUAAUAGGCUCUUUAUAGAUGUAAUUAAGAUUUAUUUUGUUAAGAUUGUUUUGUGGUAAUCACUCUUUAUGUAAAUCUAAUGAUGCAUACAUACAUAAUAAAGUAAAUAGAAAAAGGUUAACGUAAUAUAAUAUAUAUAAGGAAUAAAAAAAUAUAAAAGGUUAGUAUGCAAAUAUAUAUACAAGGGAUAACACAAAUUUACUAGAAUAAUGAAUGUCCCAUCAUGCGUCAUGUUUAGGUUUUUUCCUAAUUAAAGGAAGGGUAGGGCUCUAGCUUAAGUUUGGAUCAUGAGGAUUCAUGUACAUGCUGAGUUCAAAGGUUUGACAAUCUAAAGGCUUCCAAACUGUUUUCUACAUCAUUGUCCAUUAUAUGCUAAUAGGGCACCCCAAUCCUUACCCACUAUUAUAGGCUCAAAUGGAAAUGAUUCAAUUUGAGUAGGAGCUUUUGCUAGCUCACACAGAGAUCAUCACCUUACGAGAAUUUAAGUACUUGUUCCCUCCUAAUAAAAGAUAAGGUCCGAGUAUAGAGCUUAUGAAUGAAUGCAAGUAUGGCAUGUGUAAAGAGAUAUGUCCAAUAAUUAAAUAAAUAGGCAUGAAUAAAAAAUAAUAAUUGCAAAACAAACAAAUAAAAAAUCACAAACAAAUAGGUUAAUCCACAUGAAAAUCAUAAAUAAUUACAUAAUAAAAAUUGUUAAAGUAAGGCUUAAGAUAACAUAUAACUAACUAAUGACUUUACUCUCUAAAAUUUCCAGUAGAAUCGUUAAAUUGUCAUAACAUUUAGGUUGGGAACCUACCCAUUAGAGACAAAAAUAUAGAGUUGCCACCAAUCUUUUUUAUCUAAGUGUGAUUGGUCAUCUAUGUGAAUCUAUCAUUUUCUAAAGUUGCCCUAAGUGUAAACUAAGGGUCCCUAAAAAGAAUAGGCUCUAGUUGACAUAAUUAAAACUAAGGUUCGAGAGUUAGUUAUGUGCAGGGAAGGCAUUAGUACCUUUAUACGCUCAAAAUUAGUACCAAGUUAAUUAUGUGUUAUCUUACUUAAGUUUUAUCAUAGAUGGUUUUAUCAUGUAAAUAAAUCAAUUUCAAUCCUUUUAUUUAUUUACAAAACAUGGUGAUACAAAAAUUCUAUCAAAAUGUCAAGCAAUCAUGCAAUAUAUAUUAAAUCAUAUCAUGCAAUAAAUCAUGCAAUAAAUAUAAAAUCAUACCAUGCAAAAAUUAUCAUGCAAUAAUAUAAUACCAUAAAUAUAUUCAUGCAAAUAUAUAUAAUCAUGCAAUCAAAUAUAAUCACAUAAAUAAAUAUAUUAAUAAUCAUGCAAUUAUGCACACAAUUAAUAUAAAAAACGCAAUUAGAUACCAUCCAAAAUUAAUAUAAUAUCAUAUCAUGCAAUAAAUAUAAAAUCAUGCAAUAAUAAUAAUGAACAAAUAACCAUGCAAAUAAAUAUAUUAUUAAUAAUCAUACAAUCACACAAAUAAAUAAAUUAAUAAUCAUGCAAAUAGACAUUCAAUUAAAUAUAUAAUCACGAAUUAACAAAGUAAAACAUGCAAUUAAAUAUCUAAUUAAAUAUAUAAUCGUAUAAACAAAAAUAUAUAAACCAUGCAAAUAAAUAUGCAAUUAAAUAUAAUCAUGCAAAUAAAUAUAUAAUCAUGUAAUUAACAAUAUAAAUUAUGCAAAUAAAUAUGCAAUUAAAUAUAUAAUCAUGCUAAUAGUAUUAUAUUAAUCAUGCAAAUAAACAUGCAAAAUAAAUAUCAUGCAAUAAAUAUAAAAAUAAGAGUAAGCAGUUAAAUAGUAUAAAAGUUAUGCAAAAAUCACAAAAAAAUGAAAGCAAACAUUACCUUAAUGAGUUUCAAUAAUUUUUUACCUUUCAAAAACUGAUACUUCCUAUCAUAAAUCUUAGCUUUCUUUCUAAAAACUUCAACUAGAUCUUCUUGAAAGUUUUUUUGCUUGAUUGCUUUUUUCUUGUUGAUUCAAAACUUUGCCCAAUUUUUUUUUAAUGACCUUUGUUUCAUCUUAAAGUCAAUUGCUGUCAGGCUCUCCAUUGAUCACAAAUUCAAAGUCCUUAUAUAAGGAUUAAAUCCCUUUAGAUUUGGAAGGAGUUAAUUCAACCGAAUAUAAUAUUUCUCUCCUAAUUUUAUUUUCUUAUUAAUCUUCCUUUUUUCAAUAGAUUAAACUCAAAGUCUUUUCAAAAUUAUUCAACCAUUAAAGUUAAAAUCUGAAAAAAAAAAUCUAAAAGUUGAAUUAAAUCCAAGAUUUUUUAUGCAAAAUCCUACUUUUUUUUUAUCUUUUAUCCUUUUUUUUUUUACCAAUUAACUUUGACAUUUUUUACUAAAAAAACAAAAAUUAAACCAAAAAAUAAAAUACAAAUAAAAUUAAUUGCUUAAUCUUUAAGUUUAAAAUUCACUUUUUCAAUUAUGGCACAAUUACACAAUCAAAAUUAGAAUUCAAAAUCUAAUGAAUUUAAAAAAAAUUUUAAACAAAAUAAUGUAUCUACAAUAUACUUAUUUGUUAAGUAGAAGCAAAGGCAAAAAAUUCUAACUUGAAUUACAAGUCGUUGCAUCCCAAAACAAAAAUUGUUCACUUUUGCAUUAUAAGUCCUCGACACCAAAUACAAGAAUUUUUCAUUGAAAGUUAUUCUACCCGUCCAAUUUCUCCUUCUCUUUUCUUUCUUUUCUAAUUUUUUUUUUCUAAUUAAAAUAGCCGAAUGCCAUUCUCAUUAAAAAAAUUUUUUGACGAUAUUUUAUUUGUUGGUUUUUAAACUGCCGAAGGCAGUUUCAUGUUUACGGGAUGUAACCACCCAUUAUAAAUGAUUAUCCCAACAAAAAUAAUUUAAAAAAUUAAAAUAUAUGAUAAUUUUUUAAUUCGUUUUUAAAAUUAAAAGAUUUUACUGUUAACGCGUUCUUUUGUCUUAAUCCAAUUACAUGGUUUUUUUAUCUUUUGAAAAAAAAAAUUGUAAAAAAUUUCAUUUCACACCUUGCUUGUCACCUUCUCAAAAAGCAGUAUUAGAACUUUAUUCGACUUGACCACAACCGGUCUUCUAUUUCCUAGCUUUUUCUUUCUUCUAAGUUAUAAAUUUCAUAUAUAAGUUGUAAACCAAAUUUAUAAACAGUUGAAUUGGAUUUGAACGCUUUUUUUCUUUGAAGGAGAACCACAACUGUCGAUUGAUUUAUCAUUAAAGUGAGUCAUGCUGCAGUAUUGUAUUUAAAAUCUCCAAACAAAUCGAAUGUAAUAAAAAAUAUGCAUUAAUGGGUCAAUCAAAAGAUCAAUUAUACCUUUAAUUGGUUAAUCACCGAUCUAUUUUAAGAAUUGGAUUCCAGCAAAUAUGGUCACUUACAAUUUUUUUUUUUAAUUUUUCUUUGAUUUUGAUCUUUUAUGUUAAAAAAAAUUGUCCUAUAUAAAAUAAGAGAGAAUGAUUCUUUUAUUAGUUGCAAUUUCUUUAGGCUUCAAUUGGAUGGAUUGUAUGAUUGAAAAUAAUAAUAAAAAUUAUUAUAACUACAAUUAAAAGAAAUUAUUGUAAUUACGAUUGAAAAAAAUUUAAUAAAAAUUUAUAUUAAAUGAAUUUUAUUAAAAUUAAUAUUUAAAUUUAACUGAUAAUAUAAUAAACUUAAUUGUAUCACAUCAAAAAUACGAUGGAAUUCAUACCAAAUCUUAAUUUGUAAAAAAAAACAUAUACAUAUAUUAUAUGUAUACAUAAAUAAUUUUUUCACACAAAUUUUGUAAUCUAUUUAAAAAUUAUUUAUUUUUAUUUUUAAAAUAUCAUCACAAAAUAAUUAUAUAUACAUAUAUAAUUUUCUUAUGUGUAUUUAGUAUUGAUAUAUUUAAUUUAACAAUUUCCCUUUCCUUUUGUUCGAAGAAAGUGGGCGGGGUAAUUGGGUCAUAACUCAUAACCCCAUAAGAAAUUGGGAGAGAUUGGCGUGUUUUGGAAAGAGACCAGCACGUCCAAAAAGACAUGGAGUCGAAGAAAAUGGAAAACAAAGUUGUUUUAAAACCAGUUAAUUAGAGGUAAUAAGAAACAAAGACAACAUGGUCGAGGCAAGCUAAAACCUCUGAGAAACCUGCAAAAUUAAGCUCAAACAAACAAAGAAAAGAGUUCACUUCCUCUUUCUUCUUCUCCAUUUCCCUCUCUUUCUCAUUCUGAAAUUCUUAAACUCUCUUUCUCUUUUCAUGGUAAAGUUUUUUACAAGAAUUGUGAUGAUGAUCCAUGUUUUCCUUCUAUUUUCUUUCUGUUUUUCAGGUACUCUCUCUCUCUCUCUCUCUCUCUUUCUUUUUUUGGAUUUCUUUGCUGUAGAAGCCAUUUUAGUUCUCUUUUUUUUUUUUCUUAAUGUUGUAUCUAAUUAAUGUAUUUCGUUGCAUUACAGAUUUUGGUUUUCUACAAGGAGUUACUUCGCUAGGCAUCAACUACGGUCAACUAGGCGACAAUUUGCCUCCACCCGACACGGUUCUUGAUCUCUUAAGCUCCCUUAAGCUAACAAAAGCAAGAAUCUAUGACACCAAUCCUCAAAUUUUAACAACAUUUGCCAACUCCAACAUUGAGCUUAUUGUCACAGUUGAAAACCAAAUGCUACCUGUCUUAACGGAUCCCCGACAAGCACUUCAAUGGGUUAGUACCCACAUCAAGCCUUAUUUUCCGGCCACCAAGAUCACCGGGAUCGCAGUAGGAAAUGAAAUCUUCACCGAUGACGACAAAACACUGAUAGGAUAUCUUGUCCCUGCCAUAGUCAACAUCCAUGGUGCUUUGGUUCAAUUAGGCCUAGAUAAGUACGUUCAGGUUUCGACACCCAAUUCAUUAGCAGUUCUUCAGCAAUCUUACCCUCCUUCAGCUGGUAGUUUCAAGAGUGAGGUCUCGGAAGUCAUGUCUCAAUUUUUGCAGUUUUUGUCAAGCACUGGCUCUCCAUUUUGGAUCAAUGCCUACCCUUAUUUUGCUUACAAGGAUGACCCAAACAAGAUUUCCCUGGACUAUGUUCUUUUUAACAGAAAUCCAGGGAUGGUCGAUACUUACACGAAACUACACUACGACAACAUGUUAUACGCACAGGUAGAUGCUGUUGUUUAUGCCAUGUUUAGGUUGGGUUAUGGUGGGAUUGAGGUGAGGGUGUCUGAGACGGGGUGGCCAUCCAAAGGGGAUCCGAAUGAAAUCGGAGCAACCGUCGAGAAUGCAGCUGUUUACAACAGGAAUUUGUUGAGAAGGCAGAUGAGAAAUGAGGGAACACCUCUGAGACCAAAUAUGAGAUUAGAAGUGUAUCUGUUUGCUUUGUUCAAUGAGGAUAUCAAGCCAGGACCGACUUCAGAAAGGAACUACGGUCUUUUUCAACCAGAUGGAACCAUGGCUUACAAUGUGGGGCUCUCUGCCUUGGCCACAACUUCAUCAUCAGCUUCCAUUUCUCUUAAGUCCUCCGCGACUAAGGUAAAACCAUAGGUUUUGUUUUCUUCUAAGUUCUAACCCCAUUUACAUUAAAGAAAAUUUAUCAACAAAAAUGGGAAAUUGACAAAUUGUAUAGUAGAGAAUAGAAGGAAAAAAAGUGAAAUCAGAAUUUAACAGUUUAUGUAAUCAUCCUUAAAUCUUCCUUAAAAUGUGAUAUUCAAUAGAUUUUGAGAUUCGAAUAUUUAACAACUGUAAUAAUUUUUUCUAUUUCAAGUUACUGUCUCGUUUAUACAAAAAAGAAUAAUAACAAAAAGGUGUACACAUUAAUGUAUGUAUCGGAUGAGCAAAUAUUCUAUUCAUGUUUAAAAUUUUUUACUAUUGUAAAUAUUACUUGUAGGAGAAAAUUAUAUUAUUGUCUCCUCAACAAAAUGUUCGUUUAGCAAUUGUCUAAUUAUUUUCUUUCAUUCCCUUUGUUUUGUCACCCUCUUUAAAUGGCAUUGAUUGUGAAACAGGCCGCAAAGAUGGAGUGUCAAAGCUUGGUGUAUUGGAUUUUUAUGUAUUUGCUGACUUUCCAAGUUUUUAUGAGAAGACAUCAUUAAGCAAAAUGGUGACUGCAUGUAAAUAUUACAUUUUGGUAAGGAAAAAAUUUGGGGUUUCCCUUUUUAGGUGUUUUUGUCCUUCCUUAAGAAAAAAAAAAUUAUGAAAAAAAGACCACUUGACAAGACAAAAGGUACCCCAAAUUUUUGCACAAGUUAACCCACCAAAUUGAACUUUCCCAAAGCCGAUGAUUGUUUGAAUGAGCAACCUUUCAACAUACAAGUUCAACAAAGGAUCAAAUGGGUACAAUACCCUUUUGUGAAUUGUGUUGAUUAUUGUUGAUCAAAUGGAGCUUUGUUAUUUGUUUCCUAGAUUAAACAAAGCCAUUGUUUUUCUUUUUUAUUGGAGCCGAGCAAGAUGUUGUGGAAGAAUUAUUCUCAUUUCAUGUAAAAAAAAAGUAUUAUUAUUGUUAGAAAAUUUGAUAAUUUGUUUCCAUUUGGUUGCAAAGGAAGCCUUUUUCACUUUUGGACGUGGAAUCCAUAACUGUUAUUUUAUAUAAAUAUAUAUCAUAUCAAAAAUUUAUAAAAGAAUACAGCUUUGGUUUGGGUUCUUAUUUUUAUCAUGAAACCUGAAAUUGGGCGGCCUAGCUUUAUUCCCUUUGGCCAAAUAACCGUCAGCAUAGGUCAUAUGCCAUCCUUUUUGGCAAAGGAGCUUUUGUUUGGCUUUCUUUUUCUGCUAUCUUUUUUUCUCUAUUAAUAUAGGGAGACAAUGUAAGCUCAGCCUUAGUUAAUCUCUGAUGGGGAUGGUCUUCUCAUCCUACAUCAGCCAACGUGGUGCACAUGCACCCCCCAACAAUUUUUAGAGAUCCCCAUUAUGAAAAUUUCUUUUCUUUUCUUUUCGUUUUCUUUGAACCUUUCUCGACAGAACAAGUAUAUUGUAUUAAAGUGAAUUCAAGGUGUCUUGUUUUGUUUUCGUUUGGUUGGGCUUUUGCUUAAUGACAUGUUUUUUCAGUAGUGGUGUAUUUAGGGUUUUUUUUCUUUUAAUAUUAACUUAUAAUAUAUAUAUAUAUAUAUAUAUAUAUAUAUAAUUGUCAACGGAUUUAUUAAUUUUAUUCAAGAGAAAAGUUGAGGAUAUCCAAUUUUUUUUAAUUUUUAAUUUUUUAAUAUUUGAGAGUGACCAUGAACAUCCUAUUAUUAUAUAUCGAUCCACCUCUUUUUUUUGGAUACUAGUGGAAAUAAUGCAUCAUUUUUUUCGAUCUCCCAUGUUCAUUUAAUUUAGCAUGUGCCUUUGCUUCUAAGAGAGGAGAGAAUGUUGGUAUAUCAUUAAUUCUAUGUCGACAAAACUUCACCAUCACCAUCAAUUUAUAAAGAGCUUCAUGAAACCCUUAAGGUGGAUGCUGCUCUGUUUUGAUCGAAUGUGUCGGUUGAUUCUUAUCUUCUAUAUCUUCAUCUUUAACCUUUGGGCAAGCUAAUGUACUUAAUUAUCUUCUAUUAAUAUUAUUAUAUAUUAUAUUACCUUUAAAAAUGAAAAGAAAAGCUUCUUGAAACAUUGAAGCUAAACCCAUUAUUCAUUUUACUCACUUUCAUUAAAAAAACCUUCAAAAACACUAAAUUUCGUGAAUAUAAACCUAACUAGAUCUAAUUCAUCAGGUUCAUUGCUCUAGAGACACAGAACUCGAUCCAUAUGUUCUCUUUUUACUUCAAAUUAAGCACCAAGUACUUUGAGUUAAUUAAGGUAUUAAAUUAAAUCAUGUUUAUAUUAUAAUCUAGUUUUUGUCAUCAGAAUGAAUAUUAGUAGUUUAUUUUUUUACAAGAUCGUAGUUUUAGAAUUGAAAAUAGAUUGCAUGUAUUAAAAUUUGAACCCUAUACUUAUUAAAUAUCAUUUUUUAAACGUAAUUGUAUGAAACAAUUAUAUUAAAUUUUUAAUUCAAUAUUAUUAGUAUAUUCAUUAAUACAAAAAAAAAAAACCAAAAAUAGGAUACAUAUGGAAACUAUAUUAUAUAUUUAUUUGUUUAUUUACACACACUAAUCUUGGUAAAUCAUUUCUUCAAAAUACACUAUUAAGGAAAAAGCUCUCAAUCACUGAUCAAACCUUUUAGAUGUUGACAGGAUAAUUAGUUGGCUACAUUAAGUUAAUUACUGCUAACAUUAAGCCAAAGUCAAAAAGGGCAAAAGUAAAAAUCCUAUUGUACAUCACUUGUGCUUAUAUUAUGUUUGUGUGUGGGCGUACUGUAAAAAAAGAAUCAAUAGCUCCUUUCUUAAUUUUGUAUGUUAUCCUAAGCUAAAACUAUAUUGGUUUGGGAAUAAUUGGAUUAAUCAUAAUUUGCCACAUUGGUUUUGUACUUAGAACAAAAAGGAAUGAUUUUAAUCAUAACAAUUAAGAAUAAUUUUUUUCAUCUUCCAAAUGAUGGUAAUUAGGUUUUGAAUU
rnacentral:lncRNA from 1 species